AGAUCAGAUGAUAAGUUUUCCAAACGGAAUAUUGAAGAACCUUUGUGUCCGAGUUGGUACCUUGUAUGCCCCAGCAGACUUUGUAGUGGUAGAGACCGGUAAUGAUGAGAGGGCACCCAUCAUCUUAGGGAGGCCAUUCUUAAACACCUCGGGAGCUGUCAUCUACGCUAGUGCUGCCAAGAUCAGUUUCUACAUAAAAGGGAGGAAGGAGACGUUUUCCUUCAAGAACAAGACUACACAAAUCCCAGAUCAAUCCAGACGUGAAUCAAGGAAGAGGACCAACAGGAGGAACAGGAACAAGCAAGUGUCGACCGAGUCAGCUAAGAUGGUCACUGCAGUUCAUGGAGGCCAAGAUCAUCAACUUAAGUCACCAUUUCUGACCAAGAAGGACGACCCAGGAAUGCCAAGCAUCUAUUGCUCCAUAAAUGGAUACAGCUUCUACAAGACGUUUUGCGACACCAGAUCGGGCGUCAACAUAAUGGCCGCAGUCACCUAUCGGCUCUUGUUCGGAACCAUGCCCUUAAAACCAACAUACAGCUCCAGAUGGCAGAUCAGACAUUUCGAGAGGUUAAAGGAACAGUAACUGAUGUCACAGUCAAAAUAGACGAUCAUUUUGUCUACACAGACUUUCAGGUUAUUGACAUGGGAGAAGACGAGUACGAUCCACCCAUCAUCCUUGGAAGACCGUUCCUCAGCACCGUUAAAGCAAUCAUCUACAUUAGAACUGGAGAAGUCCAUAUGCACUUCCCCUCAGAGAAGGUACGCCGUUAUUUUACUGACCCUAACUACAUCUUUGAAGAAUCUAAGCAGGUCAGAAAACGACACAACCGCAACCAGAGGAGGCAAAUCAUCAUGGACGGAUGGGCAGACUAUGAAGGAGAAGUGAUAAGGUCAGAAGACGUAGAGUUUAAAUAGAAUUAUCCAGAGGAGACCGAAGCACCGAGUCAGGUAUGGAAAGAGAAGAUAACUAUACAUGAAGAGGAGGCGCUGCCGGAUGUACCGACUACGCCACCCAACGAACCUCAGGACAAUUGAGAAAAUAAAGAGUCCCGUUCGGAGGACUUAAAAACACCGAACGCCUUGCCAAGAGGUAAAUUUGGUAGUUAUCCUUUCCCUUUCAAUUAUUUUAAAAUAGUCUACUUAGUUAAUCAUAUUCAUGCUAUCCUAAAAAGAAAAUAAAAAUAUGAAAAACAGUAAGCCUCAUGUGAGUAUACGAGUGGCAUAAAACCCAUAAGUACAUUCACUGUGGUGGCAUAAAAAAAUAAAAUAAAUAUUUCAUUUCUGCUUUAUAAAAUAAAAAUAUAAAAACAGGGAGUAAUAAUUAUUAAGGAGUCUCAACAUGAUAAAGGCUAGAUAUUUAUGCUAACACUUAAUCAGUUCCACAAGCUUUGUUGUCUAUUUGAGCUCCACAGAAUUUAAGAAUCAAGAAGACUAGCAGACGGAGGACAUUCUAAUCGCUGUCAGAAUGCUGCUGACUUUCAAAUACACCUUUGCCACCUGCUAGCUACAUCAAAAGAAAUUACGUCAAAAUUCAGCUUGGGGGAGAGCACCCCCAUUUAUCCCGCUAAGUAUUUUUAUCUAUCUAUCUUUAUACUUAUACUAUUUUAGAAUAUAAAUAUACAUAAACCAGGAAAAACCAAAUAAAGAUUUUAUGCUUAUAUAUAUCUCUUUUGCUUAGUGUGUUUAAUAAAUAAAUAAAGUGGCUAUGCUAAUCUGUAUCUUAAUAAUAAAACUCUAGCAUGGAUAUGAUGAAUAGUUGCUCUGCCUAAUUUUAAAAUUUAAAGUUCUCUCUCAAAUUUAGACAUAAUUGUUAUAAUUUAAAGCUUGCUCUAAACCUAAGCGUGUGGGAUGAAAACUUGAUUUGAAGUCUAAGUUGUUAACGGAUAUGAUAUGGGCUGAGUUGCUGUUUAUCUGUUCCUAGAGAUGCUAGAAUUUUAGAGAAUUUUAUCUUUGAAAAUCUUUAAAAUAUUGCAUGAUGAGUUCCUGUAUGAUGAGAGUUUUAAAUUCCUACCACAGCCAUAUAUACAUGCUUGCUAGACUUUGAGCCACAUAUUUACUAUUUACUGCUUAUGAGCAUUGAGUGUGGUCAAGCUGUGUAGACCCUUAGGAGCUUGUCAUGUGGCUAAAUCAAGAUUCACUUGCACGUUCACUCAUAUAUGCUACUUCUACUCCGGAAGUACUAUCCACAUAUAACCACCCAUUUCCAUCACCACAACCACCCAAAAAUAUUCUAGUCCUAAUCCGGAAGAGAAUAGCCAAAAAUAUUUCUAUUUUUCCCUUGCAAAAUAAAUACUCAAGUUAUCUUGUUACUACCACUUGCUAUAUUAUCUCAAGAGAUGAGUGCUCUAAAAAAAAGAGAAAAAAAGAUACGAGGAAAUAAAAAGGGGCAAGUGCCCGGAACCUUAAAAGAAAAGAAAAAGUGAGACGAGAGGUAAAAAUGGACAAGUGUCCGACAGUAGAAUUAGGGGUACAAGAUACCCACCUGAGAGAAAAGAAAAAGAAGAGCAUCUCAUUCUCCUCACAAAGUUUCAGAAAGCAAGAAAGGUAUGUAUCCCCUCAAAGAGCAAAAGUAGAAUUAGACUUCCACCAUUGUUAUCACCAUCAUCACCAUACGUCAUUCAUUCGCCACACAUGCACAUCUUGAUUUGACUUAUUGAUUUGUUUCUUUGGAUCCAUGGUUUGACUAUACAAUAAAUGUCUUGUAAGUAUGUAUAUUUUAUCUCCCACCUAUGAGCUCCAGAUAUUAAAGCCUUAUUAGAGUAGGGUGAGAGAGAAGGUAAUGUCACUAUGCCUUAUACCAAAAAUACUACAUAUAUUGAGAGAAGGCAUAUACCAUCACUGCCUUGGUAAGGAUCCAGAAAUACCACAAAAGAGAGAUUUGAGAGAAUCAUACAAGGAAUCUCUGAGUUUUAUUUAAAAAUCUGCAAAAACUCCAGAGCUAUAGCUGAUCAAGAAUAAGAGACAUGGUACUUGACUAGACUAUUCUAUCUUUUAAAUACUCAAGACAGAAGUGACGGUUACAAGUCCCAUGGUGAAAGGUAAAGUAAGUAAGUUUUAAGUCUUGACAGUUUACUCUAACUCAGAGAUGAGAUCUUAUUUAAAAAGCAUGUGUACCAUCAAUUUUUAAAGGCAUUACAACAACUUCUAAUUCAUCACUGAGAGUAUCCUUGCUCAGGGACGAGCAAGAGGUAAGCUUGGGGGAGUUUGUUGACGGUCCUUAAGUAUCAAAUUUAAUUAUCAAAUAAACAAAGAAAAGGAUCCAAAUGAAAUCAACAUCUAGACUUAGGGUUUUAUCUGACAGAAUUCCACGAGUUUUGGUGUUUGUCUAUUUCUGCAGGGGGUUAUCAGGAAAUACGGAAGAAAGGCCCAGACGUCGGGAUUACAUAGAGAUAUUAACGUGCCGCGCAAUUAUCUUACAUCUAGAAGACUCCAGAAGCCACGGGAAGAAAGCGGAGGCCGAACGGGGCCAGAGGCAGGGCGCUCGCCCUCCUUCCCUAGGCACCCGCCCUGACUUGGAGUACAAUCAGGACUCUGUUUCGUGGGAGAUCUCCACCGACCUAAAGGAUCAAGGAUAACCGUUCAAUCAAUGUCGGUUUGAUCCAAUGGCCCAUAUUCACUUGAAGGGACUAUAAAACCAGACCCCCUGGCCCCUGGAGGAGAGAGCCUCUCAACCCUAAUUCAUUGUUCCUCAAGGGAGAAGAAGCCUCUGAUCAAGAUUAGAGCCACCACAUCAAUUAGAUAUCUAGAUUAGCAUAGCUACAUAGGAUUAGAACUAGAAGGAGUCAAUCUUCGAUUGGUUUCCGGAUCUGUCAAGAGGAUUCUUGGUAAUUCUCUAAUUGUGCUUCUAAUUGCUUUCUAAUUAUCUUUGUUCUUCAAUAUUAUGAAUAUGACUUUGUUCUACUUCAAUAUAUUGCUUAUGACUUUGCUCUACUUGUUUAUAUUCAAGAUUAUAUUGUUCUUAGUUUAUCAUAGUUAUGUACUUGGCUUAGUUAGAUUGGAUCUAUAUACAUGCUUAGGAUCGUAUAGCGUUUAUCCAUCGGAUCCAUGGGUAAAUGAUAGAUAUUGUGUAGGCGUGGUGCUUAUACCGUAUUUAUCUGCGAUUGUACCCAAUAUGCCAGAUCGUGGGGUAGUUCGUGAUAGUGACAGCUUCAUUGAUUCUUAUAUAGUCCCCCUCUCGUGUAUUGGGCUGGCAGAGUAAUAUUAUUACAGGGGAGUGAUUGCUAUGUUUCUCAUUUACCUUGCUAAUAUCACUAUGCAUGGGCGUAGUCUUGUCUCGCAAUGAUUGCUAAGUAUGCUUGCACUAACUAUGAUAAUGCUAGACUAUAUAGUUGAGAAUAACUUAGGAAAUAUUCUUGUAGUUCGUUCUAAUUCCAUGCUAAUGACUUUCUAGAGUAUCUAAUUGAGAUGCUUAUCAUAUUUAUAUGUGGCUAAGUUAUGAUCAGAUUAAUUAUCUUUGUCACUAUUCAUUAUUUCAUAUAUCUUUUAUGUGACACUUAUCCCUGUAUGAAAGAGUUAGAUAAAUGUUCUCAAUUAUACAUGCAAUGAUAGAUACUCAAUCUCAUAUUCUAUUCUGUAAUCAAUAGUGAUGAUUGUUAAUCCCUUCCCAGUGGUAAAAAUAUAAAUAACAAUACCUGGAAUACUUCUCGGUUAAAAUGCUACAUCGGUAUUAAUCUGUGCGCUUGCAGAUCCCAUUCAUUAUUUAUUUAGAAGAGCAAUUGCAUAUUUCAAUACCGCGUCUCUCAUGUCAUGCUGGGGAUGACAACUUGGCUUAAGUGGUAUGAGGGAUAGGUUUGGCAUUUUUGGCACCGUUACUAGAAUUAGAAAACUGUCUACUUUUGGUAGUGGUGUUAAGAAUACCCAACAGGCAGCGCCCGCGCACGACGCGGGAAGGCUCUCGGGCCAACUUGGGCCGUGACCAAGCGGGCCGGCCGCGUAGCACAGUGUUGCUUUCUCUUUUUCCUUUUUGUUUAAAAAUGCUUGAUAUGUGAAAUUGUGUAGAAAAUUGUAUAUUGAUCCAAAAAUGAUGAACCCUUUGUGUAGGUUCUGUAAAAUGAGUAGAACACAGGAAAAAUAUUAGAUUCUAUUUUCUCGUAGUUUGCAUGUAUCUAAAAAUUGCUCCCUUUAAUUAAUAAAUAGAACUUCCUUGAAUUUUAAUAAUUUAUGGGUAUAUCCAAAAAUCACCAAACAUUGUGAGAAUCCUCUGAAUAUUAUUCCCUUGCUUCACACAAAAUUUGGUGGCAUUUGGAUAAUGUUUGAAUAAAAUGUCAUUAAAUCCUUAAUUAGUAAUUUAGUAAUAAUUUAAAAAUAAUUAAGUUAUAAUUAGCUUAAUCUCUCACAAUAGAAUUUGAGUGAUUUUGGGAUUGUAUGAUGACCUAAGGUCAUUAACCUUAAUGACCUUUGGCACUUAAUUAUUGUUUGAUGUUAAUACUUAAUUACUGUCAUUAAUACUUAAUUAAGAAUUAAUUAAAGUAAAAAGGAGUAAUAAUUAGUUAUUUAAGAAUUAUUAUGAAUUAAUUAAGAAUAAUUGUGAAUUAAGAGAAAUCUUAAUUCUCUGAUGCAACCUCUUGGGUAAAAACACUAAAAUGGUAGACAGCUUUAAUUACUGUUUAACCUGUCCUUGCACCGAGAAGGAGAGUUGUACUCAACUCGGUCCUUCUUAAAUAUUUGUCAUACGCAUAUCAUGAGCAUCCAUCAUUUUGCGUAUAGUGCACGUGACCGAAGGAGCGACCGUUGAACCGAACCCCGAGGUCGGUGUUCCGUUCGAGGAAAUAGGAUCCGAGACUUGGGAAGUCUCCGAGGGUUCCUCUCAGCUCUGCAACCAAGGCAAGCCCCGGAUGCAUUAACCCCUCCUUGAAUGUUUUAAAUCUUUUAUCACUUGUGAAUUGAAAAUGCUGCAUUCCGUAGUUGAGAAUUGGGUUAACCUACUUGUUGCAUUUACUAUCUUGAUAUUUGUUAUCUUGUCCUUGGCACCUGUUUUAUUUUAAAAUCGCGUAGUAAUGCUUAGCCCUGCUACUAGAUAGGUUUUCAAACAAGAAAGUUUGAAGGGUUGUUGUGGAAUACACUUGUGGUCAAUGAUGUUUCAACUUGAGACCGAUCGUGGACUUGCUUUAACAAUGGAGUCUUAAAGUAGUGUCUCCAACUGUGUCGAUUAAGGACCGGUCCGUUGAUGGCCUGCUGGGUUGAGAAUUUAUAGUACUACCCACUUGCCCUACCGGUCCGUUGAUGGCCUGCUGGGUUGAGAAUUUAUAGUACUACCCACUUGCCCUCGGUAAGCCUAGUCUUGUGAUUCCUCGACGCGAACGGCUACUCGCGCACUGGGCAUGGAGCGAUGGCGAGAGUAGCGUGUACCCUCCUAGCAAAUGGGCUGGAUGGUGGGGUACUGUGCUCUCGGGUGCCGCGAACCCGGUCAAAUUUGGGGAGAGCUAGAUUUGGGUUGACGUAUGCAAGAUUUGGUUCUAUAUAUGUCGGGUGGAUAGGAACUCCAGCUGGAUUGCUAAGCGGUUUGAAUCGUCGUUGCUCCCCGAUUGGGAGACUCAAUCCACUGACCCUCAUCGUAGCUAAAUAUGCAACUAAGUGAAAAAAUGAGAAAGGAGGAAAUGUCUCAUGAGGUUCGGAUCCCAAUUCCCGGACUCAGAGUGACAUAAAGCUAUGGUCGUUAGAUAGAUAAUACUUUGAUUAAGGACUAGGAACUUACAGACUUGUCUGUGAGAAGCAACUAGAUAGACUGUCCUCGAACUCCUCGACCUCUUAAGGAGAGGAAUUCGUGGGUAAAACUUGAAAGUAAGGAUGCACUAUUAGUAAGCUUUUUGGCAAAUCAAUUUGGCUCCUUGCUCAGCCACUCCUUGUCUACCCUAAGCCUGCAUCCCUAAUUUCUCCUCUUUUUGUGCCGGGUAAGUCUUGUUGAGUACUCCCGUACUCAGGGUUCUAUAACCCCUGUUGCAGGUGAAGCUCAGGAGCCGACUUGUUUCGGACCCUAUUGUGUGACCGUCGUCGAAGUUGACGACGAGAAAGAGUGAGCGUGACCCAUGGGCAGGGUCUGUAAAUUUGUAAUCUGUGUAAUAAAGUUUAAGUUGCUCCGCUGGACCUAGCUUGUAAUAACACUCUACUACUUGGAAGAACUACUUUUGUAAAUUAAGUUACGUAAUGCUUCUGCUGUUUUACUCUGAAAUAUUAUUUUGGUCAUAUGUCGUCUGUGAUACUGCAAUGUCUUCGCAACGAAUGAUCCUAGUGUUAACGAGGCCACUUGCAAUCCUGUAAGGGCGAGAAGAAGAAGUUCUCGUUAAGUGACCAUCACGAGUGGUCAGGACGAGCUUGGGUGAUACGCCACAGGUAGCGGUGGAAUGAGCGUCCUGAGAUGCUCAUCGGACUUCUAGAGUGGGAGGAUCCCCGGCAUCACCGUCAGAGGUCCUUAGGACAAUGACAGGUGUCGGUGGGCCCAAACACUUAGGAGGUUCAGCCACAGCUGGUAUCAGAGCAUUCGUUGCUAAGAUGACUGUUGUAUCCUUUGAAAAACUUCAAAUCCAUUUGUAUCCAAUACUAUAAACUUGCCUAUUUUGAGUCCAAAUGCUUUAGUCCUACCUUACCCUUGUCUGUAGGCUUUGCUAGAAUUUUUGAGGUCGUGUGGAGGAGCAACAUAAAGUAUCGCCCUAUGUUGUAAAAAGUGAUAUCGUUAUGAAUUUCUAGUACGAAUCGUAAGUACGUGCAUGCAUCAUGAUAUGUCACUUAGUUAAAUUCCUUCCUCUUUAUUCGGGUUGGGUUGUAUAGAAUCAAUCCCAUUCUUGCUAACCUUUAAGGUCUCUCUUACUAAUCCAAACUUACCCUCUAUAGGAUGGGUCAUUGGAAGCAAACCCCUCGCAAGAGAACUGGUCCUAAAGGGGUGCCUCGACACCAGUUGGCCCCGCGAAGCGAUCAAGCUAGCAGUAGUUGUUCCCCAUCUCAGCAGGAGAUGGAAAGGUUGUCAGCAGAGUUGACCGAAGUAACAAGGGAGAGAAUGUAUAAUGUCAUGGAGAUUGGUGAACUCAAAGCUCAAUUAACAAAACAAAAACAAGCCACCGAGAAUUGCGAGGCGACGCUAUCCCGCAUGGUGGAAGAACGAAAUACAGCUAUUGCUCGGGAAGAGGAGGCUAGGAGCGCACAUAUGCACGAGCUGACCAGAAUGAAGGCCAAGUUGACCAAAAGCAAGUACACUAAAGAUCUAUAUAUAAAGAUGGCGGCCACUGUCACUGCACAGAGGGACGUCGCAUGGCAGCGGGAGGAUCAGCUGCAGCUGGAGAAGCUCGAGCUGGCGCAUCAUCUGGACACCUGUUGACGGUCCUUAAUGCUCAUAUUUAACCAUGAAUUAAUCAUAGAAAAGGAUCCAAAUGCAACCAACACCUAGACUUAGGGUUUUAUCUAACAGAAUUCCACAAGUUUUGGUGUUUGUCUAUUUCUACAGGGGGUUAUCAGGAAAUACGGAAGAAAGGCCCACACGUCGGGUUUACAUAGAGAUAUUAACGUGCCGCGCAAUUUUCUAUCAUCUAGAAGACUCCAGAAGCCACGAGACCGAAGCGGAGGCCGAGAGGACACAGGGACAGGGCGCCCGCCCUCCUUUCCUGGGCGCCCGCCCUCAGCCAGAGUCCAAUAAGGACUCUCUUUCGGGAUAUUGCUCCACCGACCUAAAGGAUCAACAAUAACCGUUCAAUCAAUGUCGGUUUGAUCCGACGGCCCAGAUUCACUUGAAGGGACUAUAAAACCAGACCCCCUGGCCCCUGGAGAUCAUACCUCUUCUACAGAAUCAAAGCUAGGGUUUCAAUUCUUCAUCCAAGUAGAGAGGAUCCCUCUAGUUCUUCUAGUUCUACCUCUAGUUCAUCUAGAUCUAGUUCUAGUUCAUCUAGUUCUAGUUCUAGUUCCUCUAGUUCUAGUUCUAGUUAGUUCUAGUUGUAAUCUAGAAAAUAGGGAGAGAGAAGAGGAGAGCGGAGGAGGAGCCGGAUCUGUCGGAUCUUCCUCAAUAUUAUACUUUUGCAGCAUCUGGUUCGUUCUUCAUCGUUCUCCAGGUUCUUCAAUUCAUAAUCCUGAGUUCUUUAAUUACUUUUAUUUACAUUCAAGUUAUUUAUUGGAUUCCCGCUUGCAUCAAGUGCUCUAGUCUUUAUAACGCUAGAGUAGUAAUUAAUAGAUUAGACGUGGUGUUUAGUCUUGCGAUUACCUGGAAUUGCACCCAAUCCUACGGAUUGUUGUGGUAACCCUAGGGUAGUGACAGCCCUAACGGUCGACGUAUUCCACCACGUUCGGAUCGGUGUUUGUAGGACCGUAGUCAGACCUUCCUAGCCCCCUUCUCAUCUCUUUCUGUGGUUAGUGCUCUGAUGUCCCGAUAUAGAUAAUCUUGAAGUAAUUCUUGAUUCUUAGAUCAACUAGAGAACUCUCAGGAAACUUCCUAUCUUCCCACCAAAAAUAAUUAUAUAGUUAUCCUUGGGCGAUCUUGGAUCUUAAUUAGUACACUCACGUUCUCUGUGGAAAAUCGAUACUCUGGAAUACUCCCGGGUGAAAGCUACAUCGGUAUUCGUGCGCUUGCGGAUUUUUCUGUUUGCGUUUAAAAUACCCAACAAGCUUUCUGGCGCCGUUGCCGGGGAAUGGUAGCUGUGCUAGUUUCGAACCAAGUCGUCCGUGUAUCCUUUUUCUUUUCCUUUUUUACCACACUCACCUUAUCACUUUCACCAUACCACAUGGAUUUCACUUUAAGCAUUAAUGAGCAUGGAAUUUAUUUCAUAGCCACUUCAUUUACUCCAUACUCAUAUGCAACAUCUUCACAAUCCAUUGGUCUCUCCAACAUCACCACAUUCGAGAUCUCCAACCCCCUCUUCCUUUCUAUUCAUAAAAACUUUAAAAGGGCAGUUGUCGAUGCAUAUGUCUAUAUUAAAUAUUGCAGAUCUCGUUGAGUUGAUCUUGAUAUAGGUCAGCGUUGGAGGGGAAACCACUUCGCCGACAUAAAUUGAUGGUUUCCCAAGGACAAGCUUAGUGUCCUAAAACAAGCACUGAUCAGAUCGUAACAUAAGCUUUUAAUUAUUUGCAACACUACCUUGUGUAUUGAGCAUAUAAGGAUAAUUGUAAAAAAAUUCCUUCGGGUAUUCUUGUCACUAACCUUUCUAGGAUUGGAGUAAGAAGAUCGGAUGAAUGACAAGCACAAGGUAUGUACAACCAAUCAUCAUACAACAUUGAAUUAAAUUCAUCCAAACUUGAAUUUUGCAAAAUUCAAGCUUGGGGGAGUACUUUAUAUAAAAACAUCAUUUGCCAUGUUGCUAUAUUGGUUGUCCCUACCUUUGAGACAUGCUCAAUUUGUUAAAUAGUAAUCACACUACUUCAUCUCCACUUGAGUAGAUCUCUAUAAAAGCCAUCACGCUACCAUUGUUUAUCCUAGUAAGUGUUAGUUUGGAAGUACUGUACAUACUUCUAUUGGUUUUUAAAUUAAGCAUGGUGCUUAGGUUAAAUAGCCUUCCUUAAUCUAAUUAGACAUGGAGUCUAGUUUGGUUAUUGAACUAAAAACUGCUUGUGUAGACAUUGGUAUAUUUUGUUGGACUAACCCCUGCAGGAAAACUUUCAAUAUCGACCUGGGAAGUCCUGAGAUAAACUCACAUUGGAGACAAAGAGAGACACACAUGAAGUUUAACAAUUUACACAAGGAAGGCAUAGCUCACAAGAGAUGAUCCAUGGAGGUGCCACAAACACGAUGCACAACCGCUAAGAGAGGAAAGCUUCCACAAGGUGAUACUGUACCAUCACUCUUCAAGUAAGGUAACAUCUUAAGGUACUUGACUAUCACUUCUAUAAGCUUCUCCUUUGUUCUGGCGUUCGCAUGAAUAAAAGAGACAAACAUGUAUGAUUUACAACUCUAGAUUAACCAACCUAAUCGAUUCAACAUGUUUAGUCCUUCCACCUUUGUGAUCCCAUACUCCUAAUCAUAUAAGCUAAAAUGUUGCACACUCAAUCUUUGGAAGAUAUAAACAAAACAUAUAUAUAGAUAGAUUAUCUUUCCAUAAGGUUGAGCAAUCUAAUCUGACAAAUGUUAGAUACUACACUCAUGAUUUUAUUAUCCAUCAACUUUGUCUUGCUCACUAUGCUUAAGGUUAGAGAAGAAUAAAUACACUUUUGGUUCUGUUGGUGUUUUCCACCAACAGGGCCCAUGCACUUGAUCUCUGCCUUGUCUCUAUGAGCAGGUACACUUCGAGUAGAAUAUGAAGGACUUUUACAACUCCCAGACUCCACCUAGUGAAGAACCUAGAUUUACGAGCACAAACACACUGGAGAGACUGGACACUCAGGCAAUCACUGCCCUGAAAUGCUUGAGGACAUAACUACUGGAGUACCCCCGUUGUGGAAGUAAUUACUAACCUUCUGCCGGUCAAGAGAGACGAUCCAAGACGCACCGUCAUCCCGAUCUCCAUCGGCAUGGUGAACUUCCUAGAAGCACUCUGCGACUUUGGCUCCAGCGUCAACAUUAUGCCCAGGGUACUCUGAAAAAAAAUCUUUACACAUCCUUUAUUAGAAACAGCCAUGUGUUUGCAGCUUGCAGAUCGGACGCUAAGUUUUUCAAAGGGAAUAUUGAAGAACCGCUGCGUCUGUGUUGGUACCUUGUACGCUCCAGCAGACUUCAUGGUGAUAGAGACUGGUACUGAUGAGAGGGCACCCAUCAUUCUAGGGAGGCCAUUCCUGAACACCUCGGGAGCAGUCAUCCAUGCUAGUGCUGCUAAAAUCCAUUUCUACAUCAAGGGGAGGAAGGAGACGUUUACCUUCAAGAACGAGACUACACAAAUCCCAGAGCAAUCCCGACAUGAACCAAGGAAGAGGACCAACAGGAGGAACAAGAACAAGUAAAUGUGUACCGAGUCAGCUAAGAUGGUCACUGCAGCUCAACGAGGUCAAGAUCGUCAACUCAAGUCACCUUUCUUGAUCAAGAAGGACAACCCUAGUGUCCCAAGCAUCGAGUGCACAAUCAACGGAUAUUCUUUUCAGAAGACACUCUACGAUACCGGAUCUAACGUCAACAUAAUGGCCGCAGUCACUUAUCAGCUCCUGCAUGGAACUAUGUCCCUACAACCAACAUACAUUCAGCUCCAGAUGGCAGAUCAGACAUUCUGAAAGAUUGAAGGUUAUUGACAUGGGAGAAGACAAGUACGAUCCACCCAUCAUCCUUGGAAGACCGUUCUUUAGCACCAUUAAAGCAAUCAUAUACAUUGGAACCAGAGAAGUCCACAUGCACUUCCCCUCAGAGAAGGUACGCCACUGUUUUACUGACCCUAACUAUAUAGUUGAAGACUCUAAGCAGGUCAGGACAAGAAGACGACGACGCAACCGCAACCAGAGGAGGCAAAUAAUCAAGGACGGAUGGGUAGACUAUGAAGGAGAAGUUGUAAGGUCUGAAGACAUACAACUUGAACAGAACUGUCCUGAGGAGACCGUAGCACCGAGUCAGGUGUGGAAAGAGAAGAUAGUUAUACACGAAGAGGAAGCACCGCCGGAACCACCGACUACGCCAUCCAGCGAAUCCCAGGACGACUGAGAAUACACGAGAGUCCCGUUCGGAGGACUUAAAAACACCGAACGCCUUGCCAAGAGGUAAACUUGGUAGUUAUCUUUUUCCUUUCAAUUAUUUAAAAAUAGUUUGCUUAGUUAAUCAGGUUCAUAUCAUCUUGAAAAGAAAACAAAAAUGUUAAAAAUAGUAAGCCCCAUGUGAGUAUGCUCAUGGCAUAAAACCCAUAAGUACAUUCAUUGUGGUGGCAUAAAAGUAAAAUAAAUAUAUUCAUGUCCUAUAAAAAAAUUAUAUAAAUAAGAUUGUGAUCCUACUAAAGAGAGUAACAUUUAUUGAGGAGGCUCAACAUGAUAAAGGCUAGAUAUUUAUGCUAACACUUAACCAGUUCCACAAAGUUUUGUUGUCUAUUUGAGCUCCACAGAAUUCAAGGAUCAAAGAAGACUAGCAGACAGAGGACAUCCUAAUCGCUGUCAGGGUGCUGCCGACAUUCAAAUACACCUCCGUCCCCUGCUCGCUACAUCAGACGAAAUUACGUCAAAAUCCAGCUUGGGGGAGAGCACCCUCAUUUAUCUAGCUAAGUAUUCUACUCACGUUUAUACUUUACUCUAAUAAUAAAAAGAUGCAUAAUCAUAAAAACCCAAAUAAAGAUUUUGUGCUUAUAUAUAUAUCUUUGCUUAGCUUGCUAAAUAAAUAAAUAAAUAAAGUUUGCUAUGAACCCUCAUGAUAAGCUCUCACAUGGAAAUGAUGAAUAGUUGCUCUGCCAUGAUUAGUUCUAAAAAUUGAAAUCUCUCUUAAGUUUAGGCAUGACUGUUAUUAAUUAAGAUUUGCUCUAAACCUGAACUUGUGGGAAGAGUACUUGAUCUAAAGUCUAAGUCGUUAACGGAUACGAUAUGGGAAGGUUGAGCUGCUGUUUAUCUGUUCCUAGAGAUGCUAGAAUUCUGGAGAAUUUUAUCUUUGAAAAUCUUUAAAAUGUUGCAUGAUGAGUUCCUGUAUGAUGAGAGUUUAAAUUCCUACCACAGCCAUAUAUACAUGCUUGCUAGACUUUGAGCCACACAUUUACUUUUUACUGCUUAUGAGCAUUGAGUGUGGUCAAGCUUGUAGACCCUUAGGAGUUUGUCAUGUGGUUAAAUCAAGAUUCACUUUGCACGUUCACUCAUACAUGCUGCUUCUACUCCGGAAGUAUGCAUCCACAUAUAUUCAUCCAUUUCCAUCUCCAGAACCACCCAAAAAUAUUCUACUCCUAAUCCGGGAGAGAAUAGCCAAAAAUAUUUCUAUUUUUCCCCUAUGAAAUAAAUGCUCAAGUUAUCUUGUUACUACCACUUGCUAUAUUAUCUCAUGAGAUGAGUGCUCUAAUAAAAAAAAGAGAAAAAAAAGAGAAAAAAAAGAUACGAGGAAAUAAAAAGGGGCAAGUGCCCGGAACCUCGAAGAAAAGUAAAAGUGAGACGAGAGGUAAAAAUGGACAAGUGUCCGACAGUAGAAUUAGGGGUACAAGAUACCCACCUGAGAGAAAAGAAAAAGAAAAUAUAGAGCAUCUCAUUCUCCUCAAAAAGUUUCAAAAGAGCAAGAAAGGUAUGUAUCCCCUCAAAAGAGCACAAGUAGAAUUAGACUUUUACCAUUGUUAUCACCAUCAUUACCAUACACCAUUCAUUCGCCACACAUGAACAUCUUGAUUUGACUUAUUGACUUGUUCUUCUGGAUCCAUGGUUUGACUAUGCAAUAAAUGUCUUGUAAGUAUGUAUUAGCUGUCUCCCACCUAUGAGCUCCAGAUAUCAAAAGCCUUAUUAGAGUAGGGUGAGAGAGAAGGCAAUGUCACUAUGCCUUAUACCACAAAUACCACAUACUUUGAGAGAAGGCAUAUACCAUUACUGCCUUGGUAAGGAUCCAGAAAUACCACAAAUGAGAGACUAGAGAGAGUCAUACAAGGAAUCUCUGAGUUUUAUUUGAAAAUCUGCAAAAACUCCAGAGCUAUAGUUAAUCGAAGAACAAGAGACAUGGUGCUUGACUAGACUGUUCUAUCUUUUAACUACUCAAGACAGAAGUGACGGUUACAAGUCCCAUGGUGAAAGGUAAAUGAGUAAGUUUUAAGUCUUAACAGUUUACUCUAACCAGAGAUAAGAUCUUGUUUAAACACAUGUGUAUCUUUAAGGCAUGAAACCACUGCAGAAACUCUUAAGUCCAUCUUUGCUCAGGGACGAGCAAAGGUUAAGCUUGGGGGAGCUUGUUGACGGUCCUUAAUGCUCAUAUUUAACCAUCAAUUAAUCAUAGAAAAGGAUCCAAAUGCAACCAACACCUAGACUUAGGGUUUUAUCUGACAGAAUUCCACAAGUUUUGGUGUUUGUCUAUUUCUGCAGGGGGUUAUCAGGAAAUACGGAAGAAAGGCCCACACGUCGGGUUUACAUAGAGAUAUUAACGUGCCGCAUAAUUUUCUAUCAUCUAGAAGACUCCAGAAGCCACGGGACCGAAGCGGAGGCCGAGAGGACACAGGGACAGGGCGCCCGCCCUCCUUUCCUGGGCGCCCGCCCUCAGCCAGAGUCCAAUCAGGACUCUCUUUCGGGAUAUUGCUCCACCGACCUAAAGGAUCAACAAUAACCGUUCAAUCAAUGUCGGUUUGAUCCGACGGCCCAGAUUCACUUGAAGGGACUAUAAAACCAGACCCCCCUGGCCCCUGGAGAUCAUACCACUUCUACAGAAUCAAAGCUAGGGUUUCAAUUCUUCAUCCAAGUAGAGAGGAUCCCUCUAGUUCUUCUAGUUCUACCUCUAGUUCAUCUAGAUCUAGUUCUAGUUCAUCUAGUUCUAGUUCUAGUUCCUCUAGUUCUAGUUCUAGUUAGUUCUAGUUGUAAUCUAGAAAAUAGGGAGAGAGAAGAGGAGAGCGGAGGAGGAGCCGGAUCUGUCGGAUCUUCCUCAACAUUAUACUUUUGCAGCAUCUGGUUCGUUCUUCAUCGUUCUCCAGGUUCUUCAAUUCAUAAUCCUGAGUUCUUUAAUUACUUUUAUUUACAUUCAAGUUAUUUAUUGGAUUCCCGCUUGCAUCAAGUGCUCUAGUCUUUAUAAUGCUAGAGUAGUAAUUAAUAGAUUAGACGUGGUGUUUAGUCUUGCGAUUACCUGGAAUUGCACCCAAUCCUACGGAUUGUUGUGGUAGCCCUCGGGUAGUGACAGCCCUAACGGUCGACGUAUUCCACCACGUUCGGAUCGGUGUUUGUAGGACCGUAGUCAGACCUUCCUAGCCCCCUUCUCAUCUCUUUCUGUGGUUAGUGCUCUGAUGUCCCGAUAUAGAUAAUCUUGAAGUAAUUCUUGAUUCUUAGAUCAACUAGAGAACUCUCAGGAAACUUCCUCUCUUCCCACCAAAAAUAAUUAUAUAGUUAUCCUUGGGCGAUCUUGGAUCUUAAUUAGUACACUCACGUUCUCUGUGGAAAAUCGAUACUCUGGAAUACUCCCGGGUGAAAGCUACAUCGGUAUCCGUGCGCUUGCGGAUUUUUCUGUUUGCGUUUAAAAUACCCAACAACACCAUCAACGACAUGGCGAUUUACCAGGAUUGGCUUCAAAAGUGAUUUGCCGAGGCAUCGACAAUGCUUCCUUUUGGAUCACCUCGCCACUCCUAUUGAUACUGAAGGAUUUCAAGCAUAGCUGCUUGUAGUCCUCCAUAGCUUUUGCCAUAGCUUGCUUCUGUUCAUCUCUGAGAUUGGCUUCCGUCACAGGGAUGCCGUUCUCUAAGUCGAAAUCGGUGUUCGACAUAUUGAUCUUCAUAUUGAAUCUCUGUCCCACUGGGCAUGCCAAAAGAUGUGUUGGUGCAAAAGUAGAUCUACAAACACAAAGGGCUAAUACCCGGUUUAAUGUUAAGGCGUGCCAGCCGAUUUGACCUUGCAAUCGACAAAGGUGGUAACUCGAACACUUUAGUCCCAACAACAGCGAUGCACCCGGAUGUCACGGCCAAGAGGUGUUCACGCGGAACUCGAGAACUCGUCGAGAUUGACUCGAUGAAUCCCUAAGAACUCGUAGGUAAAAAGAAAAAUAUGCAGGGUGACGAAGUCGUCGAAAAAGUAGAUGCUGGAAUAGAUGUAAAAGUUUGUAUUUGAUUGAUUGUGUAUAUCUUACAUCGCUACAGGGUCUUAUAUUUAUACCCUGCCCAAAAGGGUUACAACCAGACACGACUAGGACUCGAAUUCCAAAUUAAACGGAAUCCGUAUAUAAAGCAAACUCUAAUAACUAUGGAAAGUAUUAAAUCAUCUUCCACAACCGAUCGGUACACCACCAUGAGUCGAUCGACAACUCCUGUGCCUUUCUCCAUAACCAUCGGCAAACCAUAUCUCAUAGCCAUCGGCAACCAUCAGCACCAGUCAUCGACACAAAUCCAUUACCACUCCUGGACUUGUCCAUAUUCUGUCGUUUCCUCAUCGGCACCAACCCUCAUCGGCAACUCUUCUGUGAACUAGUCACCACACAACCCUCAUCGGCAACUCUUCUAUGAACUAGUCACCACUUUUCUGCCUACCGAUCUACACCUCAUUAACUCCAAAUAUGCGUCCAAAGAUAGGUGUCCAAAAACGGUGUCAACAUAAUCACUAGUCUGCCAUCUCGACCCUUCACACAUGACUAGUGAUGCGAGAAUAUUCAAUUCAAUCAAUACAAAUGAUGAUAAUGGUGUUGAUAGUAUCACAUUUGGUGACAAUGGCAAAGGCAAGGUGAAAGGGCUUAGAAUUGCUAUAUCCAAUUAUUUGAGCAUUUCCAAUGUGCUACUAGUAGAGAACUUGAACUUUAGUUUGCUAUCUGUGGCUCAAAUUUGUGAUCUUGGUUUCAAAUGCAUAUUUGGAGUUGAUGAUGUAGAGAUCAUAAGUGUAGAUGGCUCUAACUUGAUAUUCAAAGGCUUUAGAUAUGAGAAUCUAUACUUAGUCUAUUUCAAUGCUAGUGAAGCUCAAUUAUUAACAUGCUUGCUCACUAAAUCUAGCAUGGAUUGGUUAUGGCAUAGAAGGCUUGGUCAUGUUUGAAUGAAACAAUUAAACAAGUUAGUCAAACAUGAUCUUGUUAGAGGCUUGAAAGAUGUCACAUUUGAGAAAGACAAGCUUUGUAGUGCAUGUCAAGCCGGAAAGCAAGUUUGCAACACUCAUCCUAAGAAAAGUAUCAUGAGUACAUGCAAGGCAUUUGAGUUGUUGCACAUGGACUUAUUUGGACCAACCACAUACAUAAGCAUUGGUGGAAAUAAAUAUGGAUUUGUGAUAGUGGAUGAUUUCACAAGAUACACAUGGGUAUUCUUUCUUAGUGACAAGAGUUAUGCUUUUGCAACCUUCAAAUCAUUUGUCAAGAGAAUACACAAUGAGUUUGAAACAACCAUCAAGAAAGUGAGAAGUGACAAUGGAAGUGAAUUCAAGAACACAAGAGUUGAUGAGCUUUGUGAUGAAUUUGGUAUUAGGCAUCAAUUCUCGGCCAAGUACACUCCACAAUCAAAUGAUCUUAUUGAGAGGAAGAAUAGAACCUUGAUUGACAUGGCAAGAUCAAUGUUGAGUGAGUACAAUGUGAGUCAUUCUUUUUGUGCUAAAGCAAUCAAUAUGGCUUGCUACUAUAGCAACUGACUCUAUUGUCAUCCUAUGAUGGAGAAGACACCUUAUGAGCUCUUGAAUGGUAGAAAGCCCGAUAUUGCAUACUUUUGGGUUUUUGGUUGCAAAUGCUACAUAUUGAAGAAAGGCACUAGAUUGAGCAAAUUUGAAAAGAAAUAUGAUGAAGGUUUCUUGCUUGGUUACUCCACUACUAGCAAAGCUUAUAGAGUUUGGAAUUUGCCUAGUGGUACUCUUGAAGAGGUGCAUGAUGUUGAGUUUGAUGAAACCAAUGGCUCUCAAGAAGAUAAAAAUCUAGAUGAUGUGAGAGGCACUCAAUUGGCCGAUGCAAUGAAGAACAUGAACAUUGGUGAUUUAAGGCCUAGAGAGGUGAUUGAUGUUGAAGAUGACAAAGAUCAAGUGCUUCCUACCUCUAAUGUGCAAGCUAGUAGUUCUCAUGAUCAAAAUCAAGCUAGUACAAGUGGUACUCAAGUGCAAGAUCAACAAGCUAGUAUAUUAUCUCAUGAUCAACCAAACGCAAGCAAUCAAGUGCAAAUACUCCAACCAACAAAUAUUGCAAGAGAUCAUCCAUUGGAUCAUAUCAUAGGUGACAUUCAAAGAGGAGUGCAAACUAGAUCGAGACUAACAUCAUUUUGUGAGCAUUUCUCAUUUGUGUCUCACAUUGAGCCAAAGAAAAUAGAUGAAGCUUUGAGAGAUGUUGAUUGGGUUAAUGUUAUGCAUGAAGAGCUUAACAACUUCAAGAGAAAUCAAGUAUGGGAAUUAGUUGAGAGGCCUAGUGAUCAUAAUGUCAUUGGUACUAGAUGGGUCUUUCACAACAAACAAGAUCAAGAUGGGAUAGUUGUAAGGAACAAAGCAAGAUUAGUAGCACAAGUCUAUACUCAAGUUGAAGGUCUUGACUUUGGUGAAACAUAUGCCCAGGUUGCAAGAUUGGAAGCAAUUAGGAUCUUGUUGGCCUAUGCUUGUGCACAUAACAUCAAGUUAUAUCAAAUAGAUGUGAAAAGUGCAUUUCUCAAUGGCUAUAUCAAUGAAGAAUUUUAUGUUGAGCAACCUCUUAGUUUUGAAGAUGACAAGAAACCCAACCAUGUUUACAAGCUAAGAAAGGCAUUGUAUAGUUUGAAGCAAGUACCAAGAGCAUGGUAUAAGAGAUUGAGAGACUUCUUACUCUCUAAAGGUUUCAAGAUGGGCAAGGUUGACACCACUCUAUUCACUAAGAAGAUUGGCAAAGACUUGUUUGUGCUGCAAAUCUAUGUUGAUGAUAUCAUAUUUGGAUCAACCAAUCAAGAAUUUUGUGAGGAGUUUGGAAACAUGAUGGCUAAUGAGUUUGAGAUGUCAAUUAUUGGAGAGCUUAGUUACUUCCUUGGUCUUCAAAUCAAGCAAUUGAAAAAUGACACAUUUGUGAGUCAAGGCAAGUACAUAAAAGACAUGCUCAAGAAGUUUGGAAUGGAUGAUGCAAAGGCAAUUAGCACUCCAAUGGGAACAAAUGGAAGCCUAGGUAGUGAUACAAGUGGAAAUAUGGUGGAUCAAAAGUUGUAUUGGUCUAUGAUUGGAAGCCUACUCUAUGUGACUGCAUCAAGAUCUUGUUGUCGGUUUGAUGGGCCAUGGAACGACACGACACGACAUGCUUGAUGGGUCGGCACGACACGAAAACCAGCUCGUGGGCCGUGCCUUGGGCUGAAGGCUAGGCACAAAGUUCGUAGAGGCAUGGCCCGCUAGGCACGAUGGCCCGUAGCGGCCUAGCGAUCUGCGGCACGACACUACGGGCCAGCCCGGCAUAGCCCGUUGGACAUCUCUAGCAAUGCAUUGUUAUAUCCAUCAUAGCCAUCCACCAGUUGUGGAUGGAAGUGGAUACUUCCCGUUGGCUAGGAAGAACGUCUUAGUUUGUUUUACCUAUUGUGCAACAUCCUUCUAAAUACAUCUAGUGAUUCUACAUUCGAUGGAAAGAUGAUGGUUAUUUUUUUAUUCCAUGGUAUAGAGGGCAACAAACAUGGUGUGGCCAACUGGUUGUCCUCUUCCCAUAAUCAUAUUCGCUAUCUGCGAGAGGUACCACACCAUCAAUCAACCGAAGAAAAUAUAUUUAUGGGAUGCUAAGGUUGGUUUUAGUGGAGCCCAAGAAUUAUGCUUUGUAGACUGAAUUUACCAAAUAUUCAUGAUUCAUGGUGAAUUUCCACACUUUUCACGGAGGUGCCCAAGGUUUUUUAUCACUCCUCUUUAUGUUUUGUGAAGUUAGUGGAAUAUAUAGUUUUGAAUAUAUAUAUAUAAGAAGUAUUGUGCAUCACAUAUAUAGUCGUAAAUGGUAGACCCCUCACCUUAGGCAAUGAACUCUCCCAUAAGAAUAAGAUCCAAAUUUCUUCUAUUUGUCUAGAAAGCUUAGACCUUAUUAGAUGAAAAACAUUACUUUAGAAUAUCUAUAAACAACAUUGAUUUUUCAAAUACUUUGGUUUUGGAGGUGUUUAGAUGUAACAAAUUUUGUAGUUUUGAAAAGCAUUGUUUUGCUAAAAUUAUGGUUCUAGACCUCUUUUACUAAACUAUAGUUUUGUAUAUCAAUAGGAUUUAAAACUGUAUUUUAUUAAUACACACAUAAUUUCUAAAAUAAGAUACAACAAUACUGUUGUAUUUCUAUGUACAAAACAUGAUUUUACCAUGUACCAUUAUAGUGAAAAUAUACAAUGACAUUGGAUCAAAGUGACUCCUUCCAUGUAGAGGGUAAAUUUCCCAGUGGAGGAUAUGAUACAAGAUGAGCGACUCAAAAUAAAUGUUGCUUUUAGCUAGUAUACUAUCUCUGAAUACAAUAUGGUUCUACAAAUGCUAUUAGCCUAAUAUUUUCCUAUUGUCCCUCUUAAUUCCAUCUCUCCUUUUUCUCAUACAUUUCUCAAUUUUCUUUCAUGCACUUAAAGAACCAUGCAUUUUAGGUAUUUCAUCUACUACCAUCUUAAUCAUCGUAUUCAACUCUAAAACGACAUCUAUUUUGAAGAUGAGUGUAUGCCCUAUAUCAUCUAGCCAUUUAAAUGAUGAUUAAUUACUUCAUCUUUAACAUCCACUCAUAGCUUUUUUUGAUGCCUAAACUCUUUGAGUACAAAUUAUAGUAUCUGAACUCACGCACCAACUCAUACCACCACAUGCACCCACACAAACUCACAUACACCUUAGUGCGCAAGUUAGACCUACACCUACACGAAGAGGAUUGAGAGGUAUUCGAAGUCUACCAUACUUCGCACGUGACGGGCAUGUCACUUUGAUCAUUGUGGCGCAUCCAUGUGUGAGGCUAUAGAUACCAGGACCUGCAAAUUUAUUGUUGGAGAAAACCCCUAGUGAGACAUGUGAGUGUCGAUCCAGGAAUCGAACUCACGCGCGGCCGCUGGCACACUUGGCAACCUAGCCAACCAAGCUAAGCUUGGUCCUUAUAUCCACUCAUCGCUUUGGAUCCCUAGUGGCACCCCAUUGCCUUCAAUAUCUUUAUUUGCUUUUUUUCUAAAAAACAUCUUGAUAUUUGAUCUACAUAUAUCUUUUUACCUCUCUACCUACAACUCUUAUUAGUACCUUGUAUAACAUGGAUAUACCCUUUUUGCCUCGAUUUACAUUCUUUUAUAGAUAUUUUAUGUGACUUCAUUCUAACAUAUACUCGUACUUUGCUAUGGAUUGUGAAAAUUGAGUUAAAGUUUACUGUUUGUUUACUAAGUGUGUAGUUCACAAAAAAAUAUUAUACAAUAUUUGUGUUAGCAAUAUACAAAACUGAGUAAUUAUUCCCUUUCGUUAUUAGAACUCCAUAACAGGUCUCUCUCUUUGCAAAUAGUACCUAUGCACAACUUUUAACUUGAAAUUUUAAGCCAUCAGUUUUGCUCCAGGCCUUCAAAUUAAUGUAUCUAACGGGUGACGAGUAACUAUAAAAACUGGCUCAACUUUGCCUCCAGGCUUGCUCCUUUAUUCUUCUCUCUAAUGUUGAACAUUUGAUCAACUUGUGGCCUUCUCUAUCUCCUCCAUGGUGCCAUCUAGCUCAGCUCUUAGUGUGGACUUCACCUAGCUCAAUCAACACUUAGUUUCAGCUAUGACUUUUUAGACAAGCAAAUAUGCUCAUAGUCUAGACGAUCAACAUUGACUAAGUAUAAUACCCUAUACGUUCCAAAUUAUAAGACGUUUUGUUUAUCCCCUAAACACUAAUCUCUAAUGAGAAGUACUAUUGAAUGCUAGGUGGCAUCCCUCUAUCCAUUCUGGCGGACAUAACGUCACUUAGAUCGACUAAUGUGAUGCUACACCAACAAAAUGACAAUAAAACCAUUCAAUAUGUAAAAAUAAAGAGUUUUAAAAGGUAAGAAGUCAAACAAAAACGACUUUUGUAGACAGGGGAGGGAGGAAAUGGGAAGUUCUAGAUUUUUUUUUAGAAUUAGAAACAAAAAUCCUUUUUAGUUUUUUUUUUGAGAAACAAAAGACCUUUUUAGAAGAAAUGACUUUUUGCUUUACAAUCUAUACUAUAAUUGAAAUCUUCUUCAAGUCACCUCCUUCCUUCAAGAUCAACGGCUCAAAACACACCAAUUAGGAAUCCAACGUCUGAGAUUAAGAUGUUAGAAGCCGCUUCCAACUCGUCUGAGAUUAAGAUGCUGCUUCAACGGGCAACAUCAGCGACCGAAACCUGUUGUACGCGAAAAAAAACAAAAAAAAAAGCGCCCAGCCACCUACUCCGUCAAUGCAAAAAAAAAAGAAACAAAAAAAACUGCUGCUCGAACGCCGCCAACCAGUAGAUCGAUCUCCUGCCGGCCCUCGCCCAGACCCCCAACGACGUUGAUACGGUUCUCGGUGAGCGAGGGUCGGCUACGGCACCUGGCCGGGGGCUAGGGUUGCACAGGGUGACGUUUGUGCGGAUCUCGGCAGCGACACAGGCGGUCAUGAUCCAGCCUUAAUUCCUCCCCGCGCUUCUUCUCCUUGAUGGCUGGGAGCCUGGGACCAACCCGGCCUCCCCGUACGGCCGCAUUGCCAUCGCCGCCAGUCUCAUCGUUGUGAAAUGGGAUCUGCAGAACUAUCUCUGCCGCCAGGGAUGCCGUCAUGCUGCUCCACGUGCGCCCCACCUCCAUCCGCUGCGUCGUCGAUUGGGGCUCCAUCCCGUCCUCCAUCGUUGACGAGGCUGACGCUGCCGAGGACGCCGCCACCACUGCCACCGUCGAGGGCGGCCCCUCGGAGGAGUUGCAGGAGAGAAGUCGUGCACCGGGUCUGCCCCUUCUCUUUUUCUUAACUAUACAUUUUUACUUUAUUAAUGUUUUUUUUUGAACAUGUUUUACUUUAUAUUAAUGUGGAUUGACGAUUUUCCUAUGUAGCUUUUUGUGCAACUGACUUAGUACGUAAGUUUCUGAUGUGGAGGACAAAUGUUAGUACAUGACAGUUGAUUCAGUAUUUCAGUAAGAAACUUCCUCCAGUUAUUUCAUUACUUGUUAAUCUUUGAUCUUUUGUAAAAACUUGUAGCGUCAACAACAAGCUGAUAGCGUGGUUUGUUUCAUGGUACUACUGCCCUUCAGGCUUAUUUAAAGACCCAUAUAUCUUUUUUGGGCAGACAUUAGUUUACGUUAAAUCAGUUAACUUGCGUCAGGCUCUUGUAAACUGUGAAGAAUACCUGAUAGCAUCUGCAAAUGUACAUGAAAGUAGGGUGAAAUACAUCUGCUGCUGCAGAUUGCAUAUCUUCACCGUUGAUAUUGCAUUUUUAUUCAUUAUUGUUUAAUUCAAGAAUAUGCAAUGCAACUUUUCUAUGUAUUAUAAUAGAGAUUUGCUCGGUUAGUAUUUAGAGUAAACACAAGAAAUUAAUAUUCAAGUGAACUUUGCUAAUCAGAAUUAUAAUAUAACGUUGCAUGUGGCUUUCUUAUGCAGGGGUUGGGGGUGUUAAAUUCUCAGUCAUCUGUGCUUUGCCAUCUGUGCUUUGCCAUAAUAUAACGUAUAUAGUGUUUGCAGGGGGCAUGCUACAAAACUUUUGAUGUGCCCUUACUACUGUGCCUUAACAGAUUGUUGCAUUUGUCUUGACAGUACUCUUUAUUUUCUUUCCUCCUGUCUGAAAUCUGGAUGUUUUUCCCUACGUUAGGAAUGUGCUAUUUCUGUAUAAUGCUGGCACAACAAUGAAACAGAAUUUUAAUAUAGGGAAGAUAAAAAAUAUUAAAAGCUGCUUGCUUAUAUUUUUUAACCAUCAAUCAUGAUUUUUUUCUUUCCACCUAUCUGGAUGUUUUUGCAAAUACAGAAACUUGUGUCUACUAAAAAUGUUCUAUUGUCGACGACAUGGAAAAUCUAGGUCCUGGAGUUCCUCUUCCAACUAGAGGAAGAAGAGGUUGAGUAGAUCCUACACUCUCAACAGUGGCAAGGUCUUUCUUUUAUUUUUGAUUUUUUUUGUGAAUGCAGUUAAAAUCGUCCUUUUUAACACAAUUUAGUUCAACUCUGAUUCUUAGUUGUGUGGCAUAUAUACUGUGUAUCAGUUUUUAAUAGCGUGACUCGCCUCCAUCUUCAACCAGUGGCACAAAGUUCAUGUGAGCUAGGACUCAGUCUUAUUGGCCAAGGCUUUAGGUGAGCUCAAUGUUUGUGAUUUCUUAUGUCUAUGGCCCAUGUGCUAACAACGACCAGAAAGAUUGACUUGCACUGUAUCAAAUAUCAGAGAUUAACUCACAUAUUCACAAGUUAACAGUUCAUAUAGAUUCACUGACUCGGUGCUUUUGCUCUGUAGGAUUGGCGGAGAGGCUAUUGCCAAUUUGCACUGAACUGAAUUUUGCUGAUGUUGGACUCAAUGACCUGCUCAUCAGUUCCUAUGGCUGGGCAAUUUUGCCCACUUCCUAUGAUCUGUGCACCAGUACCAGGUAUAAACAUUUGUUUUUCUAUGCUAGGUAUAAGAACAUUAGUAGUCAUUUCCUUUCUUAGUUGUAUUGCAAAUGUUAGAUCAGAUACCUUGCUAUCCAUCGACAAAUGCUGCUAAAGUUAAUGCAUUUAAUGUGUUCUUCACAUUGUGCUAAGUGUAAGAUAUCUUAAUCUAAUUUGUGUAAAGUUGGAUUGUAUUAAGCACAGAUAAUUGGAUACUGCAACAAAAAAGUUCAAUUAACUUACAUUUUUUCUUUUAUGCAACAGCUCAUAUAGUGGGAUGUUCAGAUGGACCACUUUUUAUAUAUAAAAAGGUUAUUUAUGGUUAAUUGUUCAAGUUGCCAUAGGUGAGUCAUACAUACUUGACCCAUUUUUAUGAUUUCUACAUGUUUGCUGUUGCAGGCAUAUAGAUUAGAUUUGACAAGCACAAGACACAUAGUAUUAAGCAUCAGACAUUCCAGAGCUGAAGACCUGUAGUAAAUUUUAUGAAAUUUCUUCAAUUCUGCUGCCUGAAGAUGAUUUCUUUUCGACCACUUGUCUGAAGAUUUAUCUAGGAGAUAAUUGUACAGAGAGAGAUACUUUUCAAGAGCUGUAGUUCAGCGGAUAGCUUGAACUUCAUCUAAAAUUCAUUAUGAAAGUUUACCUUGUGGCAAAUAUGUCUAUGUUCGUCAUAUAUGUCUGUCUGUCUUAUUUAAUGUUAAAUAUGCCAAUGAUCCAUAUGAGGUACUCAUCAUUUUGUGGUAAAAGACAGAACACUAAGGUUCGUGAUUAGCAGAUAGAAACAUGUCACGGGACAACAAACUCGCAGAGCAGUUAUGCAUGAGUGUUUUCCGGAUUAUACACAUAGUUCUUGUUGUAGAAAAAAAGAUUAUAUACAUGGCUCUAUAGGAUCGUGUGAAACUUUCUAUGUAAAAAGAAUUUGUCUAUACGUAUCUCUAAAAUGAAGCCGUGGCGUUAGCACGGGCAAUGUACUAGUUACAAUAAUAACGCACUUUGAUCAGGCCGGGCUUAGGCGAAUUGCAGCCCAUAUGGGCCCAUUCAACGGCGGCACGGCACGACAAGCAAGCGUCAUGUGCGAGCUGUUUUUUCUCGCAGCGGGUAGCCCUGUCCCUGACCUGACCCUGACCCGUGCGUUGCGCCUCCUCGCAGACGGCGCCAGGAGCCGCCUCCUCGCCUUCUCGCCAUCGGCCGGCGGCGACGGUGGCUGCUUCCCCGAGCCCGCAGGUGCUGCCUUCUACCUCCGCCGUUCCGCUCCCCUUCCUCUGGCUUCUACCUCCGCCGUUCCCCUUCCUCUUGCUCGUAGCUCUUCACGCGUUCCUGUGGAUCUGACAUUUUCCUCGCGAAUCCACGGCUCAGAUCGGGCGGUAGAUCUGGUUGGGCUAGUCGCUGUCCGAAGCAGCUGCCGAGCUAGUCCGCGGCUGCGCGCUGCCGCCGGGGGGGCUUACGGCGCCAGAUCUGGAUAGGAAAACGCAGCGCACAAACUGAGCUAAAUUCUGUUCGAUUCGAGUUAUUAUUAAUAGGGGUUCGUGUGGCUGCAUGUUCUGGAUUUUUCCUCCACGUGUUGCGGUCGUGGCUGACUCUUGUUGCCGGCCUCGAGCCAGAUCUGGUCAUGCUGCUACCGUGGAUGACUUAUUGCUUGAUUCCGAUUUGUUUGCAUGUUUUUUUUAUAUAUUUCUUCGGUUUAAGGAUAGUCUCAAGACCCAUGAGCAUAUAUACCGGAAAGUGGAGACAGAUUUGGAAAAUCUUCAUUUAUUAUUAUUGCUAGCUUAUAGUUUUGGGGUACUAUGCUAUUUUUCCUGGUUCUCUUAAUAAUUGAACUAUAAUAAAUCAACAAAUCUGCCACUACAGUCGUCAUGGGCAACUGUUAAAAACUCUAAACAACACCUAAUCGGGGCGCCUAGAACAGUCCACGAACCUGAACUGCUGAACUUAAAUGGUUGGAAGCCACAGAUGUGUACUUUGCACUUUCUGAUUCCUGAUGGUUUGUUUACUGAUUUAUGCUCAUUUACUCUUUCCUUCUUCCAGGUAGACCACCUUUAGUUGGUUCCUCGAGUCUUCACCUGGUGCUUCAGUUUGCAGCUUCAUUUUUAAGGUAAUCAGAUCACAUCACUGCCAAGUAUUAUGGUAUAUGGUCUCUUCAGUCGUAUAAGGGUCUAGGCUAGGAAAUCUCCUGUUUGAAAAUCUAACCUACUGGGGAGAUGCCCAACAAUCCCAAGAAACCUCACAUUCUAUGAAACACUAUGUUUACUUGUUGAUUUAGGCUUCAGAAGCUAGGUUCUCCUUGAAUUUGAUCAUUGUUUGGUUGAUGUUUUGCUUUGGUAAACACUUGAGAUGGGGUCGCUGGAUCAUGCAAUUCUGUUGUUAUGUAUGUUCUGGCAUAUCAUCAUUUAUUAUUUAGUUUUAUUUUGCAUUUUAUUAGUUUGUGGAUGCUUCAGCAGUGUGGUGCAUAAUUAAAUUAUCAUUUUGUAAUAAUUUAUGGUUUGGUGUAUGUGAGUAAUUAGAAUGGAAUUUGAUAAAUACUGCUUGGAUUUCUACCAUGUGUUCCACAGUUACAUUUUGUCAAGUUCAUGGUGUGUCCCAUCACUGCAGUUCCUCAUAUGUGAUUGAAGUUUCAUGGAACCACCCACUGAUUUUGCUAUAAUAAUAUGAAUAAUUUAGUAAAACUAAAAAUUAGAAUAAGAAUUUGGAAAGGUGAACCAAGAAGUGUAGACCUAUUGGACAACUACACUUUGUUUCAAGUUAUUAAGGUAGAAUAAUUACGAGCUGAAGAUGGAUUAUCAAGCUUCUUUUUUUUUUGCUAUCUUGCCUCAUUUUGGUCUUUGAGCUACCAAUUUUCUACUACCUUCUAUUAAAAUAGUGUAUCUUUCCAUGUCACAUUGCUUAAGUGUGUAUACCAGUUAUAAGGCAAAAUAUUCCAUUUUGCAUUCUUCCCUAUUUCCAUAGACUGAUAAGCCCUAAUGUUGUCACAUGUUUUUAUUCACAUUUCAAGUUUUAGGAUUAAUUAAUUGUGAAGUUUGUUUUCUUCCUAUGAUAAGUAUUUAUAUUGCAGUCUGUAAUUUAUUGGCUGUUUAUCUGACACUACACUCUGUUGUGUUUUCUUAUUAGAUGUCACAAGCCAGGGAAGUGAGGUUAGUAUCCCUGCAUGGUGACUUGUUAUAAUUCUCUUGUUCUCUGACUCAGACCAAAUUCUCAUAAUCUGGUGAUAUUGCUUUUAGGUACACUGCACGGUCUAUUACACCUCCUGCUGAUAGAAAUGGCACCUCAAGCUCGCCUCCUCCAAAGAGACGCAGCCCUUCAAGGUCACCUCCACCAAAGAGUGCUUCACGGUCCCCACGUCCAAGGAGUCCAAAGAGACGCAGCACUUCAAGGUCUCCUCCUAGGAGACGUGGUAGAUCAAGGUCAAGGGAUAGAAGUCGGUCCAGGCAAGUAUAUCACUUGUAACUGAUAGUUUAUCAAAUAUUAUUGUUUCCAAUGAGUGAAUGAUUUGUUUUUAGCUCCAGUUUUGCAAUUCUACACAAAUAUGGGACUGGGGCAGUACUGAUGUUCAGUUCUUUAUCAUGCACAGGAGCCCAGAUGAUAGAAAUCCAGGGACUAACCUUUAUGUGACUGGGUUGUCUACUCGUGUAACUGAAGAAGAUCUUCAGAAGUUCUUUAGUAAAGAAGGAAAGGUAUAAUGUCAAAUUAUUAGUUCACGCAUUCUUAUUAUGAUGUUCUAUUCGGGUGUUCUUUGGUUCACGGCUGGAGCCUCACUCUUAAGGAGAUGUUUCUUCAGCUAAGCGCAUAGAUAUGAGUGCUGGGUUAGUGUAUUGUGCUGUGAGUCUUGGGUUUGGGAGUCUCUCUCCCUUUGUACUAGGAGUAUUCCUGUCUCUCCUGCAUAUGAAAUGACAUGCUGUUCUGUGUUGUCUGAGAAAAUUAUUAUGGUCUCUAUUUUAUUUCUAAGUGUUUGUGUAUUAAUCUUGUCUAACGUUAUGGUAUCCAAUUAAUCAGUUCCAUCUUUCAAUGCAGGUUAAAAACUGUCAUGUUGUUCUUGAUCCUAGGACAAAAGAAUCCCGUGGUUUUGCCUUCGUGACUAUGGAUACUCUUGAAGAUGCAAGACGCUGCAUCAAGUAUCUGCACCGCACUGUACUUGAAGGUCGCCUGGUCACUGUAGAGAAGGUUAGAUACUAACUGUACUGAUUCAUUCCAUUAUGCAUUUUUCUAUUGCAUGUUUGUUGAAUAGUGCUAGUUUUGUCAUGUUAUAUUUAUAUAGUAAUUUCAAGUAGUCUAAUACUAGCAGUACAAUUAAAAAUAUAAGGCUACUAUACUGUCAAGCUGUCUUUUUUUGGUCUUGUGUUUGCCCCUCCCCCCUCCACUUUAGUCUUGAAUGAAAACCACUGAUGUCUUAGUAACAUAAAUAUAUUAAUCUCUUGCACCAUGGAAAGUAUAUUCCAUUACAUUAAAACUUCAAUGAUGCUAUGCUCUGUUCAGUUUAAAACUUUGGUGAAGGGUCCUUGAGAUGAGGUAUGUUAUGGGUAGAAGAUUACAAAUAUGCUCUUUCCCAGUGAUGGAAGAGUAUAUUCUGGAACAGCCAAGCCUGGAAGUUCCACUCAGGUGAAUUGGGCCAGAGUAAAUUGAAAGGGAAUCAUUUCUGAUGUGUUCUGAUGCAAUCCUAGUGUGGUGAAUGGGGAAAACUUCUGUGGCUCUUCAACUGGGGUCUUAACUCUCGUCUCGUGCUGACUUCCUGACCUUCCAGUUUAACAUGGUGCUGGGCUGCCUCUACGUCAACCUGGUUGGUCCAGGCUGUGCAGUCUUCAACCAUGGUUGUCUCCAAAGGAUGUGCAGCUGAAGUGAUGGUGCUUAUCACCACACCCUCAGAGCUCAUCACCACUUGCCGUCUACACCUCCCUCGCCGACAAUGCAUACAUGCUACAUCAACACGAGGGCUGUCGCCGUAGAGCGAUCGUGGAGUCUUGUUGUGCGUUGCGUCACCGUCACCACCACCGCCACCGCCACCUCUACCACUACUGCCAUCGUCAACACCAUGCUCAUGAUCCAACAGGCUCUACGAUAUGUCUGCUUCGACUAAGCUUACAUGGUGCAUGCUGCUGCCAUGUCACAACACCGACAACCGAGUCUGAUGCGAACUUCAUCGACCAGUAUCUUGAUUUGACGAACAUCACAAGAGGCAUAAUCUGGCGCUCCCUUGGACCAUGGCUACACCGACCACAGAACAAGUGCACAAAAGCCAUCUUUGGUUGAGCUGGCAUGCAACGUAAAGUUAUUAAUCUACUUGUAUCACAAGAAUUUUGAUCAAGAAUUAACAAGCUUAAUGGUCCAUGACUAUUUUUUUUCAGCAAAAGGGCAAAGCUUAGUUUCUUUAUCAAUUCUAUUAACCACCCUGUUCAAAUUUAAGAUUGAAUUGGGCUCCUCCUUUAUUUGGUGUACUUGAAGCUCAUUGCUUGUUCCAUUGCGUACCAACUAAUACAUUUGUUCAUGAUUUCAUUUCAGGCUAAAAGAACUCGCGAAAGGACCCCAACUCCUGGAAAAUACUGUGGUCGAAGAGGUAUGAACCAAAGUUGACCAAUUUUGCACCUCCACAUGAUAUGACCGCAAUGCUUUCUGUAUUAAGCAUCAUUUGUCUUGCUUCUGUAAGUGUUGUUCAGCUUGCAUACAUUGUAGUUGAAUGGAUAUCACUUUAUUUGUUUGCAGUUGUCAGAUGUGCUAUGCUGUUUUAUUAAUACGUAAACAUGAACUCAGUCUCUAAACAUUUUGUGUCACUCAUGUGAUAUUUGUUUGCUUGUUGUUUACUUGUUUUGUCAAGUGAUCUUUUAAAUAUUCUAAUGACUGACCUCAGUGGGGUGGGUGUUAUGUUUCCUACAACCUGUGAUUAUAAUUGUAGCUUCUAUGGUGUUCCCUAUUUUUAGCUGGCAUAAUUCCACACUAUCUAAGCUCCGAGUAGACAUCUGUGAUCUAGGUGGUGUUCUAUAUUUUUAACUGGCAUAAUUCCACAAUAUCAAAGCUUUGAGUACACAUCAGUCGUUUAGGCCAUUGUUUUCCUUGAUUAAAAUCACACUUUCGAAGUAGUGAAAAUCACAAGCAUAGCCAUGGGAAACUUGUGUGACAGUAUGUGCAAAAUUGGUUGCAUAUAUCUUUUAUAGGCUUGUGAUCCACAUGUGCUUAAAACAUUAUUAGUAAGGAAAAACAUGGGUUUGUGACGGUUCCUUUUUUUUCCUUUUGCAUUUUGAAUUGCAGCUAUAUUUUUAAUAUUUUUUCUUAAAAAUGCAGGAGGAUCUCAAAGGAGCCCAUCACCUUACCGCCCUCGCAGAAGGGAGCGAUCCCGCUCAAGGGAACGCAGAAGGGAGCGGUCCCGUUCAAGGGAUCGAAGGGAACGGUCUCGCUCAAGGGAACGCCGGAGGGAGCGGUCCCGCUCAAGGGACCGGAGGGAGCGGUCUCGCUCAAGGGACCGCCGGAGGGACCGGUCCCGUUCAAGGGACCGCAGAAGGGAGCGCUCACGCUCAAGAGACCGCAGGGGCAGUUCACCCCAUGACAGAAGGCGUGGAGACCGGUCCAGAUCACCCACCACGAAUGGGAACCGUAAGGCAGACUAGGAAGCGCUUCCCUAGUAUGGAACCUUUUCGUUUCGAGACUAGUCGUGAUUGUGUGAACAAUGGAACUUGUAAUUGCUACCUUCAAAUGGUCUGACUGAGACGAUAGCAUGGGUUGUAGUGGUGUUGCUGUAUUUUAUUGUUGUUUCAUUAAAAGUACUCUAUUAUGUUAGCUUUGGAUCGAAAUAUCGAAUGAUUUUGUUUGUUAUUGUUUAUGAAACUAUGACAUUCUUGUGUGUUUGCUUAAGGUCGUUUUGGCAUGUACUAAGUGUACUGUGCUUAAGAUUGACAGGGUGCAUGUUAGAUGCCUUUGGGCUCGGGUAAUGUAAUGUAUGCCAAUGUUUUCUUAAUGCCCUUCAGUAUGCAGUAUGGCAUUGCCCAUUAGUGGGCUAGAGUUUGCGGGAGAUGCGGUUUACUAGGCGUAUAGUACUACAGAGUCACACUGCAUGCAUUUCUACUUGUGUCCUCUUAUUAUUUUUUUAAAAAAAAUCUUUAUUAUAAUCUUUGUGUGACCUCAGAAAUUUCCAAAUAUGAACCAAUCCAAAAAAAAAUUGACUUAUACAAGUUUAAAAGGUCCAACAGGUAAAUUGCAAAGCGCUCUCCAGAUCCGAGCAAGCCCUGUUAUCUACAGUCUUAUCAUCUGUAGCAUGGAGGCAGAGAUGGCAGGUACUAGUGUACUCAACUUAUUUGGACUACUAGAAAUGUUGCGUGCGUUACUGUUGAAUUUCCAGUCAAAUUCCGACUAAUUUUCCGGGAUCCGAAUCAAAUGCGGCAUGGUCGUACUAGCUGUUUGUACCUAAUCAGUUGCUCUUAUAGAAUGCCACACCACACCAAGCCGUGAUGCCUUUGAAAACCUCACACGCAGGAUGUCAAACACAUACCGUGUCCGUCAAACACAUACCGUGUCCGUUGCUGAGCUCGUUGACAAUUGACACGUCCGUACCGUACGUGCUAACGACGCCGUUUCGCAUGCUUGCUUGCAUGCAACGGUUGACUUUUUCUUUUUUUUUUAUUUCGUCGAAAGUUAAUGUUGCUAACACGCAUCUCCAGCCUUAUCUCCCAGCUAUAGGUUUCGAGCAGCUGCUGUUUCAGCUUCACAUUCUCUAAGGUUUAAUUUGUCAACUGGUGAUCGAGAUCAGUAGCAAGAGGACAAAUUAUACUAUUAGGCUAGUAGAUUUAAUCCCAUCCAUAGGGAGAUAAAACAAUGUUUGAUUAAUAAUUAGGUCAAAUCCUGAAACUGAAAGGGUUUUGUCUCCUCAUGUCACAAACAACAACGUUUAAUUUACAGGCAAUUUUGUUCUUUUUUUCCUUUUUUUUCCUUUUUUCUUUUUCUUUCUUCGUCUAUGUAACCCGGAUACUUGGAGAAACUUUUGUCGUUUAAAAUUUAAGCCAAAUUAAAUCUGUGGAGUUCAAGAGCGACCAAGGCCUUGUUUACUUCCACCUAAAACUCAAAAUUUUUCAAGAUUCCUCGUCACAUCGAAUCUUUGAUGCAUACAUAGAGUAUUAAACAUAGACGAAAAUAAAAACUAAUUGUACAGUUUGGUCGAAAUUUACGAGACAAAUCUUUUGAGCCCUAGUUAGUCUAUGGUUGAAUAAUAAUUACUACAAACAAACGAAAAUGCUACAGUGUCGUGAAACUUUUUUCCUUCAUAAACUAAACACGGCCCAACUCGUCCAACUUGUGUGACGAAAGCAGCUGUGCCAUCCCAUGGUACGGACGGAAACCAGGAUACUUCCUCUGUUUCCACACGACCGGCGGAUCGGGAUGGGAUCGUUCAACAGAAGCUUCUGAGUUCUGAUAUCAUCAUUCUAAAAUCGAAGGAAAUAUGCAGGCUGGUCAGCAACAAGCAUGCACACGCACGUGUGUUGUGUUGUGCUGGACUACCUGCAUUGCAUGGACGCGCCCACCGGACCAACACAACUCGGCCCUGCCCUUGUCCACUUGCAGAGGUACACACGUCGUAGCAUCAGAUGAUAAUAUGCUACUCCUUCUACGCCUAUAAAGAAAGUCGUUUAAGACAGUGACAUAAUCUUUAAAAUAUAAUUUUAACUCUUUAUUUUUAUAAAAAUAUUUAUUAAAAAAGAUAUAUGUAUAUUUUUAUAAAAGUAUUUUUCAAGACAAAUCUAUUCAUAUGGUUUUCGUAUUUUCAAACUCAAUAACUUAAAAGUUAUUUAUGAUUUAUUUUCCCAAUGUUUAACUCAAACCUUGUCCAAAACGUCUUUCUUAAUAAGUAUGAAGGGAGUACACGUUGUGCCGGGAAUUUUUAAACCAAGCUAAAAACGUCUGAUAGAAGGAGGCGUUAAUUAAGUAUAUACAACAUUAAUUUGGACUAAUUUUCCUAAACAAAGGAAUGUGGACUAAAUUAAAACGAGUGAGAGAGUAACUACUUGUAACUUAAGGCUAGUCCUAGUUCUGUACUAUGUUGUUAUGUUCAAGAUAAUAAUGUCUUGGUAUUAAGAAAUCAUUAAGUUGAGGAUUAUGAAGUACCCACAUAUAAAAAAUAUACUUGUGUUUGACAAACAUUUCAAUACAACUCCCAUCUUUCCAAAAACAAAUCACUACAACUUUUAUUUUGUUGCAACUGAUGGCAAUAAUAGUUUAGAAGAAACUAGUUGGCAAAGCUAAGUGCACUCCUAAAGCCUUUUUCCCCCUUCCAAAUCCUAAUACGCCUCAUAAAAAAAAAGAAAUGGAGGGUGCAAUGAUAAGUAAACGAUAUAUAUAAUUAUGGAGGAACCAUCUGUCCAAUUGGUAGCCUUUUGCAACUUGAAGUCACAGCCACGCACUGAGAUCCUGAUCUAGUCUAGAUAGAGAUGGAACGACUCGCCACGCCACUUGCUUGAUGAACAGGUUGCUUGAGUACAUGUACUAGCUAGUUGAAUUGAAACAAUAUGUUGUACCACUCAUUCACUCAUGUAGAAAAGAGCUAAACUGCUAAUUGAAGAUCUCAGCAUGUGCAUGCCGCCUGUUGAUUGUGAUUUGCCAUUACAAGGACAUUCUAACAGCAAUUGCUAACCCAAUGCAAGGGUGCCGUACACAGAAGCCAUACAUUACGUAUACUCACUCCAUUCCAAAAUUUAAGUUGCUUAUGUAUCUAAACAUAUUAUUAUCGUUAGUAUAAACCAAGGUCAACUAGGCUUAGAUCUAGUGUGUGUUCUUUUCUAUUCGGGAUAAACUUGUAGAUCGACAUGGUACUUGAACUAGAGAGUCAGUAAGAGAGGGAGAGAGGGGUAGAUGGGGCUGAACUUCGGUGGGCUUGGUGGAGGAGCUCGCCAUGGCGACGGUGUCGAUGAUGGCAGGUGUCGGUUAAGGGUUGACAUGGGAGCAACGGGCGUAGAAGAGGGCUACGGUGCACAUCUGCAACGCGACUCUCGUGGCUACGGUGUCCCUACAGCGUGGUGGUAGAGCUUCCCGUCGCUUUAGCGCUACCCUAUCGGAUUAGGGUUAGGAAUGUAGGUGGAGUUUAUGGCAGUUGUGGUGAACCUCGUACUGAGCGCCUUGGCCCUCACCUUCCUCUUUAUAGCAUUGCGCGAUGGAGGCCCACCAACCAUAAUUCAGGGCUCGGAUCAAAAGCCCAAGUUGGUUGUUAGGUCAACUCAGUGAAAAUCAGCUUAACAAUUAUAUCUAGAUGCAUAGUAACAUGGAUGUAAAAAAAUCAAAGUGACUUAUAAUUUGGAAUAGAAGAAGUACCUACAAAGAAUAGAAUAUCACAUAGCAUGAAGAUAAAAAGAUAAUGCAAUGUCGCACGUGCUUGUAAUAACUUAUAUGGAAACUAAUUAUGUAAAACUGGCAGGAGGUUUACCAAAUUUAAAUAUUAAUAUUAGAAGAAGAGUUAAAGCCUAAGCAAAAUAACAAAAAGAAAAAAGGGUAAAAAAGAAAGCCAACUACGUAAAACAUUUUUUACAACAAACUACCUAAGGCCUUGUUUAGUUGGUUAAUUUUUUUGUUUUGGCUACUGUAGCAUUUUUAUUUGUUUGGUAAUUAUUGUCCAACUAUGGACUAACUACACUCAGAAGAUUCGUCUAGCAAAUUAUAGAUAAACUGUGCAAUUAGUUAUUUUUUUAGUUUAUAUUUAGUGCUCUAUACAUAUACCGCAAAAUUUGAUGGGAUUAAGAAUCUUGAUAAAUUUUGGGAACUAAACCAAACAACAUUGAAAACUAAUGAAUGAAGCUGCUAAAGAGCUAAUAAUACAUACACGGUGCACGUACGAAACAUUUUUUUUCUUUGGACACAUGGGAAGGUAACAAAAGGCACUUUUGGAUGUCAGUUAAUUGGCAAGGAAACAAAAGUGAUGAGCAUAUCUCUUUCUCUCUCUCUCUCUCGUCAUCAGGCUUAGUGCUGAUCUCUCGCCUCUGACGUCAUCAGGAGACAGGGGAGGCACCUUGUGGUUUUGUUUAUUCCAGCGACGCGCAAAGAGGGUUGAAGAUUCCCAGUGUACACGUCGGCCGGUCGCCGGUCAAGCUCGUCUGAUUUCUCCACACCCAACCAAAACAAAACUCUGACCAUCACUUCACUCAUCCAUCCCUUCCCUCGCCACUUCACUCUAUUUUUAAUUAACAAUAAAAAAACAUCUCACUCUCACCAUCAGUCUCAUGCCCUACUAUAUAAUAUAUAUCGAUUUAUCUAUAUAAGCAUCGCGUGCAUUGGUCAAACAAAGAUGAGUUUUUUGUUACACUUUCUUCAUUCCGUGUGCUUUACUAGGGCAUUGUUUACUUCCACCCAAAACCUUAAAAUUUUUCAAGAUUUCUCGUCACAUCAAAUCUUUAGACGCAUGCAUGGAGUAUUAAAUGUAGAUAAAAAUAAAAAAACUAAUUGCACAGUUUAGUCGAAAUUGAUGAGACAAAUCUUUUGAGACUAGUUAGUUCAUGGUUGGACAAUAAUUAUCAUAAACAAACGAAAAGUGCUACAGUGUCGCGAAAUUUUUCUCUUCACGAACUAAGGCCAGUAUAAGGUAAGAUAUAAUCACAUGAUACUGUAGUGCGAAAUGUCACAAGUUGAAGCUGCCUGCAACAAUCUGAAAGUGAUUCUACGGUGUUGUUAUCAAGCCUAUCGUUUCCUGAGUUAUUUUAGUCAUUAUUUGUUUUUCCCUGAAUUACAAUAGCACUCACAUCAAGUCCGACUUGAAGGUAAAAGAGCAGGUUUCACUAUAAGGAACCCCACUAGAUGACCCAUGCUUAAUUCGUAAUUGUUUUAGGUCAUAUUUGGAUCAUCUGAAACUAAAGUGUAGUUGGACUAUAAAGUUUAGUCCGAUGCUGCUUGGAUACAUAAAAUAGAAGUAAAUUAAAAACAAAAACCUUUGGUGGAUGAAGUUCAAGUGCACCAGAAAUUAAAUCAGUUUACUUUUUAGUUCAUAUGUUUAGAUACCUAGAUCGAAGUUUAAACAUUCUUCUUUACUCAUGUAUGCUAUCCUGCUAGGUUCAUUUUUUUCCCAAAAAAAAUCGUAGGACAAUAUUCAUGUCAUGAAAUCUUAAAUUCCACAACACAUGCGAAAGAAAAACCAAACGCGCUGGUAGCAGUAGUAGAUGACAUGCUAGGAAUGGAAUCCCAUUUGAACGAGCCGAGCAUACGUAUACAGCCUGUGCCAAAAUGCACGAACAAAAAGAAAAAAAAAACGAAACGAGGUCAAGCUAUAGAAGACCCAAAAAGUGACAAAUUUAGUCUCCAGCAGAAGAAACAACUGAGGUCACAAACAAAUUGGAGCAGAGUUUAGACGACCGCUGGUAGUAGGUCACUCUCUCGGUGUGUGUGGCUCACCAACCAAACUCGGAGCUGCAGCUGCAGCUGCGGCCAAGAUUUGUACCCUGACGUGCCUGCCUGCCAGUGUUGCAGCCGCAGCAAAAAGAAAAGACGAGAAAUCCAUCCAAGUUUAGGCCUUGUUUACGUCUUGUUUAGUUCGUCCAGAAACCAAAAACUUUUCAAGAUUUUCUGUCACAUCGAAUCUUAUGGUGUAUGUAUGGAGCAUUAAAUAUAGAUAAAAACAAAAACUAAUUGCACAAUUUACCUACUCCAUAAUUGGAUAAAGUUUAUCAAAUAAAAACGAAAGUACUGCAUUGUCAAAAUCUAAAAACUUUUCGGUUCUAAACAAGGUCUUAGUUCCAAAUAAAUUUUGCAAAAGGUUUCAGAUUCUCCGUCACAUCAAAUCUUGCGGCGCAUGCAUGAAACAUUAAAUAUAGAUAAAAAUCAUAACUAAUUGCUAAAUGCACAAUUUGCCUAUAAUUUACGAGAUAAAUCUUUUGAAUCUAGUUAGUCUAUGAUUAGAUAAUAUUUGUCAAAUAUAAAUGAAAAUGUUACAUUAUCGAUUUUGCAAAAAAAAAAAAAAAAAAAAAUUGGAACUAACUAAGGCCUUAUACUGUACUCCGUAUGCUGGUGGUUUCUGACAGCGGGGGAGAUGCAAGAGAAAAGAAGAGAGAAGGAAAAGUGCAUUUAUGACAAGUUGGAGAGGUUUGAACCGGUCAGGAAUUUGACUUUGAACCUUCGCUUGGAUUGCAGCUGCAAUGCAGAGCCCAUUGUCCUUGUGUAUUGUGUCUGUGUGUCUGCCAUGCCUGGGCCACCUCCCCUCUCCCUCUCCCUCUCCCUCUCCCUCUCCUUGCUGCUGCAUGGACACAGAAAGGGGGAAUGGGAUAGGAUUAGCAAAGACCGUGGAACCGGUCCAAGAUUCCCUCCUCCCUCCGUUGUUAGCGGAUCCACGGCCGCCAAAGCCCGACCCGACACGCGGUUCAACGGUCAAACAACGGAAAACCAACUCGAGUCAAACCGCCAAAGUGAAGGAUUGGAUGGGCCCGUGAUUAUUAUUAGCGACCAAAAAGACGAUGGGGUUUUCUUUUUUUCAGCAAAAGCCAUAGCUCCUCCGCUCGUCUCAGCGCAUGACAAGUCGUUUCCUCCAUCAACAAGGACGGCUUCUUCUUCUAUCUAUAAUCGAUCUAGUAUCUACUAGAAGAGUACACGAAUCGUUGAUAACAAAUUGAGGUGACCACAGCUCAUCUCCCUUUUUGCUUACAAAUAGAACAAGGACUCGAUCAUUCCAACGAUGUAAUAUAACUAAUAAAUAUAAUGCUAUGUUAAGCUUAUCUAGGAUCUUAUCUUGAUUACGUUGGACGUGCAGACUCUAGGCUUUGAUUUUUUUUUUCUCUCCAAGAAAUUUCCAAUACAAGACAACCUGCCACGUAGAGUAUGAUUUUCCUUCUUUUCUGAGAGAGCCUUUCAAAAUUUAUAUCCAAAAUACGGGACACGUGUUUAACUGACUAGUUACGUUAGAAUGCACCCGAAGCAUAUAAGUACAUCCUCUAUUUUAACUAAAUAUAGUGACAAUACAUUCACGAAGGGACCAUAGACGUCAAAUUGCACCUUUGAAAUAACAAAUAAAGCAGAGCAAUUUUAAUGUUAAGACAUGUAUCACCACAUUCUCAUUGCUAAAACAUUGUAGACUUGCAGUACCACCAUGUCUAAGAACUUCUCUUCCUCUUCUUUCUUUUUUUAACUUUCAAAACACAUCUAAAUUGAGAAUAAAAAAUAUCAUUACGAAUUAAAGAAAAUAAUAAAGAAAAACUCACCAACCGAUCAAGAACACAAAGUAUAAGAAACAAGAAAAGAGGGACUAAAGAGCCAAAUAAACCCUUGGCAUCAUAAGAGUGGCGCACAGUUUUUCAAAGCUAUUUGAUCCCACGAUGACACAUUCUCUACGCAGAGCAACACAAGACCUGAUUGUUCUGCUCGUGGAGACUCCAAGCAACAAUUUGGUCCAACGCAACUGAUAUAACAAUAUUAUCUUUUCUAAGGGAAUUGUCUAUGCUUUUGAUUGUUGUUCACUCACUAAAUGUUACAAACAUACACUGUGUCCUCUUCUUUGCUGAUCACAAAACAAAUAUGAACGACGAAUCAACACACACAUCCGUGCACUGGUACCGUCUAGACCUGUUCAUGGGCCACAUCCAUCCGAUUUAUUCAAAAAAAAUGAUCCAACUCAACCUACUAGUGUGCUAGAUCAAGUUUGGAUCAUUAUUUUCGACCUGGUCUGAUUAACCUAAAAAAUCGACUUAAAGUAGAAAAUCCAAGAAAUAGCUUGACAUAAUUUAGCAGUUUGUCGGGUCAAACUUAGGUCAAAGAUUAGCCCAUUCGCUCGGCAUAAAAGCCAUGACUGAAAAUACCAUUCGCUGAUUUGUCGUAAAAGAAAAAACAUUACUAAAUGACUGACAUAUUCGGCAAAUAAGUUCAAGCGGAUAGUCUAACUAUUUUUUCAGCUCAUCCAACAUUAGAUGACGUCUAGUACCAUUUCAUCUGGGGAAACUUGUGCUUGCUCAGCCACGUGCCAAUGCUUUAAACUCAAAUAUGAGCGGGGUGAGGUUGAUCAAAUAACGGUUUGCAAAACAGAGCAUAGUAGUAGGAGAAGAGAAGCCGAGACCCGACCCGGCAAGGCGGCAGCCAAUCGCAGUGCGGUCUCCCCGAUCUGGGCUGGUCAAACAAACAAAUGAUCGGCUUCCCUUCCUCUGGUCGCCUCACUUCACUUGAAAUUCCCCAACGCGGACGCGCUUCCCCCUCCGGCCUCCCUCCCCUCGCUAUAAAACCCCCGCUCGCCAUCCCCGCCACCCACCAGUCCUCCUCCUCCACGUCAAGCCAAGCCACUUGACGCCGAUCGCUCGCCACCUCACGCAGCACAAGCCUCGAGCUGCAACGACCGACCGGACCGGACCGGCCUCCCCUGCUCCGGCUCCCGCCGAAGCCUCCCUCGAUCGAUCCUCGUCGAAGCAGCAAUGGCUGAUGCCGUGGAGAGCGGCGGGCGGGCGCUCCUGGUCUCGGAGCUGGGCCGCGUGCAGGACCUGGUGCGCCAGCUCGAGCAGCAGCUGCGCGCGCCCGCGGACGCCGCCUCCGUCGACCUCUGCCGCCGCCUCGUCCACCAGAUCGUCGCGCUCACCGACCACUCCAUCGGCAUGCUCCGCGCGUCCCCGGCGGACCUCGCUCCCUCCCCGCCGCUGUCCGCCACCGGGAGCCCGAUCAGCGGCGGCGACGCCACCUCCGACCACCACCACCACCACCCCUUCCGCGCCGCCGGCGCCAGCCCCAAGAAGCGCAAGGCCACGGCGCGCUGGACCAGCCAGCAGGUGCGCGUCAGCGCCGCGGGCGGCGGCGCCGAGGGCCCCGCCGACGACGGCCACAGCUGGCGCAAGUACGGCCAGAAGGACAUCCUGGGCGCCAAGCACCCGCGGGCCUACUACCGCUGCACGCACCGCAACUCGCAGAACUGCCCGGCCACCAAGCAGGUGCAGCGCGCCGACGACCACCCCGCGCUCUUCGACGUCGUCUACCACGGCGAGCACACCUGCAGGCCGCCCGCCGCAGCUGGCGGCUCCGGCGGCGCCAAGAGGGCGCAGCAGCAGCAGCACAACCCGCACGCGCAGGCAGCGCUGCAGGGCCUCGCCGCGCGCCUCACGGUGGCCACCACCACGGCCGCCGCCGCCGCCGCCGCCGCCGCGGCGCUCCCGCCAAUGACGCCCGAGAGCUGCCCCGUGCGGGGCGCCUCGUCCCCGUGGUCGCCCGUCGGCUCCGACUCCAACGGCUGCCUGCAGCACCAGGGCGUCUCGCCGUGUCCCGUGCCCGGCUACGGGGACUGGGCCCCGGAGGGCGACCUCCAGGAGGUGGUGUCAUCGGCGUUCGCCGCCGUCUCGUCGGCUGCGCCCCUGCCGGUGCUCGACGACGAAUUCAUGUCCCUCGAGUGCUUUGCAUUCGACCACAACUUCGACAUUGACACCGCAAUGCCAAGCCUCUACUAUCCAUGAGGAGAAGAGCAACUGAUCGGCAGCAGCCCUGUCGUCGUCUCCAUGACAGGGAGGGAGGAGCAGAGGAGCCUCUCCCUAAGAACUGUGCAGUAGAAGAAGCCAAAACUGUGCAGUGGCAGGAGGCAGCAAAGCUGUUUCAUUUUGUUUUAUUUUUCCUCUUUCUUUUCCCUUUAUUUUUGGGGGUCAGUUCUCAACUUGCUGGGUUGGGUUUUGUUGGUUUCAGUCAGCAAGAGAAAAGUUAAAAUUUACUUACGGAGCGAUCAGCUCGAUCUCAGAAAUUAUCUCCUCUUGAUCUUGAUAUUGUUUCACUUUCAUGUUUGUACACCACCAAUACCUUAGAAGCAGAGCACGACAAAUCUUAAAAACCCAUUCAGUGAUUCAACAACCAGGUUAAAAAUCAAACUUGCAACAUCUUCAGCAUAUCAUCACUUCAGAAGCGAUCAUGAGAAAUGGUUUUUGAUUUAACAAAAAACAAUCUGAUUAUGAGAAACGGUUUCUGAUUUAACCAAAACAAUCACAAGCGUUUCAGAGUCUUGUCCAACAACAGAAAUGUACAAACACAAGUUGUGGUUGAACUGGUGCUCACAUUGCCUCAGCACAAUAAAAAAAAAUAACUGCUAUAUCACAGCUCAGGGCAGCCCAGAUAACAAUUGCAGAACAAUUACACUGACAUUGCAAAUGCUUGACGGUUGCAAUGCUUAAAAUGAUGGAUAGUAUAUAGCUUCUCAAAACUUGAUAUCCGAAAAAUACCAUGAAUUCAAUACAAGCUACCCUAUGUCAUGAUCAUGAAGCCUUCAACUGACCGAUGCAGAAAUCCUCAAUGAUAUCAAAGACCCUAGUGCCGUGCUGUGGCCUGUGCAUCCAGAUAGAAGAAUGUCAUAGAGCUGAGGAAGGAAAACAGAAACUAACCAGAGAUUGAAUCCAUUCAAGCAGAAGCAUGAAAACGACACUAGCAUAGGCGUAUUAUGACGUAUGCCAGUUCAGGAAAAAAGGAAAGGUAAGAAAGACAUGCUCCAUCAAUAUCAUCAUUUCAUCACAUAGCUAUCUUGGAAUUAGUGGUGCUAGGUGUGCAGAUAACAAAGUGAGCUAAAUAAUAAGGAUCUCAUUUGCAGAAGCCAAUGCAAAACAAUUUAAUUUGGACACAUUGGGAUCUCAGCUGAAAAUGGAAACAGGUUUGAGCUGAUCUAUCAGUCUAGUGUAAUUUAACAUGAAUUCUACUCUAGAGCAAACAAAACCAACAAUAAUAAGACAAGCUUUGCAAUAGCAUCUAACAACUUUAUCCCAUGAAUUGAAACUAAUAUCUACAAAAAUUAUUUUUCAAUUCUUCUCAAUUCCUGGGAACCAAACAGGGCCAUUAUGGAACUAUUGAUUCUGUAUAGUAUUUCUGUAGAAAACAUUAGCAGUAGCAAUACCUGGAUAGGCAGCAUGGGAAAUAAAAAAAACUGACCAUUUUUGCCUAUCAUUACGUCAAUACUGUCAUUGUCUUUCUUUUCAUUCCCUUUUGAAUGGUUUUCUUACAGAAUAUCUAAAAUGGUGCUAAGUCUUCAUGGAACAUUGUUUGUGUAUAGUAUUUCUGUAGAAAACGUUAGCAGUAGCAAUACCUGGAUAGGCAGCAUAAGAAACAAAAAAACUGACCAUUUUUGCCUAUCAUUAUGGCAAUACUGCCAUUGUCCUUUUUAUUAUUUCCUUUUGAAUGUUUUCUUACAGAAUAUCUGAAGCGGUGCCAAGUCUUCAUGGAAUAUUGUUUGCAGUAGGAACAAAGCUAAAAUAAUGUUGCUAAAUCUUCACUAGUCUAUUCCAUUAGAUCACCAUAAUUUUAAGAUGACGAAUAGUUAAAAUCAGUGUCACCCUCAAGUGCUAAUUUCUAAUUUCUGAAGAAACAAUUCCAUGAAAGGCACUGAAGUGCUGAACCAAUGACAGAAUGCUAUGAGGUACAAGAAGCAAUAUAAGAAGUUACAAACCCAAAAAAACCCUCCGUGGAAUCACCACCAGCAUUAUUUAGAAUGGCAUCUCCACCUGGAUGCUCCUCCACAUAAGGAGUGACAUCAUAGACCUGGUUCAACCACCAAAGACAAAUUUAAAAGACCAAAAUAUUUGAAUUUCCUUAUUUUGAAGUCUUGGGGCAUUGAAUAGGGACAAACAGAGGUGGCCAAUGCAUUUAUACAACCUUGUCCUUGAUGAUUAUCCAACAAUCCUUCCUUGUGUUAUGUUUAGAUAUCUCUUCCUUCGUAAAGCUCCUAGAUGUCUGAAUGUAGAAAGACAAAAAAAAGGUAUGUAUCUCUUCAAGCUGUCUAAAAUAUUAUAAGUAUUAUGGUGCAAAUCUGAGAAAAAUUGUCUUGUAGCAUGCAUUUGUAGGCUUAAGAAAACUAGCCAACUAGAAUUGAGAAGUUUACCAUUCCAGCUCCUGAAUCAGUUCCCUUUGAUUUACCUGCAAUUCAAGAGUUGCUCAGAUAAAACUAGGUCGAGCUACUACAAUAAAUAAUGCAACUUGUACCUUUAUUUUGUGACUUCGGGAUCACAAAGAGAGCUCCUAGUGCCAAAAGAAUGACAACUGAGAUGAUGACAAUAACCUCCAUCUUGCUCCUCUAGAAUUAAGAACUUUGCAGCCACACACAAAAUAUGCUGUGCUGAAAAAAAAAAGAUCAUUAAGAACAAGGCCAGAAGGAUUAAUUGCAGAGAGAGAGUAAAAAAUUGGUAUGGACUUAGUAAUGAAGAAAGCUGAUGUAACAUCCAUGGUGAAGAAUAGCAGAAGAGUAACAAAACAUGCCAAUGUCAGCACACAGCACAAUGAAAUAGUAUUUCCAUAAAGUCCACUGAAUCACAGAUAUAACAUACUAUGAAGCAUAGCAAGGAAAACAGUCAAAGAGACUAAUGCUAGACUAUAAUCCCCUAAGUUGAUCAUGUCAACUUUUGAGAAGAUAUUGCUAUCAACGCUAAAUCGGAGAGGGAGAAGUGGUGGGUCAGCAAGGACUAUCGCAAGGUAGGUAACAUCAUAGCUAAGAUGAUGGAUGAUGUUAUUAAUGAUGCAUUAGUAUGAAGCAGGUAUAUGUGAUCCUUGUUUAAAAUAUUGUGUAUUACACCAAGGAUCGUCAGUAUAUGCUGACGAUACCAUUCUUUUCAUGAAGAGAACAAAAAAGUACUGAGCACUGAAAUGAAUAGUUUUCCAAAAUGAAUGAGUGCAGGCUCAGACCGACCUAACUAAUUACAUGAAGGGUGAGCAAGCAUUCACAGUAUUGAGGAUUGAAAGGUUGGAGAAUAACCACAAAAUAUCAACAACUUCAAGUGGAUGAAGUGGGAAUUGGAAGAAUUCAUCACAAUAACGUGGUUGAUAUAUGAGCAAAAGACUUCAGUUAAAAAACAGUAGUGAAGGGUCAUACUAAGGCCUCUUGCUGAUAAUAAAAAAUACUAAUGAUAGCAACAGAUUUACAGGAUGCAAAUAACAUUCCAAACAGUUACAACCACACUUAGCCUAAACAAGGAAAAAAAAUGAAAACGUGGUGCAUCUGAAGAUAGUUUUCAUCUUCCUUCACAAUGAUGGCCCAGUAAUUAGCCAGUCAAAUUACUUCUCAAUGCAUCAAUGAUCUGACAAGGAAUUUUUGCUUCCUGACAUGGUUCUAUACCUAGUAUUUUCUUUUUCCCCAAUGUGUCUCCUGAAAAACUUCAUGUUGCAAAAUCGACUGAAACUACGCUCUGUUGGGUUGAGAUUUAAUGGUACAGCGGAAACAAUGCUUUGUGCCUUUGUUCAGUUAAAUAGUACACUCAGUGAGGUGUCCUUGAAUACGAGUGAAGGGAGCAUAAAUACACGUUCAGGGACAGUCCGGUCAGGAAAUCCCACUUGGGUGUGAGACGGAUCACAUCUAGCCUAACUGAAAGGUACAGGAACGACUUGCAGGAAGCAAGAAAGAUAUCAUAUGAAGGUCACCUGGACCUGGUGCUAACCGUCACCACUAUCCUACCUCCUACAGGGGCACAGCCCACUACAUGGCUCCUAGCAACACUGCGGCGGUGGCGAUGGGGCUUCAGUUGCAACAAACCCCUCGCGGCACAUGAAUCCCAAACAAGCUGGAUGGGUUCGGAUGUUGAAGCAGCUAUCCCAAUCCCAAAAAGGAACACCGUGAUUAUGGGUUCGGAUGUUGGAGCGAGAGCGACUAUCCCAAUCCCACAGAGGAAGAUCCUGAUUAUUAGAGGACAGCAUGAACAGCCCAUCCAAGCGAGACUUAGACAGCUAGGCUAGGGAUUCCUUACCAGUAGAAGAAGAAGAAGAAGAAGAAGAAGAAGAAGAAGAAGAAGAAGCCACUCCUAGGGAUGUAUGGAUCUCGCUCCGCCGCAGGGGGUCGACGAGCCGGCGGCGGCGGGAGAGCGGGAGAGACAAGUGCGCCUGCAGGCCGGAAGGGAGUGAGACGGCAGGCCGAGUGCGUGCGCCGUGUGCCGUGUGGAUCCGGUUGGACUGCCUGUACACCGAGCCGUUGGCAAGGCUGCUCGCGUCUUCCUCCCUCCGUACGACCGUACCUUGGCAAAAAUAUUUGUUAGAUUAAUCAUUAAAUAUAUUUUAUAAUACACUUAUUUAGAAAUAUAGAAUAUUACUAAUAUUUUAUAUAAACUAGUAAAAUUUUAAAAACUUUAUAUGCACGAAAUCUAGAUCAUAUUUAAAAAGGAUAGAUGCAGUAUAGCUUUCUGUUUAUUAUAGACAAAAACAAAAUGAUACUUAUUCUACAACAGUAAUAUUAUGUAAGUUCCUUUAAUGACUCUAAAAUUAACAUAAUUACCUUGAUUUUUUUCCAAUACUAUAUGCCAUCACUUGGUAACUAGGAGAUACGUUUGCGUGUUGUUGCGAAGAUUACAAGAAUUGGAAAUGAAAAUUAAGCGGAGAUCAUGUAGAUAAUUUACAUUGAGAUGACAUUUGGAUACCGUUUUGAAAUGGAAAAGGAUUAAUGUUAGACUAUGUUUGGUAGGUAAGGGAUUCAGAAAUCAGAUGCUAUCCUUAUUAUUUGUUUGGUUUUUGGCUUCGAGCUUUGGUUUGCUAGACCACAUGUGCACAAUAAAAAAAAACAUAUCAUGUGCACUAUCCACCACAGCUUAUCCUCGUGGAUCUCAGCCCUCUCCAAGCUGCUCCCCCGUGCAUGGCGCCUAUCACUGCCACCGUGCUUCUCUAUUAUUAGUGAAGAAUGAUGUGGAUAGAUUGCAUGUUAAGAUAGACAUGUGGUGAAGAUUAGUUUUAUAAGAGAUAUAGAUAUAAAUUGGUAGAUAUUAUUGCUUUGGUUAAAGAUAGAUGGCAACUUCUCUUAUCUCCAUCAUACACACUUAUCUCCAGGAAACACUUCAAAUUAUAUGUUCCAUAUCACUAUUUAAUUAAAUAUUCCCUAUUUAUAUAACUAAGCACCUCAGCAUACUAGCUAAGUUUAACCUCCAUUUUUUAUUCAUGUAACUAUAAUGUAAUGAUUUUUCCAACACCUUUAAUUUAAACUAUGUGAAUUAAAUCACAUGCUUGUCAUGAUAUGAAUUUUAUACCUACAUGUAUAUCUUUUUUGAAGUCUAUUGGUGCCCUCAAGAAACCAAUUUCCUCUUGAUUUUCUUUUCAGAGGGAGAAUACUUCAAGCAAGGAGUCAAGGAAGGAUAAAAAUGCUGGUUAAUUUUUGUUCAUCACUUUUUUAUAGGUUAUAACUCACCUAGGAAUCUCAUCAAACACCUAUACUAUAAACAGUGACAAGCUAGCAACGCGGAGCAAGGAGAAGCACUUCUCUGCAACAAAUCAACAACAAAAACAAUCUCAACCUCAUUUCCCCCAUCUUCCCCAUCCUAAAACCAACAAUAUUAUCAUCCCAAACUCGCUUUCAUAUUCUCCCACUCACAAUAAAUAUAAAUAUUUAACAUAACGCUACCACAUAGGUAUGCAAAAGUUUGGAAUCUAGGAAGGUUAGAAGUUAGGAAUAGGAUCGAGAAUUUAAACAAGUGCAGGACACCUAAUAAGCUCAAUGAGAACUAGCGCCAUGACGGAGAGCUCUCGAUAGUGGGCUAGCCACAACUACACAUAGGAAGGACAUAAUAGCUAGCUGAGAACGGCAACUACAUUUGGUAUGCCUCAGCCUAGGCUUUGUUUACUUGCAAAAUAUUUUGUAAAAUAUAAAUAGUACCAAUUUCAUUUGUAUUUGACAAAUAUUGUCCAAUCGUGGACUAAUUAGGCUCAAAAGAUUCGUCUCGUCAAUUCCGACCAAACUGUGUAAUUAGUUUUUAUUUUCGUCUAUAUUUAAUACUUCAUGCAUACGUCUAAAGAUUUAAUGUGACGGGAAAUCUGAAAAUUUUUAUAAAUUUUUUUGGGAACUAAACAAGGCCCUAGUGAUAGUGUGCCAAUAGCAAUGUAGAGAGAGACUUGUGGACACAUGUUUUUUUGAGAUGACGAGAGGGAAGGUGAUAGUAUGCAUGGUAGCACGUCAUCUCAGAGAUGUUUUUACAAAUCUAAGUGUAUUUAACUAUUUAGGCAAAACAAAUGCAAACAAACUAUUUCCACAAAAAAAACAACAUAUUAAAGCAUGUUUGAUUAACUAGAGCUAAAUAUUAGUUAGGAUUAAAAAUUCAUCCAAAUUAGCUGAUAAUGGUAAGUUAGUUGGCUAGCAACAGGCUUCGCUACAAGACUAGUCGCACCUAUUAGACCCAUGUAUAGACAGACUAAGGCUACAAAUAGUGGUUAUGAAUUAACUAACCAUAUGCACCAAACACACUUUUAGUUUGGUUAAUAUGUUUGACAUGAAAGGUUCACCUUUGCUAGCUCUCGUUCCAUCUAUGGGUACCCUUUUUUGAGCUUUUUAUGUACUGUUUUUGGAGAAAAAUAAAAUUCUAAUUUUGUUACAAAUCAAGCUAUCUUAAAUUUAUUUGAGUUUAUAAAAUAUCGACAUUAUAUUGCCAUACAAAUAUUAUGGGAUUCAUCAUGGCAUAUUUUCCAAAUGUUCCUCACAUAAUUUGAUGAUCUUCUUUAUAAACUUGAUUAGAUUUAGAACAAUUUAAAUUAUAAUAAAACUAGAGUGACAUAUUUUUUUUCCUCCUCAAGAGUAUAUAGCUAAAGUAGCUCACAUAUUAGCCUUAAAGCCAUAAACUAAGACUAGUUCUAAUCAUUUUUAAAGUUAAGAUGUUUGUACAUCUUCGACGAACAAUUUUUCUCUCAACUUAAAAGAACAUGUAUGUACAGUAUAAAGUUAGGCCAUAACAAUUGGUGUAUAGAUACAACGCAAAUGUACAUACAUGUCAAAUAAAUUAUUUGAAUAAUGCAUUACCUUAUACCCAAGCAUUAAGUGGGAGUGACUUUUGUAACUUUGUUGAAAACGCCGUUGAUUCUUCGUAAAAAAUAAAAUUACUUAUCAUUGCCCAAAUUUAUUCACCUCUUAUCUUCUUCUUGCAAUUGAGAAUACACAAUAUAUAGGCCUCCUCUGGAACAAAAGAAAAAACUUAGAAAUUUAAAGGAUUCAAUCCAAUAGGAAACUUUCCUAUAGAUCUGUUUGGAACAAAGGAUUAAACCCUACGAAUUUUCUUAGGAUUGCCAUAGGAUUCAUAAAAAGCAUAGGAAUUUUUUUAGGAAAAUUAACAUGUGGUUGGACCUCAUAGAAAUUUUCCUUUGUAUCUACCUCUCUUUCCUGGUUGCAAGUUUCGUGCUGACUCUAAUCCUUUUUUUUUUCUAUUUUUGCGUUUCAAAGGAGGCCUAAAAAUUUAUAAGAAAACAAUUACAUUUUUUUCUUAACUAAUAAUAACAGUAAAAAUAUACAUCAGAAAGGUAUUUAAUACCAUAAAUCUAAUUCCACAAGUUAUUAUUAUUUUCUUUAUCUAUGAAAUGUAUAUUUAGCUAUGUUGUGGUAUGUAUAAGUAAGCUCUUGACACCUGUCAAUACAACUUCGUCGUAUGCAGUAAACUACAACAAAUUUUAGUAGUACAUAAAUAAGUGAGAGGAAGGAUUAUUGCUUUAUUAUUACUUUCUAUACUUCUAAACCUCUAAUAAUCAUUUUAGAGUCAUGCGUUUCUUGUAGUUGCAGCAGUAUAUUUGUUCCUCUUUUUGCCAGGCCGACAAAUAGCACACAAUCAACCGUCGUCUCCUUCCUUGCGCCUCAUAGGGUUCUCCAAACUCCAAAUCGUUGCCCCGAGAAACCACCAAAACUGUUCGUAACGCACCAAGCACCAACCGUCCGGCAGCCCGUGGCCACUCCAUAGGGUUCUCAGUCUCUCACCCCUUGCCUGCGCUGCGCCACCGCCACCGCCACCGCUCCCCCGUGGCGGCUUCAAGAGGAAGCUCCCGGAACCAAACAACCCCUGGGCGCCCGAGUUUUUCUGAAAGCGGCUUCAGAGAUCUCGUCGUCGGUGGCCAUGGCGGGCCCGUGCUGAGUGCGCGGGCGGGGAGCAGGUGAAGGUCUCCGAGCUCGAGAUCCCGAUGCAGAUCCGGGAGGGCCCCGCGCGGCGGCAGGCGCCGUCCGCCGUGGGGGCGCUGCGGUCGCCGAUGUCCGCCAUGAUGCUCGCCAUGUUCGCUACCAUGGCCUCCUUCUACGUCGCCGGACGGUGAGUCUCCGCCCGCCCGCCGGUUUCCGUCAUUAGUUUCUUCCUGAGAAUGCUCGCCUGCUUGGGUUCUUGUGUUUGAUCGUUUGGGAUGCGUGUGCUACCGAUCAACCGUGGGUGGAGUCUAGAUCCCUGUAUUUCUCUGGCGGGAGCAGCUCAUGGUAUAUACCGAUCACCCGUGGGUGGAGUCUAGAUCCCUGUAUGUUCGCUACCAUGGCUUCCUUGCUAUAGGGAAGUUUUGAUCCAGCCGCCAGCCGGUGGUGCAUUUUAGAACAGCGGUCAGCGGGUGAAGUUUUGAUCUCUCAAACGGAAUCCAGUGCGAGGCUCACAUUUUGUUGCGAUGUUAGUACUUGUUUCCGCAGCACUCUGAUUUUGCAGUGUCACUGUUCAUGAGUGGAGUAUUCCCUUUUUCUGCUAGUAUUGAUGAAGACCAAUCUUAGUUGUCAGGCACCUUACCUUUUAACUUGAUCUGGAUUAUCAUAGUAACGGAAAAACCUGUCCCUCUUUAGAAAUCGUUUGUGUUUUUGGCCUUUUGCUGUUUGUAGAGGAAAAAUUGUUGACUUCCUGAAUUUCAGAUUGUGGCAGGAUGCUCAGAACAGAGUUUAUCUCAUUAAGGAGCUCGACAGACGAACAGGCCAGGUAGGCACCAGAGAUGUGGCUCUUUUGUUCUCUAGCGGAACUAUCCACCUGUGCUGCUUAUUUAAGUGCCCCAUUAACUCUCUUGUGCAUGUGAUUCAGGGGCAAUCAGCAAUAUCUGUGGAUGAUACCUUGAAGGUUGUUGCAUGCAGGUAAUUCUAAGUUUCUAACCUUUCAGGUUAUAUGCCAAAAUUGCCUUUCAAUGCACAACCUGACAAUUUCCUUAAUGCGUUUGAAAGUAUGAAUUUUUGUAUUUGCUGUCUGAUUGGAACUAGUGCUCCAAACAUGCAGAAUUUGUUGUAGUAUGGGAGUUUGGAGCUGUAAUAAUUGCUUCUGUGUAAACAUCUUCCAUUUUUUAGGCAGCAAGGGAAGCGGUUGGCAUCGCUUGAGAUGGAGCUGGCUGCAGCAAAGCAUGAAGGUUUUGUUGGCAAAUACAAUCCUGAGACAAAUGGAACUCAUUCUGGGAAAAAGCCACUGAUUGUUAUUGGAAUAAUGACUAGCUUUGGGAGGAAAAACUACCGUGAUGCUGUCAGGAAAUCAUGGCUUCCGACAGGUACCAUUUGAUCCUAGUCAUUUAUCAUCUUGUAUGUUGUUGAUUGUGUUUUGAAACAAAUGACCCAGUUUUGAUUACUAUGGAUACAGUACCCUUAUCUUUAAAUUAAUGUUUUAAAUUUGUUUUCUGUUUAUAAAUUGAAAAAAAUACAAUUCUUAUUUUAUUAUUCUCUUAACCUAGUGUUGUGUAUAAUAUCCUACUUAUCUGUGUUGUUUAAUUGUACUUGUCUGCGCAGGUUCAAUGCUGAAGAAACUAGAAGAAGAAAAAGGCAUUGUAGUACGUUUUGUUGUUGGAAGAAGGUACCUGAUAUCCAUUACCCAGCUGGAAUAAACAUAUGAGGUUUAGAUAUCUGAUAGUUCUCUCAUAUGUAGUGCAAAUCGAGGAGAUACUUUUGAUAGGGAGAUUGAUGAAGAAAAUAGGAGCACCAGGGAUUUCUUGAUCUUGGUAAGCCUGAUUGAACAAUUGAUUCUGUAGUACUACUCUAUGUUGAUGGAUUCAACGAUAACCUUGUUUAUGUACUUUCUGUGCUCUUUGCUUAAUGUUGAUUAAAGAUUCAUAUACUUUGGUGGUUCUUGCUUUUGUUUAACUUUAUUAUAUAUGCAUUAGUAAUUUUAUAGUACAGUCCUUUGGAUUUUUUAGCAUCAAAGUUUGAUAUAACUAAAAAAAAAGGUGUUAAGAUGAAUGUUGCCAUUAAUAAAAGCUUACUCCUAAUUUAGCUCAUGCUGUUGAUUUAGUUUUGGAACUUGACCAUUAAGUGGCAUUGCAGGAUGAUCAUAUAGAGUCAGAUGAAGAGCAUCCUAAGAAGACAAAAAGUUUCUUUGCGAAUGCAGCAGAUACAUUUGAUGCUGCAUUUUAUGCUAAGGUCAAUGAUGAUAUAUACAUAAACGUUGGUAUGUGCCAUCUGUUAACUUUGAGGGGCUCUAUGAGUGGUUUACGUUUUACAUAACCUAUGAUGCCUCUACAUGAAAAAGUAAUGACUAUUAAUAUUUUGAACUCUGCUGACUUGUUAAAAUGCUCAUUCUGCAUGUUCUGGAAUACUGGAUUGCCUCUGUCAACAAUUGUUUGUAAUCUUGCGUAGAUGUUGUUUUGAAAUAUUAACGGGAACUGUACUUCACAUGGAACAACAUUGUUUUUCUGCAGAUACUUUGAGUGCAAUGCUCGAAACUCACUGGGACAAGCCCCGUGUCUAUAUAGGCUGCAUGAAAUCGGGCGAGGUUUUUUCUGACUCGUGAGUGUUCACAAUAAUUCAUUUUAGGAACUUGAUAGUUUUCUUUUCCCUGUUUGGGUGCUUCUUCUUUUGACAAACUAAACUAGAGCUCCACUGAAAACAGAACCCAUAAGUGGUAUGAACCAGACUGGUGGAAAUUUGGUGAUGGGAAAUCGUAAGUAUGCUUGCCUAAGCAAUUUUAGCUUCUAUUGCAUUUAUUGUUUGUACUAGAUUUAACAUUCAAAUCAAUUGCUGUUGUGGCUCAUCUACUUCCUUUUUGUCAAACAAUAGGUACUUCCGACACGCUUCUGGUGAAAUGUUUGUCAUAUCAAGGGCCAUAGCUCAGUUCAUUUCUAUAAACAAGUAUGCAACCUUGUGCACAAAUUCUAUAUCCUUCUCUCACAAGGAGCUGAAAAGAAAUGUCCAUUAAUUAUAUUUAUGUAUAUAUAUAUUUAUUUUUUGUGAUAGGUCUGUUCUCCGGACAUAUGCCCAUGAUGAUGUUAGUGUAGGAUCAUGGAUGAUUGGCCUUGCUGUGAAGCAUGUAAAUGAAGCAAAACUGUGUUGUUCAUCAUGGCCCUCAGGUUGGUUGGCAUCUUUUGACCUUGACCUUGAUUCCUUUCUGUUUGAUAUAUGUUUACGUUGUUCUAAUGAUCUAUUUUUCUUACUGGUGAAAUCUGACUCUUGAUGAUUGCUUCCAUGCGAUUAUGUCCUUUUGUUUGCAUACUUUCUCAGAUUUUUCAGUCUCCUGAUUUUUAUAUCCUGUAUUUGGACAAUCAUUAUGUUAUGAGUACUGAAACUUUGAGGACACGAGAAGUAACAGAUACAUAUGAACAAAAAAAAAAGCAUAAUUUCCUUUUUCAGUGUGGAAGUAAAAUGGGGGAUAGAGCUAGGGAGCAUAUCUAUAUUCAACUUACCCUGCAGUUGUUAUAACUGCAAAUGUCCUAUGAGUACUAAAGCUAAAGCAUAUUCUUCAGCAUUUAUUCUGGAUUUCGAAUUUCAAUGAUGGACCUGCUAGAGUUAGCAGUUUAUGACCAGCGGAUGUCUUGUUUGUAACAAGUUAACCCAAAAUUUAGUUUCAAGUUUCCUUGGAUCUUGGACUACAAACCAUAGCAGGCUUCCCAAGUUAUGGUUUGCUUAGGUUUUGGACAGAAGGCAAUGGUUUCAUGGUUUCGCAGUAAAUAGAAUGGUCGCAAAUUAGCUUGUUUUGUACAAAAGCAGUCGGUUAUUUUCAUGCUGCAUGUGCACUGAGGGGCUGUUUGGAUGGUUACCCCUUGCUGUCCAGGCCAAAUUUCGGCCGUUGACCGAGUAGGCUCUGCCACGUUUGGAUGUGUGCUGUUUUUUGGGUUGGCCAUCUGCUCUGCUAAUCUCCAGUUCAAUUUGAUGUCCCUGCCCGGCUGAUUUGGGGCGGCUGAAUCAGCUGCCAAAGUUUGGCCAGCGGCCAAGAUUUGGCAUGUCCUACAUAGGUGGCAUCCAAACGUGCCCUGAACUGGUCCCUGGGACCCUGGAUCAAGGGUCCUGUUGAGGUUCUAAAUCUGUCGCUCAAUCUAUUAUAUAUGGCUUACCACAUUUAUUUAAUCUGAAAGAUUGGUGGAUAAAUGGUAUAACCAAAGGCAGUGAACAUUGAACUUCUGAGAUUUUAGAAAUGAACACAUUUUUGCUUGUGUAUUAUUCAUGUACUGGGUUGUUGGAUUGGUUGUCAUUUUCAUCACAAAUUCCCAGAUAAUUUUGCAGGGCUAACCACUAAGAUAAUUUUGUAGGUGCGAUGUGUUCAGCGCUAUAACGAUCAACAAUGCUUGUGCUGAGGAAGAGUUUUGCAAACACCGUGCCUGGUGGAUAAUGCAUACAAUAUGCAGAGAAUGAGGUUGAAUCGGUAUUGAGAAAAUUUUGUUUUCUUCAGCCAUCUUCUGUAGCGUCCUUUGGAGGAAGCUUGUGCGAGCCAGUUCAUACUGAAAUCAGAUAUCUUGUUUUUCUUUUCCGAAGGAAAGGCCUUGCAUAUUUUCUUUGCAAGGCUACUACACUAGAAUCAUCAGAGUUCUAACGAAAAGCCGUCUGCAGAUUUUAUCCUGUUCCGCGUGCCAUUUGUAGAUGCCCCACCCUUACCAUUCUUUUUUUUUCUGACAGACACUGCCAUUGUUGGAGUGACAGAAAUCAAUAGCAAUUCAGGAAAUUAUUUUGCUCCAGAAUACAUGUAUGCGUGUCUUAAGACCUGUUGACAUGGUUGUGAUUUUUUGACACAUACAUCACCUUUUUGAAGUCAAGAAUCUGCCAUGUACAUUCUCUGGUUGUUUUUAACGUACAGAAAAAAGUCCUAUAGCCCAUGCAGAUCAUUAUUGCACUAGAUGGUAUCGCAUGGAAGUCUUAGACUUUCUCGAGAUCUAUUGCAAUAGCAUGUUUGUUGGUCUGAAAAGUCAUGAUUAAAAUAUAAGUGAACGUCCAAAAUGAGCAUCUAACAGUAUCUAUAACCUCACCUCUAAUGGAGUAUCUAUAUAGGAGACUAAUUUUAAGUGGCAUGAGAGACAUGAUUCGAAUAUGAGCAUCAUCUCUCUUGAGAACUUAUUUUGUAAAAGGGUUAUUUUGGAGUUAUUAUGUUGUUGCAGAAGAUUAAAAAUAAGUAUUAAACUUUUGUCUGUUGCACUAACCAAAUCUUAAAUCAGUCUAUAUUUAGGUGGUGUUGUUGGAGACAGUCUAUCUUAAAUGCAUGACAACCAAAAAGUUAUCAUCAUUUCUUUUUAUAACGAGAAAAAAAUUUCUCAUCACUGGCUUUUCUUAUUUCUGAUUUCUGAAGCACGUUUAACAAGAAGUGGAAUAGUUCAAAGAUCCUGCUCAAACCGGGAGUUAUCCCCCAAACUAGUGGAAAUAGAACUAAUUCUUGUAGAGUUUCGCAGAAUCCUAUAAUUCUGAACCUGACAUGUGACGAAGAUCUGGAAACUCAAAAGGAUAAAUUAUAGAGGUUUUGGCUGAAAACUCGGAAGAGAAACUCGGAAGAGUAUAUUGGCGUUUUUGGUUGGCCGACGGGCUGCUUAGUUCUUAAAAAAAAUUAAAAUUUUUCGUCCCAUCGAAUUUUGCGGCAUAUGUCUAGAGCCAUUAAAUAUAGAUAAAAAAUAACUAGUUGCAUAAUUUACAUGUAAUUUACAAGACAGAUUUUUUGAGCCUAGUUAGUCUAUGAUUGGACAAUAAUUGUUAAAUACAAAUAAAAAUGCUACAGUAGCCAUUUUGUAAAGUUUUCUAUAACUAAACAAGGCCUAGUGUUCCUGCGGCUGACAGUUGCAAUGGCAUCAAACAAUGAGGCCUUGUUUAGUUGAAGAGGUGAAAAGUUUUAGGUGCUGUAGCAUUUUCGUUUCUAUUUGGGUUCAAAAGAUUCGUCUCCAAAUUACAGACAAAUUGUACAAGUCAUCCAUGUGUCGCAAGAUUCGAUAUAACAAAGAAUCUUGAUUUUUUUUUUUUGCUUUUGGACGAACUAAAAGGCGUAGACGAGUGAGGCUCUAUUUGUGGUUUGUUAGGCAAGAAAGCUUUCUGGUCUUUCAUUUUGGUCCCCAUCAGACAUCAGUCAAUUCUCUGGUUUUCUAAAUGAACAAAAAUCACUGCAGCCGCAACUUGAGAAACUAAAAUAAAAAAAUAAUAGCAAGGAAUAGAAAUAUUCAGACCAAACUAACUGAACCGACGCUAAACGGUAAAAAAGUGCCAGUCGGUAAAACGUCGCUCUGGAGGCCACUCAAGAGGGCGUUUGAUUCAUGUUGAAGCUUCCUGCUUGGUUAGCUCCUCCUAAAAUUUAGUAAUCUAAAUCUAAUCUUAUUUAUAAGUAAAUAAGCUUUAGCCGAUUAGACACUAAAUUAUUGCUAGAAGAGACUAAACAUUACCUUUUAGUUACUUUGGAGCCAAACACCCUAACUAAAAAUGACUAAAAGGUCUCUUAUAAUAUCUUUUAGGCACCCAAACCAAACACCUAGUGACUAAAGUUUAGGAUGGAAAAACCAAAUAGAGCCUAAUAAAAAAAAUAGUGACAAGAAAUAGAAAGAUGGCCAACUCUGUUUCACAUACCGUCAACUCUACCAUAGAGUAACUCCAUAAAAAAAAUAGACUUUUUGUUAUCUAACUUCAUCUUUUUUUACUAGAGCUGAGUUUGAGCUGCACUUGUUUGCUAAAAAAAUAUAACGCGGACUAAAAACAUGGAGUGAAAAGAGUUCUAAACAGUCCCUAUAUUAAUUUCAGUCUCUCUAUACAUAUACUCCCUCUAUUUCAAAUUAUAAGUCAUUUUGGUUUUUUAGGAAUAUUGGUUUUGCUAUACACUUAGAUAUAUGCUAUGUCUAGAUUCAUAACAAAAGCUCUGUAACUAGAAAAGCCAUAAUGACUUAUAAUUUAGAAUAGAGAAAAUAUCAUUGUACAACAAUGAGAAUGACUUAUAAUUUAGAACGAUGGAGUACCAUUGUACAAUGGUGAUUGAUGAUCAUGAGAAAAAUUAUGUUUUGUUUGGCGUGACUUCUCCUCAAAUGCUCGUAAAGAACAUAAAUUGGAGCUCUAGAUAUAAAACCACUCGUCCUUUACUAUUAGCUAAAAGAUUCUAAAGUAUUCAAUAUGAGUAUAAUAUUACCUAUGCAAACGCCACAGAUGUUUCCUAAUACAAAUCAAACAAGCAAAAGAUAAUAGGUUUCUCCACGGAAGUUGCUGGUAGAGACAAUAGGUUUCUCCACGGAAGUUGCUAGUACAGUCACCGUGCCAAGCAAAUCUUUAUGGUUUACAUUUACAUGCUUCCAUCAUACUCCACAUGCAUAAAAAUUUCUAUGCUUACUUGUCUGGAAAAAAUGAACUAUGUAAAAUAGCGCAUGUUGCCAAUGCCAUGGUUAUAAGUCUUUUUUGGCAGGAUGUGAGAAUGAAAAUGGGAUAUCUGGUUAAAAAGGUUGUUUUUGGAUUCUUCAUAGGUAAUUUACGAGAUUUCAAAUUUUAAAGAGAGACAACAAUGUAUGGAAGGCUCAAACUCACUCUACUUAACGUUCAUGUAUCACAUCUGGUUUUGGCUCGUAAAAAUGGAGGUGCCAUGAGGCAACUAAUCUAGACAGCAUGUUUAGUGAAAAUUGAACUCUUGCUAAAAAAAAAGAAAAGAAAAGGAAUUUGUACUCAGCAAAGAAUUUCUAUUUUGAUAUUUUUGACAAGAUAGUAUUUUUUGGGUAGAAGUUAUUUCUUAUUAAUGAGUUUUUAUAUCAAAAUGGCACAAUAUGAAUGAUACACUAUCAAGAUAUUUUUUGGCAAGUAGUAUUUUUAGGUAAAAGUUAUUGCUUAUCAAUGAGUCUUUUUUUAAUCAAAACAGCACAAUAGGAAUAAUAAUAUCAAAAGAAAUAUAUCUUGCAAUCAAUACCAUCCUCUUCGUAAGUGCUGAGAUCACACUCUGACCUAGCCUACAAAAUUUUUGGAAAAAAGAAAAAACAGUCGCCGGAAUUCAAAGGGAUGAAAAUCGAGACACGACUACACGAUGUCUCCACACGAGAAAAAGAAAACCUAACGCCCUCACAGGACUCUCUAGAAAGCGACACCAACUGACCAACCCCAACCCUGCGCCUCCCUCCUCCCUGCGCCUCCUCUCUUCCAGGAGCCUCCUCUUCUAGAGAGAGAGAGAGGGAGGGACCAUAGCCGUGGCCGCACCGCCAACCACGCCGCCCGAAUCCCCCGAUCGAGACCGGAGCCGACGUGGCCUAGGGUUUCCGAGCCAGUCGGGCGCUAUGGUGGGCUGCUCCAGGGGCUCCCUCCCCACCUGGAUGACCGCCGCCGCCGCGCGGGUCGACCUCUCGGGCGGCGUAACACCUUCGCACCAGGGGUCGUCCUCUCCGUCCCCCUCCUCCUCGGGUCCCGCUCCGUCCGCGGGGGCGGACCAGGAGCUCGGGAUGUUCGAGCGCGCGCUCUCCGCCGCCGGUGCCGCCUUCGUCUCGGCUAUCAUCGUCAACCCUCUCGAUGUCGCCAAGGUCGGUUCCCCGGGGGCACUCACUCCCUCGCUCACGCAGGUCUCUCCUCCCGGAGAGAGAGUGUUUGUGUGCGUCCUCUUCGGCGUCUAACGCGUUUCCUGUGUCUCGAUGCAGACGAGGUUGCAGGCCCAGGCGGCAGGGGUGCUGUACCACCAGCCUGCCCAGAUGGCGGCGCUUGGCCCGGAUGCGGUGAGGAAUCCGAUUCAUUCUGUUCUGCGCUGUGUGUCGUUUGGAUUUGGCAGUGGCUAACUCAGUUACUGAUCUCGGCUUCGAGUGCCUACGUGUAGGUUUUGUAUUUUCGGUGACUAGGUUAGGGAGGAAUCCAAAAUGGAGCUUGUGUUUAUAGAUGUCUAUGGGUAGUACUGGGCUGCUGGCAUGGUCCCUGUGGGAUUGGCCAGGUCACUGGUGUGAUGCAAAUGUUUGUAGCUAUGUUCAUCUGCCAGCUAUUGCUGUUUUGCGGUUGGGCCAAAGGCAUGCACAUUUCAGGUCAUGGUUUUUGUUAUUUUCAUGCUUGUCCAGGAAGGCAGGUAAGAAAUGACAGAUUGGUUUGUGUUUGCGCUAGUGAUCAGCUGGCUAUUCUACCAACCUGAACUGGGUGCAUUGCAUAGAUUCUUCCGAGUUCAUUUCCCUCAACUGCUUGUUCAACAAGCAGGUAUUGAUACUUGGAUAGUUCGUCAGGGGUGUUCAGCUAUUGCACAAUGUGGCAUUUGGCUGCAUUUUGUUACUUUUUGGUAGAUGUACUGAUUAUGUUAUUUACCUUUCUGUAAGACCACUGGGGGUACUAAAUUGUAGUGCUGAUUGUUAGGAUGAGGUAUGCAACCAAUUUUAGGACGUGUGUGUGUAGACAACCCAUUUUUUAGUUGAUAUAUAGAUGGUGCUGAUUUCUUAGUUAAAGCUAUCGUCUUUGAUGACCGCACUUUUAUUGGAAAACUGCAAUGCUUUUUAUGUUGUAAAACAAAAUUUCAUUUCUUAAAAUACUGUUGGUGGUACUGUCUUUUGUCAACAGUCUGAUUUCAUUCUCAUGGAUUUGAUCCUCAAACCAGUGUAUUAGACUUGAGGAUUGUUGCUGAUGUGUUUCAGCGUUUUCCAGAUCCUAUCUGAAUUCAGAUGCUCUCCUUCAUGCACACGUGGUCUUGUAUUAGGAAGUGAGCCGGUUUGUCCUCCUGAUUGCUUUCAGUACAAGGGAACACUUGAUGUAUUCUUGAAAGUGGUUAGACAGGUAACAAGUGUUCCUUCUUUGUUAUAUUUUCUCUUUUAAGCAAGUAGCAAUAUAUGAUGGACAGAUGAGCUCAUAACAUUGCUUAAUUGGUUGUUUUAGGAGGGGUUCGUUAGACUAUGGAGAGGAACAAAUGCAGGCUUAGCAUUAGCUGUACCCACUGUAAGUUCUCUGCUACAUUCCAUUUUUGUGGUCAUUAUCUUGUUUUUAAAUGUUCUAUGCUGCUCUGUUGCCUGCUGAACAUCUGUUUAGUAGUUUCAAUCUGUCCUAUUUGAAUUAUUCGUAUAGUUUUCACUUAGCUUUGAAAGCAAAUUCAGCUUUUUUUUUGUCCUUUGUAUGAUGUGAUAUGUUUAUUUCAUUUUUUGUAGAAGAAGCUUUAUGGGGUUAACCUCUUGGACUAAUUUCCACCUGUCUAACUGAUGCACGUAGUAUCAUAGUUUGUGUUGAGUUUUUAGCCAUAUCACUCAGCAUCCUGUAUAACUUGCUAUCUCUGUUUCUUUAUUGUAGUUUGUACAACGUAAUAUUCUGAAUCUAUAUUACUUUGUAUGUUCAAAUCAAUUGCACCUGUUACUAAUUUCUUUGAUCACAAACAGGUUGGGAUAUACUUGCCUUGUUAUGAUAUAUUCCGCAACUGGAUUGAGGAUUUCACAAGAAGCAAUGCUCCUGGCUUGACACCAUAUGCCCCGCUAGUAGCAGGAUCUGUUGCACGUUCGUUAGCAUGUAUUGCUUGUUCUCCAAUUGAGUUGGCAAGGACGCGUAUGCAGGUACACCUCCAUGUGAAGUUCUUCUAUAUACGGGCUCAUGCCAUAUGUAUAGUUUAUAGUUUAGUUAUGUCUUAUAAUGCAUUCAUCUCAGAUCAUUGUUUCUGCACAAAAGUUAGUCUUAUGUAACUCUUUUUCCAUCCAUUUAAAAUCAAAAUAUCAAGUAGUCACUAGUCUAUGGUAACAGGCAUAUAAAGAGUUUCGGCCUGGAGUGAAGCCUCCUGGAAUGUGGAAAACCUUGGUUGGUGUCAUCUCACCACUUGCAAGUUCAAGUCAGAAUGGUAUGUUGGUUUUAACUGUUUCUGUAACUAGUUGAUUCUGCAUAUUCUUUUUAAUUGGAUGACAUGUCAGCACCAUCUUUACCAUUUUGGCACCUGUCAACUUCUUGUGUUCUUGUCUUGAUUCUAACAGCUUAUUGCUUUGAUUGGCGAAACAGUACAAAACUACCGUGUUCUGUGGACUGGGGUGGGUGCACAACUUGCUCGAGAUGUUCCUUUCUCUGCUAUAUGCUGGUCAACUCUUGAGCCCGUAAGUUUCUGCCUUCUUGGUCAUGGAAACUCAUAUUUGUUAAAUUUAUGGCUCACUUUCAUGACAUGAAUCUCACUUUGCUAACACCAUGUUCAGAUGCGAAGAAAACUGCUUGGUCUUGUUGGAGAAGAAGGCAAUGCAGCUAGUGUAUUGGGAGCAAAUUUUGCUGCUGGUUUUGUAGCGGGCAGUCUUGCUGCUGGUGCCACAUGCCCUCUGGAUGUUGCAAAAACAAGGAGACAGAUAGAGGUUUGUGUAUUAUUUGGUACUCUUUAUUAUAAUUCACGUUCCAUUAUUUUUCACCUGCUACUUGUUUCUUAUGCGUGCAUACUCGUGUGACUUUAUUGCUGCAUAUUGCCAUUUCUUGUUCCUGUUUCAGUUUCUUAUUCCUUUCUUUCUAAAUUUCAGAAGGAUACUGAGAAGGCAAUGAGGAUGACUACAAGGCAAACAUUAACUGAGAUAUGGAGGUAAUGAAAUACCUCAUUCCCAAAAUAUAAAGUAGCAUGUUUGAUGGGCUGUACAUUUUGCUAUUGUGGUUGUGUUGGUUUUCAGUUUUGAACCCUACAUAUGGCUCAUUCAUUGGGCAUAUGAAUUAUGCUUUUACCAUGUUGUCCUGCUGUACCCUGAUAGAGUCGCUAAGUUCCAAUUGCCUCUAUUCAGUAGCAAGCUGUGUUCACAUAAUUGAUUUCUUUUUACAGCCCAGUUUGCAAACCCUAGGUAUAUGCCAUCCUAAAUUAGUUCUUCAUACAUCCCAGUUUGCGAACCCUAGGUAUAUGCCAUCCUAAAUUAGUUCUUUAUACAUCCCAGUUUGCGAACCCCAGGUAUAUGACAUAUAGGUUGACCUGAGACUAGAAUUCUUUUAAAACUCAUCCCUGACUGUAUGGCAUUCUCAUUUGCAGUUUCCAUACAGUAAUUAAAUAUAAGAAAUCUGGCUAGUCAAAUUUGUGUGUAAAAUAUUCCAUGAAUGUAAGCGGGGUCUAUGGUUAGCCAUUGAGCCAAUGCACCUGACAGACUGACCAACACUUCAAUAUUGUGACCUAUUUGACUAUUUAUAAAACAAUCAGAAGCUUCUUUUUGAAAUAUAUACCCUGACUGUUUUAAUCAUCAUUACAAGAAAUAACCUUUUGGAGAUCUUCCAUAAUUUAAACUCCAGUUGAUUUCUAUCCUAAAUACAUAAAAAAUCAGGACUCGCUGUCUAGUUUUAGAUCAUUUGCUUUUAAUUGUUGUUUCUCUGUGUUAGAUUGAAUUGAUAGGCUGACAUAGUAGUAUGUCUCAAAAGCUAGCGAGAGCAAGACCUUAGAAAACUAGAUCAAGCUAAGUCAACCCCUCAAUCAUUCUGAUUGUAUUUGUUAAACUUAAGUACAUUAUUGUAGCAAUUAUUAUGCAUAAUACACAAAUAAUAAUUUUCUAAAUUGAUCUACUCCAAUUAAACAAAUAGGAUCGUAGGAUCAAUAUGAUCAAUGAGUAUGCUUACUGAUUGACUCGUUUGUAGGUUUUGCUUGAAUUUGCUCUUGAGAGUUGCAUCUUCUGAACAUUUAUGCGUGAAACAUAGAAAACUAAAAAAAUAGCAAAAUACAAAUAUUCUGAAGCUAAUAGAAUAUAUGAUACAAAAUAUUUGAUUUUGGUUUCACAUGAGCAUUAAUGAAGUUGAUCGGAGUUUCGAUGGCUUGUCAGUGGAAAUCUGAUAUGCCUUGGGUGUUCAUUUCAUAAUAAGCCAGAAACCAGCAUUUUUUUCGCUGCUUGGGUUCAUGGAUCUUUUUUUGGGUGGGAGGGGUUGGGGGGGGGGGGGGGGUUAACUAUAUAAUCCAAUGAGAUUGACCACCAUGCACAUGGAAGGUGAAACUGUUUAUUAAAAACUUGUAAUGUCAGGACCGCUCUUCUGUCUCAUACCUAAAGGUUUGGAGCUGGGUCAUAAGCUGAAAUCCAGUAGGUGAAUCCUGCUUGUCAUAAUAUUCCAGAAACAAGUCUUGACAUCAUUUAGGUUAGUGGAUCUAGUUUUUUUGCGGUUAGAACGAUUUGUUUGUCAUUUUUUAUGUGAGACUGAUCUACCCAAGGUUCUAAAAGGUGCUAGGCCACUGAUUGGUGCCUAGGAUGCCUAAGGGGAGAUUAAAUCCAACGAAACAUUUGUGCUUUUUUCUUCUUUGUUUUGUUGCCGGUGUGUUUAAGUGCAUCACUGCAUCACAGAUUCAGUCUAGACAACAACAGGCCCAGCAGAUCAGCAGUAGUAUUUCCCUUGGUCCAGAAGAUGUUAAGGGGCACAGGCCCGGCCAGGUAGUCGCAUUUCACAGACUGCAAGGUCUCUGCCCACACAUCCAGCCGCACGUCACAAACCGCAAGGUCUGGGAUCACUAGGGAAAGUGUGCUGGGGUGGCAGGUAUGUGCUGCACCGGCGGCUACUUGAGGAGUUGGUGGCUGCCACUACGGUGCAAGUUUGUGUUUCUUCACGUGCUGCUUCCCACCGCACUCGUGCAUGCUACUGCUGCUCAUCUCUACACAUGCUAGCUUGCCAUCCUCCUGAUUUCCUCUGAUUCUACGCCACUUACACGUUGGCCGGUGUUUAAUUGGAUGCCUAUGGCCUAGGUGAGGCCCCAGGGCUCUGUUCCGUGCUUAAGCAUGCCUAGGCGAGCGUUUAGUUGUGUUUUUGUAGAACACUGGAUCUACUACAUUGGUGCCAAACUGAGCACCAACACAAGUCAACGCUGAGGCUCAUGGUCUUUUAGCUGCCGCUGCUGAACCACUUGCAGCCCACCCAUGCUGUUUGUGCAUUUGCUUGUUUGAUUCAUGACCUAUUCAUUCCUACAAAAUCAUGGUUUGUCAACAUGCUGCACUCCUUUCCCCCUUGUGUAUAUAAAUCGUGCUGGGGUGAAAUUCGCUGAUGUUGAGCCUGCACUUUUUUAGCUUUGAACUUUCACCAAGAUUUCUGAAAGAACUUUGUUGAACCUGCACAUUGCUGCAGAAAAUAAUCUGCCAUCUUUCAUGUAGUUUCCUGCAUUUUGGAAUAGUAUUAAGGAAGAAUGUUUUAGCGACUUGCAUGUUUAGUUUUGAUAUUCCUGAGAAAUUGUAGCAGGUUGCAGACAUUUGAUGUAAUUAGUUUCCCCAGACGAUCUUCCUUAGUUAUAGUUUUGCCAGACUUCAAAUGUUAUGGGCAAAAUGAGAGAUGCGGACCUCCCUGCUUCCAUAUUUCUCUCUUAGUUAUUAUAGUUUAGUAGUUGGUUUAGUAAGGGGCAUCUAUCAUAUACUCGUAAUUGAUUUGCUGCUUGCUUAUAUUGUUCUCUGGCAGGUCUGGAGGCAUGAAAGGGCUGUUCACUGGCGUUGGCCCACGUGUUGCACGCGCUGGUCCAUCAGUUGGUAUUGUCAUUUCCUUCUACGAGGUUGUCAAGUACGCUCUUCAUCAAAGGAACACCUCAUGACCCAGUUUUGUUGAUAAGAUGGGAGUCCAUUCACUUUGUAAAAACAACACUGUCCGUGGUUUCCCAAAGUAGGCCUGGUUACUCUGACCUUCGGACGGGCAUGGCUAGGUGUAACUUGGAAGAUCAGAGUGCUCAGCAGUCAAGACUAAACAGGAUUUUUCAUGGACAAUGUCCAUUUCGGUCGAGGAUGACAUCAGUUUUGCCAUGGAGCAGGCUCCAGUUUCGUCUGGCAGGUUUUGGACCAUCGUCUAAGCUUAUGCUUUGAGUGACCUGAAGCUGCUUUGGUUAACUUAUUAGGUAGGUCCUGUAAUUGAAGGUGUUAGUGCAGAUCAAUAAUACCCUAGAAACUACAGAAGAAAUUUUGCAGAUCCUAGUCUCAUGUCGAUGCUUUCUCUAGACCAUGUUCGGUUGAUGAAAGAGCAUCUUGUUGCUGGCUUAGGUUUAAGUUUGCAACAAGUUUAUGUUGUCGGUAAGAUCUAUAUGUGCGUGCACGAUCGCUGUUCAACAAAGUUAUAUUGGUUAAAGAAGCGUUUGCAGCGAGCCUAUGUGACAUAAGUGCCAUUGCAUUGCACGAGGUGGCUUGGAAAAAUUUCAAUGGUUCCGUAAUUUUUGUAUUUGUGGAUCUCUGAUCGCAGAUGCCAUCGUGACCCGCUCAUGUGAUAGAAGUGCCUAAAAAUUUGGCAACUCUCUACGAGAAUUUUCUUAUUGUAAAAGCCCACGGGGAUCUCUCUAAUUGGCGGAAUCAAUAAUGAAUGAGAAAACGGCUAUUAUAGGACUCCAAUCGUUGUGGCUUCUUCUAAAUAGGACUCGUAACGUUGGUUUCUCCCAAACAGGACUCUAAACGUUGUUUAUAAGCUCUAAUGAUAUUUUGGCUCUUUUUAAUUAAUUUUGGUAAUUCAAAAUACAUGUAUUUUCAGUUAAUGACUGUAUUGCCUUCAGCCUUUACACAGAUUGCAACGUUGCAGUUUCUCUCUAAAAAAAAUCGACGUUUCCACCAUGAGUCUUCCGUCGCCCAUCCUAUUCGACUCCGCCGCCGCCCCACCAUGGUGCCACCUCUCCCCGGCGAUCCACCGUUGCCCGGCGAGCCCCCGGCGGCGGCAGGCGAUCUGCUCCCUCCAACGACCGUCGAAGCCCCAUCUUGCAGCCUCAUCACGCUGGCAGGAGGCCAGACGGCAAGUGACCUAGGGCUUGCCUCGCCGGGCAGGAGACUAGAUGACACCAGGAACAACGCGUUCGCGCACAUGACCACGGUGGGGCUUCUGCUGCUGGUGUGCCUCGUUUUUCGUCUUGUACAUGAUAUUGAUGUCUUGUUCUGUGCCCAGCCCACACUGGAAGUUCUAGGCGUUCUCAGGGUAGGCAGUGACGCUGCUGGUGAAGACGACCAAGGUGGAGAUGGCCAAGUACCCGAUGUCCAGGUGGACCAAUCCCUGCAAAUAGAUGUCGUUGCCCAUGCAAGAUCACUGUUGUCUACUUAAAACAGGCAGCCAGGGGCAAAAGCAUUAUUGCCAUAGCCAAAUACAUGUAUUUAGGACUUAAAACAUGGUUAAUUAUAUUAAAAUGUCAUUAGAGCUUACAAAUAAUAUUUGGAGUACUAUUUGGGAGAAACAAAUAUUUAUAGUCCUAUUUGGGAGAAACCACAACGAUUGGAGUCCUAUAAUAGCCAUUUUCUCAUAAUGAAUUGAGCUUGUUUGUUUGAAAACACAUAGCUGAGAGUAUUUUUUGUAAGAGAAAAAUACUGUUGUUGAACGGAGCCACAAAGGGGUUGGUGGUGUCGAUUACCCUGGGUCCAUGUCUGAGGGGAUGUUUGGUUGCUAGCCAUAAUCUACCACGACUAACUUUAGGCAAGUGUGGCAAGCCACAAAAAGUGUGGCUAGCAAAUUGGUUGCCACACUUUGCCAUGCCUAAAGGAAUCUUGCCACACUUUUUAACUCUAUGACAUGUGGAACCCAAAAGAAUCAUGCCUAAACUUAAUUGUCAACCAAACACUUGCCAACUUGGUCAAACUUAUCUAAGGUAAAGUGUGGCAAACUGUGGCUAGCAACCAAACAGCCCCUGAAUCUCAACGACGGUUAUCCCCAUCACAGUAGAAAGAACGUCGUCGAUUACCCUGUGUCCAUGUCUGAAUCUCAACGACGGUUAUCCUCAUCACAGUAGAAAGAGGUACUGUUCGAGGUAAAGGGCCUAUAAUGCCUACCUCAAACAUGGACUCUGUUUAUAGUCCAUGUUUGAGGUAAAUCGUUGUGGUUUCUCUCAAAUAAACAGAGCCUAUAAAUCUGUUUAUAGGCUCUGUUUAUAGUCUAUGUUUGAGGUAAAGGGCCUAUAAUGCCUACCUCAAAGUAGGCAUGUUCGAGGUAAAGGGCUAUAAUGCCUACCUCAAACAUGGACUCUGUUUAUAGUCCAUGUUUGAGGUAAAUCGUUGUGGUUUCUCCCAAAUAAACAGAGCCUAUAAAUAAACAGAGCCUAUAAAUUGCAACUAAACAAUGCCUACCUCAAACAUGGACUAUAAACAGAGCCUAUAAAUCUAAACAGAGCCUUAGCCCAACUGAAUGAGGCUGGUACUGUUGUGUGUUGGUAACCAAGCCACCUCAAACAAAUAGGCUCGAAUGAGGCUCUGAUGGCUCACGGAGCCACCUCAAACUUUGGUGUGCAUGGCAAGUUUGGUAAGGCCUUGUUUAGUUCCCACAAAAACCAAAAUUUUUUUAAGAUUUCUCGUCACAUCGAAUCUUACGGCAUAUAUAUGGAGUUUAAAUAUAAAUAAAAAUAAAAACUAAUUGCAAAGUUUAUCUAUAAAUUAUAAGAUGAAUCUUUUAAGCCUAAUUACUCUAUGAUUGGAUAAUAUUUGUCAAAUAAAAACAAAAAUGCUAUAAUAUUAAAAUUCAAAAAAAUUUCACAAAUAAAUAAAUAAAUAAGACCUAAGCAAGUCACCAGCGAGGCGCCGAGGGCAAACAUGCUCAGGCCUUGUUUAGUUCCCUAAAAAUUUUGCAAAAUUUUUCAGAUUCUUCGUCACAUCGAAUCUUUAGACGUAUGUAUGGAGUAUUAAAUAUAGAUGAAAAUAAAAACUAAUUGUACAGUUUGGUCGGAAUUGACGAGACGAAUCUUUUGAGUCUAGUUAGUCCAUAAUUGAACAAUAUUUGUCAAAUACAAACGAAAAUACUACUAUUCCUAUUUUGCAAAAUUUUUUAGGCCUUGUUUACUUCCAAAAAAAUUUGCAAAAUAGGAAUAGUAGCACUUUCGUUUGUAUUUGACAAAUAUUGUCAAAUAUGGAUUAACUAGGCUCAAAAGAUUCGUCUCGUCAAUUCCGACCAAAUUAUACAAUUAGUUUUUAUUUUCAUAUAUAUUUAAUACUCUAUACAUAAGUCUAAAGAUUCGAUGUGACGCAAAAUCUGAAAAAUUUUACAAAAUUUUUGGGGAACUAAAAGGCCCGGCCUCAGAAGAAUGUCUCGCAUCAGCAUGUAGCUUGCCUGGAAGCUGACUGCACCUUGUUUUGUUGCAGACUGGUGGGUUGCCUGCCAAUCUUAGCCCGGACUCCAGUAGAAAAACGGACGCUUAAAAAUUUUGCAAAAUUUUUUAGAUUUCCCAUCACAUUGAAUCUUUAGACGCAUGCAUAAAGUAUUAAAUAUAAACGAAAAUAAAAACUAAUUACACAGUUUGGUCAGAAUUGACGAGACGAAUAUUUUGAGCUUAGUUAGUCUAUGAUUAGACAAUAUUUAUCAAAUACAAACGAAAAUGCUCCUAAAAUUUUUUGGAACUAAACAAGGCGUUUGGCUCCUGCUGCUGCUUUGCCUGGACCGGUACUACUCGUCGAAUGUCUGAUUUGAUUGCUUUAGCUAUUUAGGCCCUGUUUAGUUUCCCACUCAAAAAAUUUUCAUCCAUCCCGUCGAAUCUUUAGACACAUGCAUGUAACAUUAAAUAUAGAUAAAAAAAUAAACUAAUUACACAGUUUGGUUGAAAAUCGUGAGACGAAUCUUUUAAGCUUAGUUAGUCCAUGAUUAGCCUUAAGUGCUACAGUAACCUACAUGUGCUAAUGACAGAUUAAUUAUGCUUAAUAGAUUUGUCUUGCAGUUUUCAGACGAGCUAUGUAAUUUAUUUUUUUAUUAGUUUUUAAAAACCCCUCCAACAUCCUUGACACAUCCUAUGUGACAUUCAAAAAUUUUUCAUCUACAAUCUAAACAGGGUCUUAACUACCGUGCAUUAGCUAGUACUUAAUUAAGGCAAACGUAAAUUAGCUAUUUUAUUAAGGCAAACGUGUACCAUUAUUGACUUAAUUUAAUAGGAAUAAAUAUUUUAUUUCUAUUUUACUAUUUUAUUAAAGAAGUGUUUGGUUGGAGGUGUUAAAGCUGUAGUAUUUUCGUUUUAUUUGAACUAAUUAAGCUUAAAAGAUUCGUCUCGCAAAUUAUUCUCUAGCUGUGUUAUUAAUUUCGUAAAUAAUCUAUAUUUAUUACUCUGUACAUGUGUCUAAACAUUCGCAACCAAACAUGGCCUUAAACAAGUUUAAUUAUUUAUUAAAUAUAGUUAAAGAUGUUUGAUUAGAAACAUUUUCUCAAUUUCAUUUUACGGAGAAAACUUUAAUAUAUUUUUAAAAUUGGAUGCCUGGCUUCCGUUUCUUUGCCUGGCAUAACUACAGUUGAUGCAUUGUUUAUUGUUUAUUGAUACACUCUAAUACUCUAUUAAAUUAAAUGAGAGACAUGCUUUUCAUCCAAAAAAAGAGAGACAUGCUAUUAUUGUUUUUCUAUUAGUUUUCUCGAAACUAAUCUGCCACUCAUAUAACAUAGCUGUUCAUUCAAUAAACCAUACUAGAUUGUUUUUCCUCUCUUUAAGUAAACAUAAUUAAUAGAUAAUUUUUUAUAUUUAUAAAUAAUUCUCUAUUUAUUUAAUUCAGAAAAUAUUUAUACAAAUAUAUUUACUUAGUAAAAUUGCAAAAUCUAUAUACUAAUUAUAUACCACAAACAUUAGUUAACACAAUGAUACAUGAAUAUCUCCUCUUAUUAACGUUCUAAUGCACAGGCCUCCAACCAAAUUGGCUUUUCUUCAUGCUAGAAGCCUCGCCAGGCAAAAACCAUUAACUUUUCAGGUAACUCCGAAGCAUCACUCUUUACCACACAAGUUCUUCAGGCUUCCAACUAUAGGCCCUGAAUGUGUUACCAGAACCUGUACCGGAGAGCUGGAAUAGAAUAAAUAAUGGUCAUAGCCUUUGGGGACGACGAAACUUGGAGGCAGCUGUGAGCCUGUGAAGGAUAAAUUGCACUUCCAACUCGGAAGAUGAAACUCCUGUUAGCUUGGAAAAAAUGCUCUAAACUAAAAAGAAAAGGUGGUCUGGGUAUCAUUAACCCCAAAACUCAAAACUCUGCUCUCUUGCUUAAACACUUAGAUAAAUUUUAUAACAAGGAGGUUCCCUGGGUGAAAUUAAUCUGGCAUGCACAUUAUUCUAAAGGCAAUUCCCUCAUGCUACAACCGAAAAAUGUUCUUUCUGGUGGAGUGAUAUUUAAAUCUUUGUGAUCUCUUCAAAGAUAUUCCAAACUGCAACAUUCGAUGGAUCUACUGUCCUAUUCUGGUCUGACGUAUGGAAUGACAAUGUAAUGCAAAUCGAGUAUCCAAGACUUUUCUCUAUUGCAAGGAACAAAAAGAUCUUAGUUUCACAUUUUUUGACAAACAACAAGCUGGACCAAUUUCACCUCCCAUUAUGAGAACAAGCUUAUCAAGAAUAUCAAAGCCUCCAGGGUUAUAUUGAGACUAUCCACGUUCAGCCGAACACAAAAGAUUUAUGGCAUUACAUCCUCAAAAUUCACGUGUUCUACCAAGAGACUCGGUUCACAUUUGCUGGUUAUUUCUCGAUGAUGAAAGAAACAGUAUGCACUCGCUCAUCUGGCCUAUUCCAUGUACGCGUACGUGUUCUAAUAUGACUCGGUUUCUUGGCCAUCUCCAACUCUGACAACCGAUCAACGACCCGAGUCGUGUUCUUGCCUUCUUGGAGCCGCCAGUGUUGGCGCCCACCUUCGCUUGACCCACGCUAACUCUGCCAUCCUUCCCCAUCAAUAGGUUUAUCACCUCCUUUGUUAUGCACAAUCUUCAGGGUCCCCGCAAUCUUUGCCGGCGACAUCUUCUUCUUUCCAGACUUGUCUCCAGGCUUGGCGCCUCCUUUGCUAUCCACUUGUAGUCCACCAUGGCCUUUGCACGCUGCAAUUUUUCUGCCAUAGUCCUUUGGCGUUGAGGCCAACAUCAUCCCGGGCAGAGCUAGCAGCAUUAGAAUUCUCUGUCGACCCUGGAAAGGAGUCUAGGCCAGACACCCUCUCUUUCUCUUGUGGCCCUCCAGUGCAGUGCCUGCCGAAACGCCAGUGGCUAUCUCACCCAUGUUGAAAAGUGGGUUAUCUGUAACCUUGACGUGGGUCCCAUCCACUGCCAUGUCGUGGACUCCUUUGGCUAAUUCUUCGGUCAGAUUUUUAUUCAGCUUGCUAACUGAUUCUUCAAUAGCCUGCGUAUCUCGUAUCAAAGUUGUGUUGCCAUCUUGGUCAGGUUAGAGUCCUAGGCGAAGUUGAGUGUCCGGCUCCUCGCUCAAUAGCUUCACUUCGCUGAACUAGCACCUGCAAGCGCCAACGCUUUAGGCAUGGUUCAGUUGGCAAAAUUUUUAGAUUUUGGGUAAUGUAGCACUUUCGUCUGUAUUUGGUAAUUAUUAUCCAAUCAUGGAUUAACUAGGCUAAAAAGAUCUAUAUCAUAAAUUACAGGUAAACUGUAUAAUUAGUUUAUGUCUAUAUUUAAUACUCUAUACAUGUGCCGCAAUAUUUGAUGUGAUGGAGAAUUUUGAAUUUUUUUGGCAACUAUUAUCCCUCUGCAAGCCUGGAAAGUUUAAGGCUCUGUUCACUCUACUACUAGAAGUUGCCCGCGUCCUUUCUGAUGGGGGAAGGACGUAUUGACAUGUUCCUCAUCAGCGAACUCAUCCACGUUAUGGCCAAUCCUGCUGCACUCAUAAAAGGCUUGUGCUGACGGUUGACAUGUUCCUCAUCAGGGCACUCAUCCUCGUUAUGGCCAAUCCUGCUGCAGAGAAAGCAGAAAUUUGGUACGUUCUCUUACUUGACUCGGAAAGCCAUCAAGCCUUUUUCCCUUGAACGAAAUUCUGCAGUGGAUUUGCAAAGGGGAAACAUCAAUCUAUAGCUCUCAGAAAGUCAUCCACAGACGUCUUUGCUCAACUCUUUUGCUAGCUCCAGAGUGAAGUGAAAGCUUCAUUCAUCAAAACUUCAGGCACAUCAUGAAAUUGCACUCAUAAUCCAAUCCUGUCCACGGCAAUCUCUGAUGGACGCCGGAGGCCGUCGUACGGCAUGACGAUGGGAGCGUCGCCCUUGUGCCUCCAUGGACAGACUUCAGCACAAAACGAUGCUCCGUGAGCGGCCGUGCCUCCAUUGUUUCCUUGAUGCCCCAAGCUCUGCUCAUGUCAGAGAAAAGAACCUUGACAUUGUGUAUGGCUUAAUUACUGGAGUAGAAACACGCCAUCGCAAAGCCACUUCCUCUUGUCGAUCCCCCAGCCACUGCCUCCGGAUUGAAUUCAUCAUCAUCCUCCGUCUCCGCAGCUCCCGCCAGGGGCUGUUGCUGCUUCAUCAGUUCCAGGGAUUCCCCGCCCGGGGACUUCCUCUGUCGCCGCUGCUACCCCUACCACUGCAUUGUUGCCGCCUCUGCCGUCAGGUGAUGCGUCACCUCCCAUCUGUUCCUUGGUAGCAUCAGCUGCAACCUUGCCGUGUCUCCCGCCAUCGCUCGAUCUUCUCCUGCCAUGCCCAGGGGCGUCGCCAAAGAACACGUGAGUACACCACUCGUAAAAACGAGGCUUCGGGUGGGCAAUCUCCUCACCAGAGAUCCCUCCCGUAUCGGGUGGGCCCUGGGUCCGCUGCCUGCCGUGUUCCUAAAGGAAGUCGGAGAUUUACCCAAGUUCAGUCGAACACAAAAGAUUUAUGGCGUUACAUCCUCAAAAUUCACGUGUUCUUACAAGGGACUCGGUUCAUAUUAAUUUGCUGGUUAUUUCUCGAUGAUGAAAGAAACAGUAUGCGCUCGCUCAUCCGGCCUAUUCCGUGUACACGUACGACUCGGUUUCUUGGCGAUCUCCAACUCUUUCUACCGAAUCGACGUCCGGCCCAAGUCAUGUAUGUAUGUAUGUAUAUAUAUAUAUAGACAUCAAAGGCAUCGCCUCUUUAUAUAAUUAUUAUAUAUAAUCAAACCAACCCGGGCUAGUUGACCCUGCCUAGGUCGAGAUCGAGAUAAUAAUGGCGAUGUACAACGACAUCCCGGACCAUCGCUAUCGCUUCAUCAACUUCGUCGGCGACGCCUUUGUGGUCGGCGCCGGUUGCGGCUCUACCUUCCACUUCGUCAAGGGGUUCCGCAGCUCGCCGGCCAAAGGUGGAGGUGGACGCCUGGCGGCCGCCGUCCGUGCUGUCUGCGCCAACACGCCUCGCGUAUCCGGGAGCCUCGGAGCCGCCAUGGCCGUGAUCUGCGCCUUGGAGAGUGCCGUCUCCCUCGCGCGCCAGAGGGAGGAUCACUGGAACUCCAUCCUUGCCGGCACAGCUUCCUAUGGCCUACUGAACGUGCACCGGGGCGCCUCCGCCGCCGCCUUGUCCGCCUUGUUCGGCGCCACCUUUUUUACGGGUCUUGCUGGCGCCUAUCUGGCAGCUGAAUCGUGGCACGGCCGGCUCAUUGUGUCCGGCCGCGAGUGGCGAAUGAAGGACGGCUUGCCAGCGCUGGUACCCAUCAGGCGUAUCAGUAUCCCAGCGGCAGCGACCGCCGUGGUUCAUGAGGACCCAGCCACAGCCAGCGCCGGCACCGUCGAGUAGUAUAGUACAGGUGAAAAGCAAGAGCUGUUUUGUAGCUAAUUUCUCUUCGUUUUGCUUGCUAUUGUUCCUUGAAGUUGAAUUAUCUAUUUGUUUACUACGAUGUUGAUUUUGGAUAACAUGUUUUAGAAUGGAAUAUUUAUUAGUAUGAAUGUACUCCCUCCGUCUGUCCAAGAACGAAUCAAUUUCUAAAAUCCGUGUCGAUCGGUUGACUAACUUUAUAGUUAUAUUAUAUAAAAUGCACAUCGAUAAAUCUAAUGAGCAGUAAUCCCAGCCCAGAGAUCUGUACAUGUCUCUAUCUAAUAAUUUUUUUCAUUAUUUUUAUUUACAACAAACAAAUUAAAGGCAGUGAUUUAUAUUUAAUUAAGCCACAUCUGCGAAAAAAACCAAUACUCUGGGUUUCAUCUUUCAUGCAGAAACCAUGAGAUUACUGCUACCUGAAACGAUCGAUGUUGUUGUAAAUAUGGCAGUUAGUUGAUUCGUUCACCUUUUAAUCUUGUGUGAUAAAAUGGGAGGAGUUUUCGUUUUAGUAGACCCUACUGAAACUACAGGCCCUUGUUGGGUCUAGGCGUCUUUUGGUUGCACGGUUCAUAAAAAAAAAAAAUAUGCGCAUGCAUACAUUGGUUCAGAUCCAUCCAUUCUGUUCUGUGUUUAUAAAAGUACAAUACAUUUUUUUGAGGCAAAAGUACAAUACAAUGCGCCUAUAUUUGUGCAUCUAUCGACGGACUUGCGAGCAUGCGUGAGAGCAUGCAUAUUCGAUGUGGCCUUGUGAGCAGGCCUGAGGCGCAAAAAGAUGCCUGAGUUGGUGUCGCCGAGAAAACAAAAUCUGACCCUUUUUAACUCGGCAACGACGGAUAUAGUGCAAACUCAUCUCUCGUGCAAACUGUGCAAACACUAAUUUGGAUCCUAGGAUGUUGAUCCAAGGGGCACAGACAUAAGAUAAUUUUGCACUUAACCGCCUGCUCUUAAUCAUACUUUUACAAAUCCCUCCUUCCACCUCUCUCAUGCGCCCCCUUGGAUCAACAUCCUGCGGUUCAGAUUAUAGUUUACACAGUUUGCAUGAGAGAUGAGUUUGCACUAGAUCCGUUGCCAUAACUCCCCCUCGCCCAAUAUAUAUAUUACAAACAAUUAUAAGAUUAUCCGUUACAUCGAAUCUUAUAGCACUUGUAUGAAAUAUUAAAUAUAAAUAAUAAAUAAUAAAUUACGCAAUUUACCUGUAAAUCAUGAGACAAAUCUUUUAGGCCUAGUUAGUCUAUGAUUGGAUAAUAUUUGUCAAAUACAAACGAAAGUGCUACAGUAUCAAAAUUCAAAAAGAUUUUGGAUCUAAACACACCCAUAGUCGUUUGCUUUUUGUCCUAAACAAAAUAAUAGGAUAUAUUUUUUGCAUUUUGCAUGUCUAUAUUACUGGGUGCUCCCAUAAGUUUGCUUCAAAAAAUGCUGAUCUUUUUUAAUUUUUAUGACAAUGCUGAUUUGUUGGUGCAAGUACAUCUUUACCUCAAGGAUACAUUCACCAAUCACCAGUGCACUUAAUCAUUUAGAACUUAAUUACCUGUGUACCAAUGCAGAAAAUGAGUUUCGUUUAUGCCAAUUGAACAUAUUGCUCAUAAUUGAAUUUUUAGUAACUAUCGAUAAUGUUUACAAUAAUGCAAUCUAGCGAUUGUGGUUUUUGAAAAAGGAAUUUGCAAAUAUAAUAAUCUCUGCAUAGAUUAAUUCUUGUGCCAGUGAGAGUUUGUGUCAUGCUCGUACACUAGAUUGCAUCAUCUAUCGGUGCUCUGUUAUUUCUUCUUCGGUAACACUCGUCAAGAGCCUUUACAUGCUUGCGAUUGAUGUUUUAUGUUUUGAGGAUUGUGAAUGUAAAAUUAUGUCACCUUCUAUUCUGUUCAUUCACCUAAUAUCUUUUAAGUAUUUAUUUAUUUUGCCCUUAAUUAUGUGUAGGUCAAAAGAUCAUGGGACAUCUAAUCUUUGUCCCAAGGAUACUUGAAGUAUUUGCCAAAGGAAAAAUUCUACAUAACCCCCAAACUAUUUAGGGUGGAUAUUUCAUCCCUCAAACUGUAAAAUCAGAUAUUCUACCCCCUAAUCUUUUAAAACUAGUCAAAUAACCCCCUAGAGUGGUUUUGUCAUUUUCUUUUUUUAUUUAUUUCGGCUGAAUCCUUAAAAAAUCAUAAUAAAUUGUAGAAAAAUCAUAAAAUAAAAAAUUUAAUUUGUUAGACUCCGAUGAGUAGAUCUACACAAUGAAUAUAUAAUAUGGUAUACUCUAGUACAAAGUUUUUGCUGUAGCUUUAAAUCUAUAUUUUUCUAUAAUUAAUUUGAAUAAUUCAUACAUGUAGUUCCUAUGGUCCAAUUGUGGUAAAAUUUUUAUGGUGGGCUCAUUAUUGUAUGCUUGAACUAUGGUAAAAAUUUCAUACUCAUUGGAUCAUGUAUAAAUUAGUUAUAGAUAAAGCAUAUAUUUAACAAGAAUAAAGCUAAAUAAUUCUAGAACUAAGUUAUACGUGAUCCAAUGGGUACGAAACUUUUAUCAUAGUUCAAGCAUACAAUAACGAGCCCACCAUAAAAAUUUUACCACAAUUAAUCCAUAUGAACUACAUAUAUGAAUUAUUCUUAUUAAUUAUAGAAAAACAUAGAUUUAAAACUACAACAAAAACUUUGUACCAAAAUAUACCUUAUUAUAUUUUUGUUGUGUAGAUCUACUCAUCAGGAGUCCAACAAAAUUAAAUUUUUUAUUUUAUGUUUUUUCUGUGAUUUAUUAUGAUUUUUUCAAAGAUUUAGGGAAAAUAAAUAAAAAAGAAAAAGACAAAACCACCCUCUAAAACCACUCCAGAGAGUUAUUUGACUGGUUUUGAAAGUUUAGGGGGUAGAAUAUCCGGUUUUAUAGUUUGGGGGAUGAAGUAUUCCACCCUAGAUAGUUUGGGGGUUAUAUAGACUUUUUCCAUUUGCCAAAUGACAUCAAAGCCAAAUCAUUCCCUAAAAUUACUUAAUAACUUUGUUAUUACAUAUAUUAUUCUUAUGAGUAUUAUUAUAAUAAUGGUAUGCUGUUUAGAGAGCAAAGCAACUCUGAAUUAUAGUGGUGCUUCUUGUAGAGGUCCAGUUUGAAUCGGUCUAAACAUUUUUCUGUUUUGCACAAGAAUUCCCUCCAUUCCAAAUUAUAGGGUGUUUUGGCUUUUGCUAUGCGUUUAGUGUAUACUAGGAGUCUGCCCGUGCAAUCCCACAGGCACAUAAAAGUAUAAACGCAAUUCAUCUAUAUGCAAAGCGCAGAUCUCAAAAUUAAAUACUACUUGUCCUUCAGUAAGCAAAGAAUGAACUAAGUGUGGCUUUGUUUACAAAAUUGUGUAAAUUCUAAGUUGCAAAUUUCAUGCACCCUUGGACCUCACACUUUUGAGUCACAGACAAAUAUCACCUUCCCAAGUCAAAACAAACCAAUUGAAUUUUAUGUAGAGUCGUUAGCCCCCAAGCUUCACCUGUUCACACCUCACACUACUAUACCAAUUAUGUUUAGGAACAUUGAACUUCUAAACAGCCAAACUGUUGUUGUAAGACAACCUCCUUACCUGUCCAACUAUUCAAUUCAAAGCGCACAUGAAAAGACAGGCAAACAAUUAAAGUAGCCAAUGAUCUGUUGUUAAAAGUACCAACAAACAUGCCACAUAUCACAGUUGUGAAUUAAGCGCUUUUUCCUUAGAGCUACGAACUGAUCAUCCCCAUUUAUAAGUCCAAGAAAGAGAGAAGAUCAGGUUCUCAUUCUCAGCUACAGCAUUUCCAUUCUCACGGUACUAUCCAACACAUAAGAAGAAAAAAUGUUUACAAACCUAAGCACUGCACUGGAAACAUCACACAUAUGUUCGAGGCUACGUAGACAUUGCUCUUGCUGAGACAGAAACUUAGGACCUGGCCCCUCUAGAGACCAUUCGAUGAAUUUUGAAAAUCAUGAAUACACAUAUUGUAAUGGGAAACUGAACAGGCGCAGGUGCCGAAGAAAUGCUUUCAACCUAACUUAGAAUAUCGGAAAUGUUGUGGUGCCAUUCGGACGCCACGUGCCCCCACUCCGCGGCUCACUGUUGCCCCCUCUCCCAGCUGCGUGCCGGCACUCCUUGCUGGCUCCUCGCUCUCGCCCGUCCUCAACAUAGGCAGAGCAAUUAGAUAAUCUUCUUGCCCUAAAAAAAGGAGCACACAUAAGUGCAAACAGCUUCAAGAUUAAAGAUACCAGCAAUAAUUAAACAGAAUCCCCAAGUGAUUGAUUAUGCUUUAAUAGAAGCUAGAAAUCCAAAAGUGGUUUUCAUCAAGACUUUUCCUUCUUGGUCAUCUUUCCACAUUAUUUUCCAAAGAAACAAAAGACGAAUCACUAGUUGCUAAGAAUACUGAUAUUUGUUAGGGGAAGUCUUUUAUUAUUUUCAGAUGCAUAUAUAUUUUUUAGUUCAUUUCAGAUGGAAAUUAUAAACUGUCUAAAUUCUAAAUUCCUCUCCCAGGCCUUGUCGACUUGUCCUAUACCAGAGUACACCAGCUACCAAGCUGUCUAAAUUCCUCUCAAAUAAUAUACAGUCUGAUAUUAAUCUAGACUAAAUUGUCCAAUGCAGGUAUCUAAAUGUAGCCAGAAGCUUUACCACAUUCCUUUCCAUUUCACCGCAUAGUUUCCACUGAAGGUCCCCUGAAGGGCACUGGGCACAUAGAACUCGUUUAUACCAUGGUCUCAUUGGUUGCAACUUCACAGACAGGCAUUGUGUUGGCCAAGAUAACAACAGUCACAGAGCAACAAACAGAACCAAAGGAUGGGAAACUGGCAGGGAGCGUGCCUCACCAUCUCGAUGUCCUGCGCCAUCUGAACACAGGGCCCGCACCAGGUCGCGUAGAAUUCAACGAUGAGCGGCACCUUCGUGUGCCCCCUCACCAGCUCCUGCACCUCCUCGGCCGACACCUUCCUCUGCAACCACGAAUAAAUGCAAAGCAGCGCUCAGACUCGAACCCACCGACUGCCGAGUGCCGAGGUGCACAAAGAUUUGCGAUCGAGUGAACCGUGCUGCGUACCACGAGGUAGUCCGGCGCUAUGUACUUGCCGGAGCCCCGCAGGCCGCAACCACCGUCUCCGCGGAGGCGUUCCGUCGAAGGGUUGGCGCGCGGCGGGUGCUGCUGGCGCCUACGCCAACGAGGCUGCUGCGCGCGGGGGAGAGCGAACGGGGAGGAGAAGAGGCCCAGAGGUCAGGGAGGGUGCACGAGGAAGGGAACCAGCGGCGCACGCCGACGGGAACGCGGCGGCCGCCGGUCGCAGCCCGCAGCCAUGGCGGAAGCGGAUAGGGGCGGUGGAGGGAGACAAAUCCUAUCCGGUUGACUCGGAUCCGUGGAAAUGGUAGUACUGGCACUGGCCUACAGGGGUUUCAGUUCCACCUGAAGCGGCAAGGCGACAAGUACGCCUUUUACAAGUGGCUUUGUAACCAACGCUCUCUUUUGUAGAGAUAUUUGAGAAGUGAAGAAGAUUCUUUUUUUGACACUUAAACUUUUGUGGUAGUUCAAUUGUUUAUCCUUACUUUAUAAAACUGGAUUCUUAACCCUCUCAACUUUUAAAACCAUUUAUUUUUACAUCUUAAACGGUUUUGUCAUGUCAAGUUAGCUAUUGAAGAGGAUAAAUCAAACUUGUUUGACAUUUAAGGAUGUAAAAUUAGACAACAACUAUUUCUUUUGAAUAAUUUCUUCCUGGAAAAUUUUGCACUACAAAAAGUUCUAAAAUCUGGUUUAAUCUUAAAAAUCUAUUGAAAAUUUGUUUUGACCUAAAAACUACGAAGCUAAUUUCAUAGUUUUCUUAAAAUCAUGCUCGAUCUUAUCGUGUCAGAAUCAAUACUAUUUGAGUAUUCUAUGGACAUUUUUUGCUUUUAGUUUGCUAGUAGAAGUGCCAAAGAAAUGCUUUUAACCUAAAAUUAGAAUGUUGCACUAGAGGAGAGGAACUGUCAUUAUAUCUGGCUCUGUGUAGCCAGCCUGUUCACUUCUCUUUUCAGCCGUACUUUUUCUGUCAGCCAACAGUGUUUUUCUCUCACAAUAAAUCAGUCUGUAUUUUUACAUCUUCUAGGCAUCGUUGGUCUGAAAAGUCAUGACUGAAAUUACUGUUGGCUGAUUUAUUGUGAGAGAAAAACACUAUUGACUGACAGAAAAAAGUAUGACUGAAAAGAGAAGUGAACAGACUACACAGAUAUUCUAAACACCAUAAAGGUCGAUCAAGUACGAAUGUUAGACCAUAUCUAAGUACCACUCUUUUAGGAAGCAUGGUGUUUCACAAUAUAAUAAUAUAUGUUCCUUGAUAGUAAUUUUUGCUAGAUUUAAGCAUAAUAUGUAACUUCAUUUAACGGUUGAAUUGCAAAUCCUAAGCUAGAUAUGUCAUAAUACAAUCAAACUUGACAUGUUUUGACUCUUAAAAAAAGAUAGCCGACAUCUUUUAAAAAAAGAAAAACAGGCAUCGUUUUGGAAAAAAAAAACAAAAAGAAAAAAACUGCACCACGUAGAAGUAGUACUAGAGAAGAGAGGGCAGUUAGGCGCUCAUGUGCCAGCUGGCGGUCCGCGGCCCCACCGCUCUUGUGCGAGGCGCAUGGGUUAGCCAGCCAGCCGGGUUCGGCGGCCUCUCGGGUCGAUCGGAUAUAAGAGGGGGCAAGCGGCUCGCAGCGCCAAAAAGCAGAAGCGCUCCAGAGAAAACAGAAGAGCAGAACAAAUAGUAGCAGUGCAGCGGAGGGCGCUCUCUUCUCCGACGAACGAGGGACCGUCGCACGCCCGGCGGCCAUGGGGUGGUACUCCCGUUUUCCUCGUCCGGCUCCUUCGAGGUAUUCCUCCCAACCCCCUCCUCAUCAUCCUCUCCUCUAGCUAGUUCUCGUCUGGUCCUCCUCUCAAACCUCCCGGUGUUGCCGUAGCACGCACCCGAACCGUGCUCCGACGAGCGCGUAGCCAACACGGGGAGCGUCGCCGCUCGCCGGGUUCGCUACCCGCUACUCGGACCACGAGAUCCGGCGCGUGGUGCGACACCAUCAGAUAGUUUGAGAGGAGAGGCCGCGUGGUUGGGUAUCGAUCCGUCGUAGUCGCCGCGCCGGUACGGUCGCCGGAAUUCUGCUUGUGGGAAAUCGAGACGAGAAUGCACGUGGUUGGGAUUUCUUGCUGCACGCACUGGCGCAUAUGUUGAAAGCGAGGGAGGGGAUGCGGCCGUAUUGCCGUCGCAACACGCCCCGAACCCGUGCUCCGACGAGGAGUAGCGAACUCGGGGAGCGUCGCCGCUCGCCGAGUUCGGUACCGGCUUGUCCGAGCACGGGCUCCGGUGGCUGGUGCGACACCACCGGCACCGGCGCAGUUUGAUUUGAAAGGUGAGGCGUGUGCUUAGCGACCCGUUGUCGUCGGCGCUCGUCGGUUGUUUAGGGUACGGUGGUGGGUAAUCGAAACGAAUGCUGCUUGUUUGCUGUUCGUCUGCACGACUAAGGGGCUCGCGAGCGGGGGCGGCGGCCAUGCAUGGGCGUGGGGUGGCGGUGGCGCGGGCUCGUGCGGCGUGUGGGGCGGUGGCCGCGGGCUGCAGGGUGCAGCGCGCGGUCGCGCGGCGGCGGUUUGUUGUUACAUAUGCGUGCUCCUGUUCAACGUACUAGGUACCAGCUUCUGAUCGUACUAUUGUGGAUGCCGAUACCACCAAUUGGAGGACUGGGAUCAUGACUGAUCCCCUGUUUAGGGGUCUAGAAAGAUUGAAUUUCAUGUUUAGGAUAGGGUCAUAGGGAGUUCAUUUAAGGAUUUGAUGGGUGUAUAUUUUAUUCAUACUUUCGAUAUCUUCAACAGCUGCAUAUCUAGACUGGUGUGCGAUCCUUAUGUGCCAGUAACUUUUACUGUUUAUUAGGCAUAAAAUUGGUUUGUUAUGGUAUCUUGGCCAACUGUUAACAUUUUAAAAUGGUCAGCUAUUUUUGCAAGUUAGAUGACACAGUAUGUGCUAGUUUCAGUCAAGAUAUUUAUAGAUGCUCUAGAUAGUCACUGAAAUGGCUGUAUUUCCAAUGUGCCACUAUCUUUCAUAACUCAUUUACCCUUCCAUCUAAAGAAAAGUUAGAUUCACCACCAAUUGUUAUUUCUAAAUCAGAUUCACCACCAAUUUUAUUCUUACUGUAUAAGGCUUUUGAUAUGAUGCUUUUCUGGUUAUGGAUGUAUACUCGGUGCACCUGCAAUAUUACACAUUUUACCACAUGGAACAUUGUCAUCAAAUUGUCAAUAAACACCAAUUAGACAUCCAGUUUGUGCCUUAGACUAAACUGGCUGAACAAGUCAUCUGACUUGUAUCGUUGACCUGGCCGUUUUGAUCAAAUGAUUUGCUGCGAUUGUUGAGCAAUGUUAGAAUCUCUUGCUACUGCAUCUGACACUAUGUUUUGGUAUCAAAAUGAUUUGCUGCGAUUGUUGAGCAAUGCUUCUCUUGCUACUCUGCCUGACGUUCUGUUUUGGUAUCCAGGAUCAAAGAUCUCCUCAAGAAGCUCGCGGAGACCCUCCUUCCCGGAGACAUCCGGGAUCUGCCUGCAAUGAAGGACAGAGCAGUCGAGCUGUGGAGUACUGUAAAGAGCCGCAUUGGCGUGAAGACAAACGAGGAUGAUGGGAUCCGCACCGAGCCUGACGACGAGGAUAACAACCCGUUCGUCUAAUCAAGUUCACGACGUGGUGAAAGUUUUGUAGCUGAUUCGUCGUCAUCUUACCUGUUGAGUAGUGCACACAAUGAUCUUGGGAAGGAACCAAAGGGUUAUGGAUUUACUUCUGUCGUCUAUAGUUCUUCAGCUGCGGCCGUAUCGAACAUGGUUUUUUCUGAAUUCAGAUUCUUAUUGCUCGAUAGUGCAACAUACACUUCUGUGAUAUUGCGAUGAAACUUUGUGCUGCUUGUUGCUGCCAAAGUACCAUUUGCUGGUUCAGCUGUUGUACUUGCUGCAUAAAAUUUUGCUGAAGAUGCUCAGUUGGGAGCUGUUGCUGUUCCAGACUCUGAUUGUGUUGAGCAUGCAGGUAAUACAGUUGUUGCUGACAAUAUUGCCCCAUUUGUGAUGCAUACCCUUGCAUCAUUUGGAGAUACUGUUGGUUUCCAUGAUUCGACUGUGCAAAUAAUUGAUUUGAACAUUCUGAGACAUUGUAAGCUCUUGCUGCUGCAUGUUUUGUGAAAGGUUAUUAGAUUUAUGUGUUUGAGCAUUCCGCAACUGGUGUCGAAUUGGAGCUUGAAAACCGACAUGGUCCGAUUUUGUUUUCGCUAAGUCCAAGCUCGAAGGUUUUGCACAGGCUGAGAGUUCAUGAGACUGCGAAGAUUGAAUAUAGACCAGUGGCAGAGAUUUCCUUGUCACAUUCAGUUGGAUUUGGACAAUCAAAAGACCUCUCUAGGUUUGCAGUACUGACAGACAAAUCAUGCUCUGAGUACCUGAACCUCCACAUGUUGCCUUUCCUCCAGCUCCGGAGAUAUUUGUUGAAUUAAAACUUAGAUUAACAGGAUCUUAUCUUAGUCUAAAUAUGAUCACUAACUAAAACUUAUGCGGAAAUUAAUCUGAUACUAACCAGAGUCCUCCGAUAGAAGAAUCGAUGUAGAUGAAGUAGAUCUUAGUCUUCACCAGAUGGACUUGAUGCUCCUAGUUGGUAAAGAAUGCGAUGAAGAUCUUGCAUUACCUGGAUGGACGUAGGUAAACGGCCUUCCUAAACCCUGCAACGCCUAAUUGACCAGUUAUGUGAAGAGUCACAAAAAUUAGAGUCCAUGUGACGCCAGGGGCGCCUCUCUUAUUUAUAAUGGCGUUGUGGGUCAGUGGGCCGAACCCUUGGAACUCUAGGGGCUACCGUCGAUCACGACAAUUUUUAUUUAGUUGGAAAUAAAUGAUGAGUGGUUGGACGAAAAAUUUAACGCUCAAUUAAUCUUGUAAUUAAGUCACAUUCCUAUUGCCAUGUAACUCAACUUCACCCACGUAGAGUAUUAGGACAAUAAAAAUUUUCACCCUUUUUUUUUAUAAGCAUAAUUGGUCCGCUUAGUAAAAUUCUAAACCAUAGUGGACUAGGUUUUUAAUUUAAAUUUUUUAAAAACUCCCUUUGAACUCGUGCUUAGAAUUAUAGACCCUUUUGUAGUCUAGUGGUUUGACUUCAUCACAAAACUUAUUAGCACCCACACUUAUAUAUACUUAUGGACCUAAGAUCAUGAAAAUUGCUAGGUUUAGAAUAACAAAAUUCCUCUUCUGAUGUGGUCAUCAUGGACCACAAGCAGUUUAAUCACAAUAGAGGUUUACUUAUGUGCCUAAUUAUCCACUAAUGAUUGCUACAUAUAUCUAUCGUGGCACACUAAUUGACUCUUGAAAAUCCAUAAUAUAAAUUUUAGUAAUUUAAAUAGAGGUAUACUAAUGGUUUAUGGCACAAACUGAGAUAUUUAUCUCUUCUCGAGUCAUUGAUACAGAAAACUUAGUCCGUAACUCUCCAAGAUGUUAUCUUCCUCCUUUGUGAACUCCCACUAGCUCCCACUAAUUUUUGUAUUCUCUAGGAAUACUUCUCUAGGAACACAUUCAUCAAAUCUUAACGUAGUGAAAUAGUUAUAAUAGUAGAAACACAGUCCCUUGAACUUUGCUCCCACUGAUUUCUGUGUUCUCUAGGAACAUAAUUAGGAGAAUCACAAUCACCCGACUCAGCUAUAGCCUCCGUCUCACGAGAAUUUGUUUUCUCGUCAUUUUGUUCGCGCAAAAUUAGAUCUUGAUUAGUCUCUUCUUUGGCAUGUGAAUUCAUUGUUGAGAAUAUGCUCUAGAGGUAAUCAUAGAGAUAAUGAUAUUACGGUAUCCGUGACAUAUAUUAUGAGUUCAAUGAAUAUCUAUUAUAGACAAACUUGUAUCGAUUGACAAUUAUGUGAAUUUGUUUAUGAAACUCUUUUACUUGUAUGGUUAUUCUAAAGUUACUCGUAAUUAGAGUGCAUGUGAGGACACACAUAAAUAUUAGAUUAGCACAUGUAUUAGUUGAUGACUAUAUUUCACAAGUCAUAGAUAUAGAGAUGUCAAACUAAUAAUGUGGGCACGUGUAUGACAUAUGGCUGGACUGACCCAACGUGAGAUGUUCUUAUUAUCUCUUUAUGCAUCAUGUAUGUUAUGUCCUUGUAACACCCAAAAUUUUGAUUUCAAUUAAUAGGAAUUAAUUUGAUUUAUUUAAGUAUUUUUGUGAGCAUUUGAAUCUAGCAAAUAAAUAAUUUGGUGAAAAUUAAAAUUCAUCAUAAGUUUAGAAACGUGAUUUUGCAUUCAUGGUGGAGCAUAGUUAUUUUUGUACUGUUGCUUUGUUUUUAUUUUAAUUGUUUUUGUUUUAAAACUCCUUUGGAAAAAGAAUUGAAAAAGAAAAUAAAAAGAAAAGGGGGAAGAAGCCCAGCCAGCCCAAUCCCCUUUCCCCCCCCCCCGCAGCCAGCGCUUUCCCCCUCCCCUGGCCAGUUUUCCUUUUCCCCCGCAUCGCGCAAAGGCCCAGGGCGUGGCCCAGUGCUCCCCGCGGCCCAGCCUGCUUCCAGCCACCGGGCCAAGGCUCAAACCGUGCGCAGCUCCCUCCUCUCCCUUUCAGUCUCUGGCACCGGGGUCCCACGUGUCGGCGCCCUCCUCCGUCCUCCUCGCGUCGAUAUCAAACCGGACACCGUCGAAGGCAAGAACGCCCACCCCGAUUUUCGGGAUUUCUUUCACCCAAGCGUUAACCGAGUCCUUUUAAGCCCUGUGCUCACCUCUCAGAUCUCGCCGAACUCCAAAAUCGAGCCGCCACCUCGCACGCCAUCUCCGCUGUCUCUCGGACCCAACCAAGCGCAUAAACGGGAUCGCGGUGAGCUCCUCCUCCGCCUGGUGCUUUCUCUUUGUCCCCUAGCGCUCGGAGUCGCAAGAUCCGCUAACUCCGGCGAGCUCCGGGGUGGCAUCCAUGGCGUCCGUCGUGGAGCUCGCCGCCGGCCGGCCGCUUCCUCCCCUGAGCGAGUCUCGGCCGUAGAUCGUGAAAUCAAGCGCUUGGAUUAGAAGAUACCCUUUCGGGGUAACUUUGCUAAAGAGGCCCUGGGCAAUUCCAUAUUAGAACCCGCCGUCCAAAGCGCUUUCCCGAUUUUACGCCUUUUAUUUUGAAAAACGUAUUCUUCAUCGGUUUGAACUAGAAUACGCUUUCUGCUAUUUACAAGUUUGUCACUGAUUUUAUAAGGCUCAUAAAAUAUUCAUUUUAAAUCCGAUUUGGUCUAUUCAAAUUGCGUUAGGUUCGUAUUUUCAAGCUCUAUAGGUUAGAGGAAUUAUUUUUCUGUUUUGAAACUUUUUAUUUUCGCAGUAGCAUUUAAUUAGUUAUUUAUCUAUAGAAAAUCUUAGAAAAUUCGUAACUUCCACGUUUUAAUUCCGAUUUUCGUGAACUUUACGUUUGUGUGAUCGUAGCGCUGCGUAGAAUAUUUUUAUAAACUUCUAUAUUUGAUUUACCACUGGUUGGUGUAAUGUUCUAAUUAUAGCUUGUUUGCUUUGUGUAUGAUUGCCUCAUUGGAUUGCGUGUUGUUGAUUGAUGUUUGGGAAUAGACGGUGAGCCGUACGUCGGUGACCAAGACCCAGGCUUUUGACGACCAGCAGCAGGCUCAGGAGAGCUUUGAUCAAGGCAAGUAUAACUUGGCACUAUCCUUGUUACCUAUACACAAUCAGUACAACAUUUAUCAUAUGCAUGUGUCCACCUUGAUGACCUUAGCAAAAUCAUAGAUGAUUGUUAUCCUGAAUUUCUUGUUACCUACUUGAUAUGCAUUUGAAGUAGUUAUGCUAGUGCUUGAAGUAAUCCAUGAUCUUGUAAGAUGAUUAAUAGCUAUGCAAUGAACGUAAAAGGAUGACAAAUAACUAUAUGAGAUCUUGUCUGUACGUGAUUACCCGGGACAACUGUGCAACCAUGAGGGCUAUAUGGCUCUGGCUUUAGCUCAGUAUGAGGACCUUUUUCUAGCUUGUUAGCGGUUACCUUAAAUGGCGUAAGAAUGGCUAGACACGUUGGGUAUAGUGUGUGUAACACCCUAAAAAUUAAUUUUCAAAUUAGUAUUUAAUUUGGCAUAAUUAUAUGAAUUAUUUGAGAAUUGUUUAGGCAAAAUAACAAUUUUUGGAAUUAUUUAAAAUAAACUAUAAGGUCUAGAAACAUGAAAUGCUGCAUUCAUGCUGGUGCAUAAUAUUUUGAUUGUUUGUAAGACUAGGUUGUUUGGUUUAAAAAUCAAUUUGAUAGAAAUUUAUACAAAUUUACAGCUCUAAAAAAUAUAAAAGAGUUUUUCUUUUAUUUUGUUUCCUUCACCUCUGGCCCAGCCCCAAACCCUGGCCCAACACACCCCCGCGCUCACCCCUGGCCUUGGGCCGUUGGCGGCCCAGCUCCCUGCCCUCGCUCGCGACGCGCACGCGGCCCAGUGGCGCGGCCCGCUCCGCGCGGACAGCCCGUGCGCCUCCCCUUUCCCCCUCUCACUGCGCAGUAGGGCCCGCCUGUCGGCGCUCUUUUCCCUCUCUCUCUCUCGCUGCACCGUGGGGCCCGCACGUCAGCGUCUUCCCCCUUCUUCUCCACCGAGCCGGGAACGCUGCAAUGGGCAUUCAUCCCCUUCUUCAAACGCCGAUUGAUGGAGACCAUCAAUCGGGGCUCCAUCAAGCCUCUUGACGCCGGGAGUUAACGCCCGCAUGCGCGCCCCCUCGACGCCCCUGCUCGCCCUAUAAAACCCCAGGCCGAGCCCCCUUUGCUGCCCCUAGCCACCACCGGAGCACGGUUUCUCUCCCCCACCUCGGUUUCCCCUUGCUCGAGCGACCCAGAGCCCGGAGAGCGCCCCGGGAGCUUGGUUGGGACUCGCCGCGACCGUAGGCACCUAUCUCACCUCUGUUUUGAUCUUGUAUGCCAUGAAUUCGAGCUCACCGACGUUUUCUUCUCUCUCCAGUCCGCCCCGACCGUGGUCAAGCCGCUCAGAGCUUUUCCGGACGCCGCGAACGCCUCCAACGGAACCUCGGUAUUCCCUCGAUGCUCCCCGUGCCUUUAAUCUCAAGUUUAGAGUGCUCUAACGCCGAACCCGAGCCUUCCGAGGGCGCGACAAUGGCGCCACCACGGGGCCGUCGUCCCGACGUGCUCCCCGCCCUUUCUUUGUGCCCUAUCGUGUUUGCCUCGUCGCGCUUGUUGACACCGUUUUUGGGCACGUGUCUAGGAUGGCAGGAUAAGGUGGCAGUACGAUGUUUACAAAGCGGGUUGCCGAUGAGGAUGGUUGCUGAUGAGGGAGAAGUUGAAUGUGACAGGCAGUAAUAUGGUGCCGAUGGCUAGAUAAGAAAGUCUGCCGAUGACUAUGGCAAAGGAUCUGCCGAUGAUGCAAAGGAGGAGUCUGGAAGCUGCCGGUCGUUAUGUGGAGGAGUUUCGGUUUGUCACGAGGGAUAGUUUUGUUAUUUCCUUAAUUAUUUGCAUCGUUUUGUAUACGGAUUCCGUGUAAUUUGGAAUUCGAAUUCUAAUCGUGUCUGGUUGUAGCUCUUUGAGCAGGGUAUAAAUAUAGACCCUAGGGCCUUGUAAUAAUCAAUCAAGAAAUCAAACACACGUUUUUACUCAUAUUCCAGCAUUUACUUUUCGACGACUUAGUCAUACUUUUUCCUUUUGUUACGAGUUCUUAGGAAUUCGUCGACUUAAGCUCGGCGUGUUCUCAAGUUCCGCGUGAGUACCUCUUAGCCGUGACAUCCGGGCGCAUCGCUGUUGUCAGGACUGAAGUAUUCGAGUUAUCACCUUUGCCGAUAGCAAGGUCAAAUCGGCUGGCACGCCUUAACGUUUGAAUCGGGUAUUAGCCCUUUGUGUUUGCAGACCAGUUUUGCAUCAACAGCGCUGGUCGUUGUGGUAGCGUUAUUUUUGUUUGGAGUGGCCGGGAACGAGAUUCCGGCGAGCUCCGAGGAGCUCACCUGGUCGGCGACAAUGGCGCCGCCGUGGUCGGCCUCGGCUCAGGCGAGCGCCCCGCCGCCCUUCUUCCUGAGCCGUCCGAUCGGAUUCCAACGGCCCAGAUUACAUACCCCUUCGGGGUUAUGUAACCGGGCCACCGUGGACCAUGGACGCGGUCCACGGGCGCUCGGCCGGCCGGUCCACGCGCACAGUGGUGGACCGAGCGAACCCCAGCACGCCACGUGGCCCCCCUGUCGGCCAGCGACGCGGUCAGCCGCGAACCGCUGGAGAUUUUGCACUUUAACCCCCCUGUUUCAAACAAAUCAACCCGCGGUCCAACCUAGUUCAAAAGUAUUUCUUUUAAUCCUGUUUUCUUCCGUUUUAAACCCUGUACUUGUAUAUAAUAGUGCGCGCGGUCCAGACCCGUUAGAAAUUCAGUUUUAAUUCUUUUAAAUUCGUUUUUAAUUCAGUUUAUUCACAGAAAUGCCAUCCAUUUUGUUUUAUGCAUAACUUUCACGUUUUAAGUCUGAUUAGAGUGAUUCUUUCGCUCAUGUGUUCGUAGAAAUGCAUAGAGUAGAUUUAUAUACUUUUCAGUCACUGUUUUUACUGUUUGGUGUACUAUUCUAAUAGAACUCUAUUUGUAUGCAUGUGAUGAUUGGACUGGAUGCUUGAUUGGUGUUUGGAUCACGAAUAGAAGGUGAUCAGGUUGGGGUGGUUGAGGAACAGUUUGUGGAGCUCUACUAGGAAGAAACUUUUGAGGAAGGCAAGUGUAAUAUAGGCUUCCUUGUACCUAUGAACAUUAUUUAAUUCAUACAUAUGCAUGUGUCUAAAUUGAAAUACCUAUAAGGAUUUUACCUAGAUAAUUUUGUACCACAAAUCCUUGAUACCCAUGGGAAGGUGUGCAUUUAUUUAGGUAGUUGCUGCUACGUUUAAAACCCAAGAUUAUAAAUUAAUCUGAUUAAUUGGUAUAUGCAAUGUGAUAAAAUAUGUUCUAGUAACUUGGUCAGGGGGCUAGAGCUUGGAUUAUGAAAGCUCUAGAUUCCUCUCCAUAAGGACUUAAUCCUGAAGCGGCCACCCAGGAGGUCACGUACAAUCCCGAGAGUCACAUGGCUCUGACUUUAAUCAUAUAACUAGUAUGUCUCUAGCAAAUUAGUAGUUACCGAAAGGCGCUAGAGGGGGUGCCUCGUGGUGUAUAGAUGUCACUCCUACCUUGGUGUGUACAGUGCCGCGACCACAUGUGCCUCUUGAAGGAGGUCGUCUAUGCACACUUGCCACUGAAACCUCGCGGCUACUAUUUUGUUAAGGUGACUAGUGAAAGGUUAAGUAGUGGAACCCUGUCACACUUCCUCGGUAGAAGUGGUGUGGGCCUUGCAAACCCCGACACUAGGGAACCACGGCUCGGGGGUAAAGUUGUACAAUUUCUGCAGAAAUCUAAAACCUGUUAUAACAGCCGAGCUCUCGGUCAUGAGCGGCCUGGAUCCUUCUUGGUUAGCGGUUACUUGGCUAUACUUGGGAAAUGUGAUAACUUUGAUUAAUACUUAUGUAACCAGGGUUGGUCUCUCAUUAAAAGUAGCAAGUCUUGGAUAAUAAAAUAUGACCAACUAAAAUGCUAAUCGCUGUUAAACCGAGUCAAGCCUUUGAGCCUUCAUAUACCCCUAUGUUAUACUUGCUAAGCAUGGUGCACUUACACUUGUUUAUAUUUCAAUGAAAAUUCCGGAUGGGUAACAGAUGUGUGUACUGAGGAGUUCCCCGAAGAUGUCCAUGACUACUAGAGAGCUGGUGUUCACCAGUUGGUGUCCCUGUGGCAACAAGGGCUUAGCUUUCCGCUUUAUGUAAUAAUGUUGCCAAUGAGCAAGACUAUGUGAGAUGUUUAAGUUGAACAUGCGAUGUAAUAAAGUACUUUACUUUGAUAUAUUUACAAUUUGUGAUAAUAUAUGUGUUUGGACAUCCUGGGCGCACAUAUUUGAGUACUUGGUUUUGUUAUCAAAACUGGGUGCGACAAAUUGGUAUCAAAGCUUAGCCUGACUGUAGGACGAACAACCUAGUUAGAAUUGGACGAUCUUAGGGUCUUGAGCACUUAUUUUAUUAAUUAUUUUCUUAUAAAAUUAUUGCUUACAAUCUGCCUAAUAUCUAUUGAGAAAAUUAUUUUGUUCUAAUCCUCAUAUCUUUUCUUAUAGAUGGCCCGUACCAAGUGGACAGCUCGCAAACGUGUCAUCAUGCCCAACAAGAGGACAAGGUUCACUCUAGGCAAGCGUGUUCCCCCGCAUCUGGUUGAAGCACUGAGAGACAUGGAGGAGGAUCCACAAGAGGAACAAACCAUGGAUGUACCCAUGGAUGAGGAUGCUGAGGAGGAAGUCAUGAUAGAGGAACCUGUUGAAGAUGAGGACACCGAAGAGGAGCCCAUGGAGCAAGAUAAACAAGAGGGUGCUGGUGAUCCAGAUGAUGGAGAUAGUUCUGACAGCUCUGACUCGGACGACCAUGACAAUUGUGGUGAUAAUGGUGACAGUGAUGGAGAUAUCCAAGAUCACCAUGCUGCGCUUCUGGCAAAGGGAUGGACAGUGGUGAUGCAUUUUGACUUGCAUGGUGACACCUACUACCACCGGAAGCUCCUUACUCUCGCACGUCGUUAUCACGCCCGGUGUACCGUACAGUACCGCACCGAGCAUUGGACCCACCCCGACUACAUCGGCUUUUGGGAGACUGAAGCUUACAUCCGAGAAGGAAGUCGGGUGUGCUACAUCCACCGUGCGAUCACCGCCAGGACCACCCACGCAGCAGCUAUCCGGGACGCUGCCCGGCAGGCCUCGGUGGUGAACCGCGACCGCCACUUUGCUGAUAUUGCAUGGGAAGAAGAUCGCUAUCUACCUCGCCGGCGGAGUGGUCAGACAUCCUGCAACAUCGCUGCACCACUUGGGGUAGGGAACCCCAGAAUUCGACCCACCUUGGCAUGUUUGGCUCAAACCAACACUGACUUAGAUCGAGUCUCAUAUGAGCUAGAUGCUCUGAGGAAGGCCUACCUCGAGUUAGCUGUUGAGAACGCCAUGUUGAAGCAACAGCAGGGGAGUCAUGUUGAAGAAGUACCACUCAUCCUCGCAGAGUCACCCCCAAGGAACCAUGAGGACCCCAACACCGGCACCAACCUUGACCCUUAGGAGGAUUUUCCCCAUUUGUAAUAUGUACGCAUAGAGAUGCGAGAGUGUGUUUUUAUUUUCUACUGAUUGAACAAUUGCUACUACGUGAAUGCAUGCUUGUAAUAAUGCUUAAUGGGUGAGUUGGAUUUUUGUCAUGAUUUCAAUGAUUGUGGGCCUGUCCACAGUCAUUUAGGUUAGGGCUAAGGUCUAAGGAUAAUAUGAAUAAAUAGUUGGGUUUUACUUAUAUCUUGCUGUCCACCCAUGUUUUUCCCUCUGAGCAGUCUGCCUUAAUAUCUGAACAUUCCGAGUUCUGGAUGGUCUAAAAAUACAAAAAAAUUUUGGAAUAAAAUAGACUUCUAUAUCUUUCAUCUGGCUCUGGAACCACCUCAAUAUCUGUUACCGUUUGAGAGAUAAAAUUGUUACAAUGUGACCUCUCUGCGCAGUCAGAAAUUCCAGAACAGUAAAAGUUGUCACUUGUUUUUACCUAUGUAAACGCCAGAAAUUGAGGAAGUGAUCUGAAUGAAAGUUGUAGGAAAAUUUCCGAGCUUUUCAGAAAGUUAAAUUUCGCAGUGAGACGUUAAACAGAGAGAUGCUUGUUUUACUCCACUGUAACUUUAGUGAGGACAGCAGAAAAAUGCAGAAUGCAUACUACCUUGUACUCACAACAUAUGUAAUUCCGUACUUGAUCAGAUGGUAUAAAUUUCAGCAUGUUAUAUCUCUUGAAAAUUAAGUAUCAUAGACAUAUGAGACUCAUAUUAUGUAUCUGGUACAGAUGGCCAACACCAGGAGGAAGAGGAGGGGUGAGGACUUGCCACCACCACCACCACCUCCUACUAUGGAGCAGCUGAUGAUGAUGCAAACACAACUGCUGCAGCAGCUGGCUCAAAAUAUGCAGAACAAUGGAAAUGGAAAUGGAAACGCACCUCCUCACGUUAGGGACAAGAGAGGAGAAUUCUUGAAGGGACAUCCACCUGUUUUCAAACACUCCACCGACCCUCUCGAAGCUGAUGACUGGCUUCGUGCUAUUGAAAGACAACUAGAGAUUGCACAGUGUGAUGACAGAGAGAAAGUGUUGUAUGCAGCGGGGCAACUGCAAGGAGCUGCCCUUGAUUGGUGGGAUUCUUUCCGUUUUGGCCGUACAGAUGCUGACCCCAUAACCUGGAUGGAGUUUCAUAAUGCUUUCCGCUCUCAUCAUGUCCCUGCCGGACUAAUGAAACUGAAAAAGAAAGAAUUUCUCUCCCUCAAGCAAGAAGGUAUGUCUGUUGCUGAAUAUCGUGACAAGUUCAUACAAUUGUCACGAUAUGGUCCCACUGAAGUGGAGAACGAUGAAAAGAGGCAGGAACUAUUCAUGGAAGGGUUGAAUGAUGGGCUCCAGUACCAACUGCUAUCCCACACUUUUGCAAGCUUUCAGUAUCUGGUGGACAAGGCUCUGGUGAUUGAAAACAAACACCGUCACAUGGAAGAUAAGAAAAGGAAGUUCCAGGGACAACAGUCAGGAAACAACACGCGUACUCGUACCUGUUGACGGUCCUUAAGUAUCAAAUUUAAUUAUCAAAUAAAUAAAGAAAAGGAUCCAAAUGAAAUCAACAUCUAGACUUAGGGUUUUAUCUGACAGAAUUCCACGAGUUUUGGUGUUUGUCUAUUUCUGCAGGGGGUUAUCAGGAAAUAUGGAAGAAAGGCCCACACGUCGGGAUUACGUAAAGAUAUUAACGUGCCGCGCAAUUAUCUUACAUCUAGAAGACUCCAGAAGCCACGAGACCGAAGCGGAGGCGAAACGGGGCCUGACCCUGGGCGCCCGCCCAGUUGGUCAGGGCGCCCGCCCUGCCCCUAAGUCCAAUCAGGACUCUGCUUUGCGGGAGGUUUCCACCGACCUAAAGGAUGAAUCUAAAGCAUACAAUCUAUGUCGGUUUGAUCCAACGGACCGUAUUCACUUGAAGGGACUAUAAAACCAGACCCCCUGGCCCCUGGAGGAGAGAGCCUCUCAACCCUAAUUCAUUGUUCCAUCAAGGGAGAAGAAGCCUCUGAUCAAGAUUAGAGCCACCACAUCAAUUAGAUAUCUAGAUUAGCAUAGCUACAUAGGAUUAGAACUAGAAGGAGUCAAUCUUCGAUUGGUUUCCGGAUCUGUCAGGAGGAUUCUUGGUAAUUCUCUAAUUGUGCUUCUAAUUGCUUUCUAAUUAUCUUUGUUCUUUAAUAUUAUGAAUAUGACUUUGUUCUACUUCAAUAUAUUGCUUAUGACUUUGCUCUACUUGCUUAUAUUCAAGAUUAUAUUGUUCUUAGUUUAUCAUAGUUAUGUACUUGGCUUAGUUAGAUUGGAUCUAUAUACAUGCUUAGGAUCGUAUAGCGUUUAUCCAUCGGAUCCAUGGGUAAAUGAUAGAUAUUGUGUAGGCGUGGUGCUUAUACCGUAUUUAUCUGCGAUUGUACCCAAUAUGCCAGAUCGUGGGGUGGUUCGUGAUAGUGACAGCUUCAUUGAUUCUUAUAUAGUCCCCCUCUCGUGUAUUGGGCUGGCAGAGCAACAUUAUUACAGGGGAGUGAUUGCUAUGUUUCUCAUAUUCCUUGCUAAUAUCACUAUGCAUGGGCGUAGUCUUGUCUCACAAUGAUUGCUAAGUAUGCUUGCACUAAUUAUGAUAAUGCUAGACUAUAUAGUUGAGAAUAACUUAGGGAAUAUUCUUGUUGUUCGUUCUAAUACCAUGCUAAUGACUUUCUAGAGUAUAUAAUUGAGGUGCUUAUAAUAUUUAUUAUGUGGCUAGAUCAGAUUAAUUAUCCUUGUCACUAUUAUUAUCUCAUAUAUCCUUUAUGUGACACUUAUCCCUGUAUGAAGAGUUAGAUAUAAUGUUCUCAAUUAUACAUGCAAUGAUAGAUGCUCAAUCUCAUAUUCUAUUCUGUAAUCAAUAUUGAUGAUUGCUAAUCCCUUCCCAGUGGUAAAAAUAUAAAUAACGAUACCUGGAAUACUUCCCGGUUAAAAUGCUGCAUCGGUAUUAAUCUGUGCGCUUGCAGACCCCAUUCAUUAUUUAUUUAGAAGAGCAAUUGCAUAUUUCAAUACCGUGUCUCUUAUAUCAUGCUGGGGAUGACAACUUGGCUUAAGUGGUGUGAGGGAUAGGUUUGGCAUUUUUGGCACCGUUACUAGAUUUAGAGAACUUAGUCUACUUUUGGUAAUGAUGUUAAGAAUACCCAACAAGCAUUUUUGGCGCCGUUGCCGGGGAAGGUUGAUUACUAAUCAGGAAUGGAAUAAAGGAUUUUGAGUUAUCAUUCGCAUCACUAAUAUGAUUGAGCUUAUCUAUUCUCUCAUACAGUUUUACCCCGAUAUUUUUCUAUUUUAUCUUAUGCAGGGGAAUGUAUGAAUAGAAGACAUCUUCUAGGAAAUUUUGUUGACAAUCCCGAAGCAUUAUUCAAGAAGACGAGAGCAAAGCUCAAGAAGAAAUCAUCAACACUUCAGCAAGAAGCUUCAUCCAAUCAAGAAGAUCACCGGAACUUGUCUUCAGAGUUCGAGGACAUGGCGAACAAAUCAAUCCGCGAGUUCUCAGCUCCCACUACGGACAACAUCCGCACUGGACCUGCUGCAGAGAUCGAUGGCAACUUUGAGCUCAAGCCUGGACUUAUCAACAUGGUGCAAUCCAAUCAGUUCUGUGGGAAGGCACACGAAGAUGCUAGUGCUCAUUUACAACACUUCCUGGAGAUUUGCAACACAUUCACCAUAUCAGAAGUUUCCAAAGAUGCUAUACUACUUCGCCUCUUCCCAUUCUCACUGUUAGGAAGAGCGAAGCAGUGGUUCUACGCUACAAAGGAGAAGAAUACUACGUGGGCACUCUGCUCAACAAACUUCCUGGCAAAGUUCUUUCCCAUGGGCAAGACCAAUGCUCUUCGUGGGAAGAUUACAAGUUUUCAGCAACAAAAUGAUGAAUCUGUUCCAGAAGCAUGGGAGCGCUUUCAAGACUACAUCCUAGAAUGUCCCCAUCAUGGAAUGGAGAGUUGGCUAUUGAUGCAGACGUUUUAUCAUGGGCUUGGCAAUAGUGCCCGAGAAACCAUGGAUGCUGCAGCUGGAGGAGCAUUCUUAUCACUUACUAUACCACAAGCCACAGCUCUUGUGGAGAAGAUGGCGUCCAAUCAAAGUUGGAAUGAAGAGAGGACCCAGACACGCAAGAGAGGUGGAGGUAUGCAUCAGCUGAAGGAGGUAGACAUGCUGUCUGCAAAGCUAGACCUGCUCAUGAAGAAGCUCGACGAUAGAGCUGGAGACAAGAAAGAAGUUAUGCACAUCUACGACUCUCACAUGACUUGUGAGGAGUGUGGAGACACUAGACACUCAGGCAACCACUGCCCUGAGAUACUUGAGGAUGUGAACUACAUCAACAACAACAACAACAACUACUACAACCGUCCUCAACAAAAUCAAGGUUGGAAUCAACAGAGGCCUAACUACUCAGGUAAUUAUCAAGGUAACAAUUCUUAUAACAAUAAUAAUAAUUUUCCACCUUUGAGAGAGUUAGUGUCUAAUCAAGGCAAGCUAAUGGAUAAUCUAUCUAAGAAGUUGGCAUCUAAUGAUAAAAUGCUAGAAAAUAUAAAUAAUAGAAUGGAUAAUUUCUCUACUGCCAUCAAGAAUCAAAUUAGCUUUAAUAAAAUGAUUGAAUCCCAGUUAAAUCAAAUAGCUGCUGCUGUUCCUACUACUAACCCUGGUAUACCAUCACAACCGGAAGGAUUAGAAUCUGCAAAUCUUGUAGACAUGUUUGAUGCAGGUAAUUGGAGUAACCCCAUCACUGAAUUUUCUACUGACCGUCUGCCGGUCAAGAGAGGCGAUCCAGGACGCCCCGUCAUCCCGAUCUCCAUCGGCAUGGUGGACUUCCCAGAAGCACUCUGUGACUUUGGCUCCAGCGUCAACAUUAUACCCAGGGUACUCUAUGAAAAAUUCUUUACAUAUCCUUUAUUAGAGACAACCAUGUGUUUGCAGUUUGCAGAUCAGACGAUAACUUUUCUGAAAGGAAUAGUGAAGAACCUUUGUGUCUGAGUUGGUACCUUGUAUGCCCCAGCAGACUUCGUAGUGGUAGAGACCGGAAAUAAUGAGAGAGCACCUAUCAUCUUAGGGAGGCCAUUCUUGAACACCACGGGAGCUAUCAUCUACGCUAGUGCUGCCAAGAUCAGUUUCUAUGUCAAAGGGAGGAAGGAGACAUUUUUCUUCAAGAACAAGACUACACAAAUUCCAAAUCAAUCCAGACGUGAAUCAAGGAAGAGGACCAACAGGAGGAACAGGAACAAGCAAGUGUGGACCGAGUCAGCGAAGAUGGUCACUGUAGUUCAUAGAGGUCAAGAUCAUCAACUUAAGUCACCGUUUUUGACCAAGAAGGACGACCCAGGAAUGCCAAGCAUCUACUGCUCCAUACAUGGAUAUAGCUUCUACAAGACAAUUUGCGACACCGGAUCGGGCGUCAACAUAAUGGCCGCAGUCACCUAUCGGCUCUUUUUCGGGACCAUGCCACUAAGACCAACAUACAUUCAGCUCCAGAUGGCAGAUCAGACAUUUCGAGAAGUUAAAGGAACAAUAACUGAUGUCCCAGUCAAAAUAGACGAUCACUUUAUCUACACAGACUUUCAAGUUGUUGACAUGGGAGAAGACGAAUACGAUCCACCCAUCAUCCUUGGAAGACCGUUCCUCAGCACCGUUAAAGCAAUUAUCUACAUUGGAACCGGAGAAGUCCAUAUGCACUUCCCCUCAGAGAAGGUACGCCGUUAUUUUACUGACCCUAACUAUAUCGUUGAAGAAUCUAAGCAGGUCAGAAAGAGACGCAACCACAACCAGAGGAGGCAGAUCAUCAAGGACGGAUGGGCAGACUAUGAAGGAGAAGUUGUAAGGUCAGAAGACGUUGAGUUUAAACAGAAUUAUCCAGAGGAAAUUGAAACACCGAGUCAGGUAUGGAAAAUGAAGAUAACUAUACAAGAAGAGGAGGCGCUGCCGGAAGUACCGACUACGCCACCCAACGAACCUCAGGACGAUUAAGAAAUUGGAGAGUCCCGUUCGGAGGACUUAAAAACACCGAACGCCUUGCCAAGAGGUAAACUUGGUAGUUAUCCUUUCCCUUUCAGUUAUUUCAAAUAGUUUAUUUAGUUAAUCAUGUUCGUACUAUCCUAAAAAGAAAAUAAAAAUAUGAAAAACCAGUAAGCCCCAUGUGAGUAUACGGGUGGCAUAAAACCCAUAAGUACAUUCACUGUGGUGGCAUAAAAAUAAAAUAAAUAUUUCUUUUCUGCUUUAUAAAAAUGAAAAUACAAAAAAUAGGGAGUAACAUUUACUAAGGAGUCUCAACAUGAUAAAGGCUAGAUAUUUAUGCUAACACUUAAUCAGUUCCACAAGCUUUGUUGUCUAUUUGAGCUCCACAGAAUUUAAGAAUCAAGAAGACUAGCAGACGGAGGACAUUCUAAUCGCUGGCAGAAUGCUGCUGACUUUCAAAUACACCUCUGCCACCUGCUAGCUACAUCAAGAGAAAUUACGUCAAAAUUCAGCUUGGGGGAGAGCACUCCCAUUUAUCUCGAUAAGUAUUUCUAUCUAUCUUUACAUUCAUAUUAUUUUAGAAUAUAAAUAUACAUAAAUAUGAAAAAAAACAAAUAAAGAUUUUGUGCUUAUAUCUUUUGCUUAGUGUGUUUAAUAAAUAAAUAAAGUGACUAUGCUAAUCUGUAUCUAAAUAAAACUUAAGCAUGGAUAUGAUGAAUAGUUGCUCUGCCUAAUAUGCAAAUUUUAAGUUCUCUCUCAAGUUUAGAUAUAACUGUUAUAAUUUAAAGCUUGCUCUAGACCUAAACCUGUGGGAUGAAAACUUGAUCUAAAGUCUAAGUUGUUAACGGAUACGAUAUAGGAAGGUUGAGCUGCUGUUUAUCUGUUCCUAGAGAUGCUAGAAUUCUGGAGAAUUUUAUCUUUGAAAAUCUUUAAAAUGUUGCAUGAUAUGUUCCUGUAUGAUGAGAGUUUAAAUUCCUACCACAGCCAUAUAUACAUGCUUAUUAGACUUUGAGCCACACAUUUACUAUUUACUGCUUAUGAGCAUUGAGUGUGGUCAAGCUGUGUAGACCCUUAGGAGCUUAUCAUGUGGUUAAAUCAAGAUUCACUUGCACGUUCACUCAUAUAUGCUACUUCUACUCCAGAAGUACCAUCCAUAUAUAUCCAUCCAUUUCCAUCUCCAGAACCACCUAAAAAUAUUCUACUCCUAAUCCGGGAGAGAAUAACCAAAAAUAUUUCUGUUUUUCCCUUGUGAAAUAAAUGCUCAAGUUAUCUUGUUACUACCACUUGCUAUCUUAUCUCAAGAGAUGAGUGUUCUAGAAAAAAAAGAAAAAAAAGAAGAAAGAAGAAAAAAAAUACGAGGAAAUAAAAAGGAGCAAGUGCUCGGAACCUCGAAGGAAAAGAAAAAGUGAGACGAGAGGUAAAAAUAGACAAGUGUCCGACAGUAGAAUUAGGGGUACAAGAUGCCCACCUGAGAGAAAAAAAAGAAGAGCAUCUCAUUCUCCUCAUAAAGUUUCUAAAGCAAGGAAGGUAUGUAUCCCCUCAAAGAGCAAAGUAGAAUUAGACUUCCACCACCAUUGUUUUCACCAUUGUUAUCACCAUCAUCACCAUACAUCAUUCAUUCGCCACACAUGCACAUCUUGAUUUGGCUUAUUGAUUUGUUUCUUUGGAUCCAUGGUUUGACUAUGCAAUAAAUGUCUUGUAAGUAUGUAUACUUUAUCUCCCACCUAUGAGCUCCAGAUAUUAAAGCCUUAUUAGUGUAGGGUGAGAGAGAAGGCAAUGUCACUAUGCCUUAUACCACAAAUACCACAUAUCUUGAGAGAAGGCAUAUACCAUCACUGCCUUGGUAAGGAUCCAGAAAUACCACAAAAGAGAGAUCUGAGAGAAUCAUACAAGGAAUCUCUGAGUUUUAUUUGAAAAUCUGCAAAAAACCCCAGAGCUAUAGCUGAUCAAGAAUAAGAGACAUGGCACUUGGCUAGACUGUUCUAUCUUUUAACUACUCAAGACAGAAGUGACAGUUACAAGUCCCAUGGUGAAGGUAAAGUAAGUAAGUUUUAAGUCUUGACAGUUUACUCUAACUCAGAGAUGAGAUCUUAUUUAAAAGCAUGUGUACCGUCAAUUUUUAAAGAUAUUGCAACAACUUAUGAUCCAUAGCUGAGUCUAUCCUUGCUCAGGGACGAGCAAGAGGUAAGCUUGGGGGAGUUUGUUGACGGUCCUUAAGUAUCAAAUUUAAUUAUCAAAUAAAUAAAGAAAAGGAUCCAAAUGAAAUCAACAUCUAGACUUAGGGUUUUAUCUGACAGAAUUCCACGAGUUUUGGUGUUUGUCUAUUUCUGUAGGGGGUUAUCAGGAAAUACGGAAGAAAGGCCCACACGUCGGGAUUACGUAAAGAUAUUAACGUGCCGCGCAAUUAUCUUACAUCUAGAAGACUCCAGAAGCCACGAGACCGAAGCGGAGGCGAAACGGGGCCUGACCCUGGGUGGCCGCCCAGUUGGUCAGGGCGCCCGCCCUGCCCCUGAGUCCAAUCAGGACUCUGCUUUGCGGGAGGUUUCCACCGACCUAAAGGAUGAAUCUAAACCAUACAAUCUAUGUCAGUUUGAUCCAACGGCCCGUAUUCACUUGAAGGGACUAUAAAACCAGACCCCCUGGCCCCUGGAGGAGAGAGCCUCUCAACCCUAAUUCAUUGUUCCAUCAAGGGAGAAGAAGCCUCUGAUCAAGAUUAGAGCCACCACAUCAAUUAGAUAUCUAGAUUAGCAUAGCUACAUAGGAUUAGAACUAGAAGGAGUCAAUCUUCGAUUGGUUUCCGGAUCUGUCAGGAGGAUUCUUGGUAAUUCUCUAAUUGUGCUUCUAAUUGCUUUCUAAUUAUCUUUGUUCUUCAAUAUUAUGAAUAUGACUUUGUUCUACUUCAAUAUAUUGCUUAUGACUUUGCUCUACUUGCUUAUAUUCAAGAUUAUAUUGUUCUUAGUUUAUCAUAGUUAUGUACUUGGCUUAGUUAGAUUGGAUCUAUAUACAUGCUUAGGAUCGUAUAGCGUUUAUCCAUCGGAUCCAUGGGUAAAUGAUAGAUAUUGUGUAGGCGUGGUGCUUAUACCGUAUUUAUCUGCGAUUGUACCCAAUAUGCCAGAUCGUGGGGUGGUUCGUGAUAGUGACAGCUUCAUUGAUUCUUAUAUAGUCCCCCUCUCGUGUAUUGGGCUGGCAGAGCAACAUUAUUACAGGGGAGUGAUUGCUAUGUUUCUCAUAUUCCUUGCUAAUAUCACUAUGCAUGGGCGUAGUCUUGUCUCACAAUGAUUGCUAAGUAUGCUUGCACUAAUUAUGAUAAUGCUAGACUAUAUAGUUGAGAAUAACUUAGGGAAUAUUCUUGUAGUUCGUUCUAAUACCAUGCUAAAGACUUUCUAGAGUAUCUAAUUGAGGUGCUUAUCAUAUUUAUUAUGUGGCUAGAUCAGAUUAAUUAUCCUUGUCACUAUUAUUAUCUCAUAUAUCCUUUAUGUGACACUUAUCCCUGUAUGAAGAGUUAGAUAUAAUGUUCUCAAUUAUACAUGCAAUGAUAGAUGCUCAAUCUCAUAUUCUAUUCUGUAAUCAAUAUUGAUGAUUGCUAAUCCCUUCCCAGUGGUAAAAAUAUAAAUAACGAUACCUGGAAUACUUCCCGGUUAAAAUGCUGCAUCGGUAUUAAUCUGUGCGCUUGCAGACCCCAUUCAUUAUUUAUUUAGAAGAGCAAUUGCAUAUUUCAAUACCGCGUCUCUUAUAUCAUGCUGGGGAUGACAACUUGGCUUAAGUGGUGUGAGGGAUAGGUUUGGCAUUUUUGGCACCGUUACUAGAUUUAGAGAACUUAGUCUACUUUUGGUAAUGAUGUUAAGAAUACCCAACAGUACCAAUCCUCAGCAAGCUUAUCCACAACAAUGCUAUCAGGGACAGUCAACCCUGGUCAAUCGUAACCAGUAGCCACAGCGUGCACAGCAGCAGCAGCAGUACAAAGCUCCUAACCAACGUCAGCAGCCAGUCAAUAAUGCUCCCGUGAAGACAAAUGUUCCCAAUGCUCCACCAAAGAAUGGUGCACCAAAAGCACCAAAUGCCAACAAUGAUAACAAAUGUUAUAGCUGUGGUGAGCCGGGACAUUACUCCAAUAGGUGCCCCAAGAAGAUGGCCCAAAACAAUAUCAGAGGCAGGGUAAAUCAUGUGACAGCCGAGGCGGCACAAGAGGCACCGGACGUGAUGCUCGGUAUGUUUCCAGUUAACUCAAGCCCUGCUACAGUUUUAUUCGAUUCCGGUGCAUCACAUUCCUUUAUUGCUCAGUCAUUUGUCAAGAAAUAUGAUAUACCCAUGAUUGCUAUGAAAAAUUCCAUGAUAGUUAGCUCACCUGGAGCAGAAAUGCAAGCUACCCUUAGAUGCCCUCUAGUAAACAUCACCUUACGGGGGGUAGAGUUUACAGUUAGCCCAGUGGUUUUGAAAACUUCUGGUAUUGAUGUUAUCUUGGGUAUGGAAUGGUUGAAACAGAGAAAGGCAGUUAUACAAUGUGAUAGCAAAACAGUUCAGUUAAUGACACCUUCAGGACAGCAAAUUGAGAUAGAGGUUAGUAUGUCAGCUAAACAAUACUACACAGUUAAUCAACUGAAGGGGACAUCAAUAGAAGACAUAUGGAUAGUGAAUGAGUAUCCGGACGUAUUCCCUGAGGAACUGCCAGGUAUGCCACCUGACCGUGACAUUGAGUUUAUAAUUGAACUUUUACCUGGAACUGCAACCAUGGCUAAAAGACCAUAUAGAAUGGGAGUGAAUGAAUUAGCAAAACUUAAGAAGCAAUUAAGAGAAUUGCUAGAUAAGGGUUAUGUUCAACCAAGUUCCUCACCUUGGGGAGCACCAGUGUUAUUCGUAGAAAAGAAAGAUGGGACACAAAGAAUGUGUAUAGAUUACAGAUCGCUUAAUGAGGUUACAAUUAAGAACAAGUAUCCACUCCCUAGAAUCGAUGACCUGUUUGACCAGUUGAAAGGAGCUUGUGUGUUUUCUAAGAUAGACCUUCGGUCUGGUUAUCAUCAGUUAAGGAUAAGACGAUCUGAUAUCCUUAAAACUGCUUUUGUGACUCGAUACGGACUAUAUGAGUUUACAGUCAUGUCCUUUGGUUUGACAAAUGCACCUGCCUACUUUAUGUAUUUGAUGAACAAAGUAUUCAUGGAAUACCUUGAUAAGUUUGUGGUUGUGUUCAUUGAUGACAUACUUGUUUUCUCUAAGAAUGAGAUAGAACAUGAGAAACACUUGAGAUUGGUGCUGCAAAAGCUUAGAGAACAUCAACUUUAUGCUAAGCUUAGUAAGUGUGAAUUUUGGUUAAAAGAGGUAUCUUUCCUUGGGCACAUCAUCUCUAACGGAGGGGUAGCAGUGGACCCGAAAAUGGUUCAGGAUGUGCUAAGCUGGAAGCCACCUAAAGAUGUGAGUGAAAUUAGGAGUUUCCUUGGAAUGGCUGGGUACUAUAGAAGAUUCAUUGAGGGUUUCUCUAAGUUAGCCAAACCAAUGACUGCUCUGUUAGAAAAAAAUGCUAAAUUUAUAUGGUCUAAAGAGUGCCAGGCUAGUUUCGAAGAGUUAAAAAAGAGACUGACUUCUGCCCCUGUACUCAUUUUACCUGACAUCACUAAGAGUUUCUCUAUCUACUGUGAUGCCUCUCGGCAAGGUCUUGGUUAUGUGCUGAUGCAGGAAGGCAGAGUUGUGGCCUAUGCCUCUAGACAGUUGAGGAAACACGAGUUAAACUACCCGACCCAUGAUUUGGAGUUAGCGGCCGUGGUGCACGCUCUGAAAAUAUGGAGGCACUAUCUAAUUGGUCAUAAAUGUGAGAUUUAUAAAGAUCAUAAGAGUUUGAAAUAUAUCUUCACCUAGUCUGAUUUGAACUUAAGGCAACGAAGGUGGUUGGAACUGAUUAAGGAUUAUGACCUGGAAGUACACUAUCAUCCGGGUAAAGCUAAUGUAGUGGCAGAUGCCCUGAGUAGAAAGAGCUAUGUUAAUAUGGCUUAUGUGACUCAGUUACCUAGGGAGUUGUGUGAAGAGUUUGAACAGCUGAACUUGAGUAUAGUAGCUAACACUAUGGGAUUGGAGGUGGAACCCACACUAGAACAAGAUAUCCGUAAAGGACAACUGGAAGAUGAGAAAAUUAAAGAUAUUGCUGAACGGAUAGUGAUCGGUAAGGCACCAGGUUUUCACAUGGAUGACCAGGGAAUAGUAUGGUUCGGUAAGAGGAUUUGUGUACCCUAGAUAAAGUCUAUUAGAGAGACUAUUCUGAGAGAAGCUCAUGACUCAGCCUAUUCUAUACACCCGGGUAGCACUAAAAUGUACCUCGACCUUAAAGAAAGAUAUUGGUGGUAUGGCUUGAAAAGAGAUGUAGCAGAAUAUGUGGCUAUAUGUGAUACGUGCCAAAGAGUAAAAGCAGAACACCAGAGACCAGCAGGAUUACUUCAACCCAUGAAAAUACCUGAGUGGAAGUGGGAAGAAGUUGGAAUGGAUUUCAUAGUGGGACUACCUCGAACACAGAAAGGAUACAAUUCUAUCUAGGUUAUUGUAGAUCGAUUAACCAAGGUAGCUCACUUCAUUCCUGUCAAGACUACCUAUUCCGGGGCAAAGUUGGCAGAAUUGUACAUGGAAAGGAUUGUGUGUUUACAUGGGGUGCCAAAGAAAAUUGUUUCUGAUAGAGGGACACAGUUUACAUCACACUUUUGGCAGAAACUACACGAGUCCAUGGAUACAAAAUUGAAUUUUAGUUCGGCCUACCAUCCUCAAACAGAUGGGCAGUCAGAAAGAACAAAUCAGAUACUAGAAGAUAUGUUGAGAGCUUGUGCCCUGCAGUACGGGACAAGUUGAGACAAAAGUUUUCCUUAUGCUGAGUUCUCCUAUAAUAAUAGCUAUCAGAAGAGUCUCAAAAUGGCACCUUUUGAGGUAUUAUAUGGCAGGAAAUGCAGGACACCACUGUUUUGGAGUCAAACUGGGGAAAGUCAAGUUUUUGGGCCAGAGAUUUUGCAAGAAGCAGAGAAACAGGUGCACACAGUAAGACAGAACUUGAAAAUAGCACAAUCUCGACAGAAAAGUUAUGCAGACACAAGGAGAAGGGAUUUGGAAAUUCAGAUAGGAGAUUAUGUGUAUCUCAAGGUCUCACCUAUGAGAGGAGUCAAGAGAUUUCAUACCAAGGGGAAGUUGUCUCCUAGGUAUGUAGGUCCCUUUAAGAUCAUUGCUAGGAGAGGAGAAGUAGCCUAUCAACUGGAGUUACCUGAACAACUCUCUAGUGUUCACAAUGUCUUCCAUGUGUCACAGCUUAAGAAAUGUCUGAGAAUACCCGAAGAACAGUUACCUCUAGAAGAGCUUGAUGUUCAAAAAGAUCUUUCCUAUAAAGAAUAUCCUGUAAGAAUUUUGGAGACAACAGAAAGAAUCACCAGGAGCAAAGUCAUAAGAAUGUGCAAAGUACAGUGGAACAGGCAUUCUAAAGAUGAAGCAACAUGGGAAAGAGAGGAUGAUUUGAGAUCUGAGUACCCUUAUCUUUUUGAGCCAUCCGAAUCUCGAGGACGAGAUUCAUCCUAAGGGGGGUAGGUUUGUAACACCCUAAAAAUUAAUUUUCAAAUUAGUAUUUAAUUUGGCAUAAUUAUAGGAAUUAUUUGAGAAUUGUUUAGGCAAAAUAACAAUUUUUGGAAUUAUUUAAAAUAAACUAUAAGGUCUAGAAACAUGAAAUGCUGCAUUCAUGCUGGUGCAUAAUAUUUUGAUUGUUUGUAAGACUAGGUUGUUUGUUUUAAAAAUCAAUUUGAUAGAAAUUUAUACAAAUUUACAGCUCUGAAAAAUAUAAAAGAGUUUUUCUUUUAUUUUAUUCCCUUCAUCGAAUCUGGCCCAGCCCCAAACCCUGGCCCAACACACCCCGCGCUCACCCCUGGCCUUGGGCCGUUGGCGGCCUAGUGGCGCGGCCUGCUCCGCGUGGACAGCCCGCGCGCCUCCCCUUUCCCCCUCUCACUGUGCAGUAGGGCCCGCCUGUCGGCGCUCUUUUCCCCCUCUCUCUCUCUCGCUGCACCGUGGGGCCCGCACGUCAGCGUCUUCCCCCUUCUUCUCCACCGAGCCGGGAACAUUGCAAUGGGCAUUCAUCCCCUUCUUCAAACGCCGAUUGAUGGAGGCCAUCAAUCGGGGCUCCAUCAAGCCUCUUGACGCUGGGAGAACGCCCGCAUGCGCGCCCCCUCGACGCCCCUGCUCGCCCUAUAAAACCCCAGGCCGAGGCCCCUUUGCUGCCCCUAGCCACCACCGGAGCACGGUUUCUCUCCCCCACCUCGGUUUCCCCUUGCUCGAGCGACCCAAAGCCCGGAGAGUGCCCUGGGAGCUUGGUUGGGACUCGCCGCGACCGUAGGCACCUAUCUCACCUUUGUUUUGAUCUUGUAUGCCAUGAAUUUGAUCUCACCGAUGUUUUCUUCUCUCUCCAGUCCGCCCCGACCGUGGUCAAGCCGCUCGGAGCUUUUCCGGACGCCGCGAACGCCUCGAACGGAACCUCGGUAUCCCCUCGAUGCUCCCCGUGCCUUUAAUCGCAAGUUUAGAGCGCUCUAACACCGAACCCGAGCCUUCCGAGGGCGCGGCAAUGGCGCCACCGUGGGGCCGUCGUCUCGACGUGCUCCCCGCCCUUUCUUUGUGCCCUAUCGUGUUCGCCUCGUCGCGCUGGUCGUUGUGGUAGCGUUAUUUUUGUUUAGAGUGGCCGGGAACGAGAUUCCGGCGAGCUCCGAGGAGCUCACCUCGUCGGCGACAAUGGCGCCGCCGUGGUCGGCCUCGGCUCAGGCGAGCGCCCCGCUGCCCUUCUUCCUGAGCCGUCUGAUCAGAUUCCAACGGCCUAGAUUACAUACCCCUUCGGGGUUAUGUAACCGGUCCACCGUGGACCAUGGACGCGGUCCACGGGUGCUCGGUCGGCCGGUCCACGCGCACAGUGGUGGACCGAGCCAACCCCAGCACGCCACUAUUGACGGUCCUUAAGUAUCAAAUUUAAUUAUCAAAUAAACAAAGAAAAGGAUCCAAAUGAAAUCAACAUCUAGACUUAGGGUUUUAUCUGACAGAAUUCCACGAGUUUUGGUGUUUGUCUAUUUCUGCAGGGGGUUAUCAGAAAAUACGAAAGAAAGGCCCACACGUCGGGAUUACAUAGAGAAAUUAACGUGCCGUGCAAUUAUCUUAAAUCUAGAAGACUCCACAAGCCACGGGAAGGAAGCGGAGGCCGAGAGGGGCUAGAGGCAGGGCGCCCGCCCUGUUUCCCUGGGCGCCCGCCCACCUCUGGAGCCCAAUCGGGACUCUUUCUCUCGGGAGAACUCCACCGACCUAAAGGAUCAAGGAUAACCGUUCAAUCUAUGUCGGUUUGAUCCAACGACCCAUAUUCACUUGAGGGGACUAUAAAACCAGAUCCCCUGACCCCUGGAGGAGGCACCCCUUGAUCAUUAUUCAUUAUUCAUAGACAGAGCAAAAGCUAGGGUUUAGAGAUGAGAGCUCUCCUCUCUUCUCUACACUAGAGUAGAUCUAGAUAGUAGCAAGAUGCAGAGCGAAGGAGGAUUAGAGGAGAGGUCGGCCUGUCGGUUCUUCCUCCGGUUGUACUUCGUCAUGAUCAAGCUCUAAUCAAGCUUGCUCAUGGGAUGACUCUGGUAAUCUACUUCUAAUUCAUUAUGCAAUUACUAAUUAUGUAUGUUCUGGUUCACAACUCUUUUGAGUACUUCUAAUCUAUAGGACGCUAUAGGUUAGAGUUGUAGUAUAGGUGUAAGCGUGGUGCUUAGACCUAGAUUACUUGUGGAUAUCCCCUGUCUAGCUGGAUCGUGUGGUAGGCCGCGUAGGUGACAGUUACGGUGGUCCUCUGUAGUCCACCUCUCGUUAGCAGGACAGGUAGGGUUUAUCGGCCUAUGGAUAAGCAUCCUUUGUGGUGUAAUCUUAUCACGUGGUUCGUCCCAGACAUAGACAUACCCCUUUGAAGUAGAGAAGCCAUAGUUAUUCUCUCUAUUCUGCUACCAUCACCCAUAUACUAGAUUGCUCUACUCUCUAUUCCCAUAUUAUCACUCACUGUUAUCUUGCCUUUAAUAUUGUUCUUAUUCGAUUCUACCAUCUUUCCUAUUUACACCUAUCUAUUUACCUUGGUUAAGUUAGAGCGUAGUUGGUUCUCCCGUUUCCCUGUGGAUACGACAAAACCUUUAACCGGGUAAAAGCUUCAACGGUAUCCGUGCGCUUGCGGAUUAUCUAUGUGCGUAUAAAUACCAUAGUACACUCUUGUGCCAUGCUGGGGAUGACAACAUAGUAUUCAAGUGGUGUUAGCAAGUGUCAACAAGCAUUUUUGGCGCCGUUGCCGGGGAAACGGUUGCUGAGUUGACUACGAACUAGCUUAAUCAUUUUCUAAAAAAAAAUAAAAAAAUAUUUUAUUUUUAUCCUUUGCCUCAUCUCUGCUAUUCUUUCGUCUUAUCUAAUCCUUGAUCUCUGGUCUAUCAUGAAUUCAAACAUGUCUAUCUAUGAAUUUCAUAGACCUACUUGCACACAUCUCGAACCACCAAAAUCUUCAAAGCCUAUCAUAGCAUCUAGUUUUGAGAUAGACCCUGAAUACAUAGAAUUUGUUCAAAAACAACCUUUCUCAGGAGAAGGUGAGGAAAACCCAUAUACACACCUAAGAGAGUUUUAUAGAGUCUGUGACCUCCUUCGCAUAGAAGGCAUGUCCGAUGAGACCCUUAAAUGGAAGCUCUUUCCGUUCUCUUUAAUGGGAAAAGCUAGACAUUGGUAUAAACUCAAAGUAGGGAGUGUUCAUGGAGAUUGGAAGGAGUUACAUAGUAGUUUUCUUUCUAAAUAUUUUCCAAUCUCCAAAGUGGUGGAACUUCGGCGUGAGAUUCUUUCUUUUUGACAACUCGAAGAAGAAUCUCUUGGCAAAUCAUGGGACCACUUUAUUAACCUUACUCUCACUGGCCCAAAGCUUUCUAUUCCAAAAGAAGUUCUUCUAAUUCACUUUUUUGAGGGCCUUAGUGGGGAAAAUAAGCAAACCCUUCAUGCAGCCUCUGGAGGAUCUUUCCACCACCUAUCCGCUAGUGAAGCUUGGAAUUUGAUUGAUUUAAUGAGCGGAAAGUCUCCUAGCUUUUAUAUCCCUGAGAAAGAGACAGAACCAGUUCCUAGACAAGAAGAAGAAGUUUUGAUAGCCAGAUCACAACCACUUCAAUUCCAAACUUUAGCUAUCGAUCCUAAACCAUCAAUACCCCAAAAUUCUCCAAGGGAGGAAGGAAUUCCGACCUUAAAUCUUUCAGAUGCUGAUGGUUUAGACUUCUGGUUCCAUAAGAGACCUUCAAGCAGGGAUAAUUCAAAUCCUCGCAAUAAUGGUUCUCUUAGAGAAUGUCCUGGUUCCUGUUAUGAAGAAGUCGAGGAUGACAUAUCAAGUGAAGGAGAGUAAGCCAUAUUGAAAAUUCUAACACCUCCCCUUUCCUGAUCACAAGUUCUAAAUGGCUAGAAUGUGUAGAAUGGAUGGAUAAGGAAGAAGCCUUAAUGAAUUCUGACUUUGGCUCAAUUUCAAAUGAUGAGUUCUUGACUCCCUUUGAAGAUGAGAUUCAUCCAACUACAGAAGAGGACAUAGGUGAGACCAAUCCAGGAGAAACUCCAAAUAUUCAGAUUGGAGACGAAGAUAACAUUAAUGAGCAUGGAAUUUAUUUCAUAGCCACUUCAUUCACUCCAUGCUCAUAUGCAACAUCUUCCCAAUCUAUUGGUCUCUCCAACUUCACCACAUUUGAGAUCUCCAACCCCCUCUUCCUUUCUAUUUAUAAAAACUUUAAAAGGGCGGUUGUCGAUGCAUAUGUUUAUAAUAAAUAUUGCAGAUCUCGUUGAGUUGAUCUUGAUUUAGGUCAGCGUUGGAAGGGAAACCACUUCGCCGACAUAAAUUGAUGGUUUCCCAAGGACAAGCUUGGUGUCCUAAAAUAAGCACUGAUCAGAUCAUAACAUGAGUUUUUAAUUAUUUGCAACAUUACCUUGUGUAUUGAGCAUAUAAGGAUAAUUGUAAAAAUAUUCCUUCGGGUAUUCUUGUCACUAACCUUUCCAGGAUUGGAACAAGAAGAUCAGAUGAAUGACAAGCAAGUACAAGGUAUGUCCAACCAAUCAUCAUGCAACACCGAAUUAAAUUCAUCCAAACUUGAAUUCUGCAAAAUUCAAGCUUGGGGGAGUACUUUACAUAAAAACAUCCUUUGCCUUGUUGCUAUGUUGGUUCUCCCUACCUUUAAGACAUGCUCAGUUUGUUAAAUACUAAUCACACUACUUCAUCUCCACUUAAGUAGAUCUCUAUAAAUGCUGUCAUGCUACCUUUGUCUAUUUACUAGUAAGUGUUAGUUUGGAAGUACUGCACAUACUUCUAUUGGCUUUUAAAUUAAGCAUGGUGCUUAGGUUAAACAACCUUCCUUAAUCUGAUUAGACAUGGAGUCUAGUUCGGUUAUUGAACUAAAAACUACUUGUGUAGACAUUGGUAUAUUUUUGUCGGACUAACCCCUGCAGAGAAACUUUCAAUAUCGAUUUGGGAAGUCCUGAGAUAAACUCACAUCAGAGACGAAGAGAGUGACACAUGAAGUUUAACAAUUUGCACAAGAAGGACAUAUCUCAUUCAUCAUAGAGAGAUGAUCCAUGGAGGGUGCCACAAACACGAUGCACAACCGCUAAGAAAGGAAAGCUUCCACAAGGUGAUACUGUACCAUCACUCUUCAAGCAAGGUAACAUCUUAAGGUACUUGACUAUCACUUUUAUAAGCUUCUCCUUGGUUUUGGCGUUCAUAUAAAUAAAAGAGACAAACAUGUAUGAUUUACAACUCUAGAUUAACCAACCCAACUGAUUCAACAUGUUUAGUCCUUUAAUCCUUGUUCUUAGUACUACCUCCAUGAUCCCACACUCCUAAUCAUAUGAGCUAAAAUGUUACACAUUCAAUCUUUGAGAGAUAUAAAGAAAAAGACAUAUACAUAUAUAGAUUAUCUUUCCAUAAGGUUGAGUGAUCUGAUCUGACAAAUGUUAUAAGUGCUGCACUCAUGAACUUUUCAUCCAUCAACUUUGUCUUGCUCACUAUGCUUAGGGUUAGAGAAGAACAAAUACACUUUAGGUUCUGUUGGUGUUUUCCACCAACAGGACCCAUGCACUUGAUCUCUGCCUUGUCUCUAUGAGUAGGUACACUUCGAGCAAAACACGGAGGAGUUUUAUAACUCUCAGACUCUACCAAGUGAAGGACCUGGAUCUACGAGCACAAACACACUGAGCAAGACACUGCCAACGCCGCACUUCAAACUGCUGGGCAAACGAAAAGGUGCAGAUGUAAAGGUCCGCACCUGAAUCAAAUGACGCACCUAAAGAAUGAACACAGUGAGAAGUCUUGUUUAGAAGACUUAAAACAUUGAACCCUCGCCGAAAGGUAAGAUCGGUAGUUAUCCAUAUUUAUCCUUUCUGCAUUCCCUUUUCCCUUUAAUUAAUUACUUUCCUUAAAUAGAUUAUUAGUUAAUCAUGCUAUCUUGAAAAGAAAAUAAAAAUGUUAAAAAAUACUAAGCCCCAUGUGAGUAUACGAGUGGCAUAAAACCCAUAAGUACCUUCACUGUGGUGGCAUAAAAAUAAAAUAAAUAUUUCUUUUCUCCUUUAUAAAAUAAAAAUAUAAAAAUAGGGAGUAAUAUUUAUUGAGGGAGCUCAACAUGAUAAAGGCUAGAUAUUUAUGCUAACACUUAAUCAGUUCCACAAGCUUUGUUGUCUAUUUGAGCUCCAGAGGAUUUAAGAAUCAAGAAGACUAGCAGACGGAGGACAUUCUAAUCGCGGUCAGAAUGCUGCUGACUUUCAAAUACACCUCUGCCACCUGCUAGCUACAUCAAGACAAAUUACGUCAAAAUUCAGCUUGGGGGAGAGCACCCCCAUUUAUCUCGCUAAGUAUUUUUACCUAUCUUUAUACUUAUAUUAUGUUAGAAUAUUAAAAUACAUAAACUAUGAAAAACCAAAUAAAUAUUUUGUGCUUAUAUAUAUAUAUAUCUUUUGCUUAGUGUGUUUAAUAAAUAAAUAAAGUGGCUAUGCUAAUCUGAAUCUUAAUAAUAAAACUCUAGCAUGGAUAUGAUGAAUAGUUGCUCUGCCUAAUUUGCAAAUUUGAAGUUCUCUCUCAAGUUUAGACAUAACUGUUAUAAUUUAAAGCUUGCUCUAGAUCUAAACUUGUGGGAUAAAAACUUGAUCUGAAGUCUAAGUUGUUAACGGAUAUGAUAUGGGAAGGUUGAGCUGCUGUUUAUCUGUUCCUAGAGAUGCUAGAAUUUUAUCUUUGAAAAAUCUUUAAAAUAUUGCAUGAUGAGUUCCUGUAUGAUGAGAGUUUAAAUUCCUACCACAGCCAUAUAUACAUGCUUGCUAGACUUUGAGCCACACAUUUACUAUUUACUGCUUAUGAGCAUUGAGUGUGGUCAAGCUGUGUAGACCCUUAGGAGCUUGUCAUGUGGUUAAAUCAAGAUUCACUUGCACGUUCACUCAUAUAUGCUACUUCUACUCCGGAAGUACCAUCCACAUAUAUCCAUCCUUGUCCAUCUCCAGAACCACCCAAAAAUAUUCUACUCCUAAUCCGGGAGAGAAUAGCUAAAAAUAUUUCUGUUUUCCCUUGUGAAAUAAAUGCUCAAGUUAUCUUGCUACUACCACUUGCUACAUUAUCUCAAGAGAUGAGUGCUCUGAAAGAAAAAGAAAAGAAAAGAAAAAAAAUAAACGAGGAAAUAAAAAGGGGCAAGUGCCCGGAACCUCGAAAGAAAGAAAAAGUGAGACGAGAGGUAAAAAUGGACAAGUGUCCGACAGUAGAAUUAGGGGUACAAGAUACCCACGUGAGAGGAAAGAAAAAGAAGAGCAUCUCAUUCUCCUCAUAAAGUUUUAAAAAGCAAGGAAGGUAUGUAUCCCCUCAAAAGAGCAAAAGUAGAAUUAGACUUUCACCAUUGUUAUCACCAUCAUCACCAUACACCAUUCAUUCGCCACACAUGCACAUCUUGAUUUGGCUUAUUGAUUUGUUUCUUUGGAUCCAUGGUUUGACUAUACAAUAAAUAUCUUGUAAGUAUGUAUACUUUAUCUCCCACCUAUGAGCUCCAGAUAUUAAAGCCUUAUUAGAGUAGGGUGAGAGAGAAGGCGAUGUCACUAUGCCUUAUACCACAAAUACCACAUAUCUUGAGAGAAGGCAUAUACCAUCACUGCCUUGGUAAGGAUCCAGAAAUACCACAGAAGAGAGAUUUAGAGAGUCAUACAAGGAAUCUCUGAGUUUUAUUUGAAAAUCUGCAAAAACUCCAGAGCUAUAGCUGAUCAAGAAUAAGAGACAUGGCACUUGGCUAGACUGUUCUAUCUUUUAACUACUCAAGACAGAAGUGACGGUUACAAGUCCCAUGGUGAAAGGUAAAGUAAGUAAGUUUUAGUUCUUGACAGUUUACUCUAACUCAGAGAUGAGAUCUUAUUUAAAAGCAUGUGUACCGUCAAAUUUUUAAGAUAUUGCAACAACUUCUGAUCCAUUGCUGAGUCUAUCCUUGCUCAGGGACGAGCAAGAGGUAAGCUUGGGGGAGUUUGUUGACGGACCUUAAGUAUCAAAUUUAAUUAACAAAUAAACAAAGAAAAGGAUCCAAAUGAAAUCAACAUCUAGACUUAGGGUUUUAUCUGACAGAAUUCCACGAGUUUUGGUGUUUGUCUAUUUCUGCAGGGGGUUAUCAGGAAAUACGGAAGAAAGGCCCACACGUCGGGAUUACAUAGAGAUAUUAACGUGUCGCGCAAUUAUCUUACAUCUAGAAGACUCUAGAAGCCACGGGAAGGAAGCGGAGGCCGAGAGGGGCCAGAGGCAGGGCGCCCGCCCACCUCUGGAGCCCAAUCGGGACUCUUUCUCUCGGGAGAACUCCACCGACCUAAAGGAUCAAGGAUAACCGUUCAAUCUAUGUCGGUUUAAUCCAACGGCCCAUAUUCAUUUGAGGGGACUAUAAAACUAGACCCCCUGACCCCUGGAGGAGGCACCCCUUGAUCAUUAUUCAUUUUUCAUAGAUAGAGCAAAAGCUAGGGUUUAGAGAUGAGAGCUCUCCUCUCUUCUCUACACUAGAGUAGAUCUAGAUAGUAGCAAGAUGGAGAGCGAAGGAGGAUUAGAGGAGAGGCCGGCCUGUCGGUUCUUCCUCCGGUUGUACUUCGUCAUGAUCAUGCUCUAAUCAAGUGUCACCCAUAUUUUAAGAACAAAAUAGGAUGCAUAAAAGACUCAUAUGUGCCCCAGGAAUAGUCGCACACAUAAGUAGACAAAUCUCAAAUGUACCAUUGCAGUGUUUAUUACAUAGCGGAACAAUAAUAAAUCACAUAGUCUCAUACAAAGAUGAUAGCAUAGAGUAAACAACGCUCUCGACGGAAGCUUCACACAGGGACAGCAUUGCCUGGUUGACUCCAAACCUAGUACUCAUAACGAUAGUCCUCAUUCCAGUCAUCUUCAUUAUCAUAUCCUGAGGUGUUGGGAAAUUGCAAGAGUGAGCACAUAUCGUACUCAACAAGUAUAACUAGGGGCUCAUGAGGCUCAAAUAGCUGACACUGGUUUGACUGCAUUUAGCUUUUAAUAGUUGAUAGCAUGUUUAAUUAUUGAAUAGCAAAUGUCAAGGUAGCAUAAUAAAUUCCAUAACCACAUGAUCAAUGUAUACAAGAAUUAAGAAUAACACAUAUAAACAAUAUAAUAAACCAUCAUUUAUCAUCAUUAAUCAUGUUCGUCAGAGUCCAUCUAUUCCGUCAGUUUUCCGGGCCGCCCGUAUCCGUGGGCACGGCUAGUAUACCAGAUUUAACACUCUGCAGAGGUUGUACAUCUUUACCCAUGAGUCGUGAUUUACCCUUUCGCCCGAGGUGAUCAGCCUCUUAACCCACUACAAAGGAAGGUCGGCAGGGAUCACUAUGAAGUCUUUCAAAGGUUCGUCUAACAUGUUAGGGCCACAAGGUUUCCUUUGCGCGCAGAUAUAGAUACGCCCCUUCCGAAUGGCACAAUGACGCGCAGCCUAUACACAUAGGGACAGGGGCUCGCACUAUACCCAAAACGGUUCAGCCCCUCCGCCCUUUCGGGUAACCUCUAACAAGCUAGAAAAGCUUACUCAUACUUGACUAAAGCCAGAGCCAUAUAGCUCUCAUGGUUGUACGAGUUGUCCCAGCUUUUGCCAAGGGAUAAGUCCUUAUGGAGGGUCAAGAUCAAUCCAGCAAAAGCCAGAGUUCUUUCCACCCUUUAUAUUCAAGUUGCUAGAAAGCUUAUUUUAUUGUUUAUUGUAUAUUCAAAUAUUCAUGUUACAAGAUCAUGGAUUAAUAAUCAAGCAUUAGCAAGAACUACCCAAAUGGAUAUCCAAAUAGGUAACAAGGAAUUCAGGAUAACAAUCAUCUAUGAUUUUGCUAAGGUCAUCAAGGUGAUAGCAUGCAUAUGAUAAAUGUUAUAUUAAUUGUGUAUAGGUAACAAGGAUAAUCCCAAGUUAUACUUUCCUUGAUCAAAGCUCUCCUGAGCCUGCUGGUCUUCAAAUGCUUGAUCUUGAGCACCAACGUACGGCUCACCGUCUAAUUCCAAACAUCAAUCAACAACACGCAAUCCAAUGGAGACAAUCAUACACAAAGCAAACAAGAUAUAAUUAGAACAUUACACCAAACAGUGGUAAAACAAAGAUAAAAGUUUAUCAAAAUAUUCUACGCAGCGCUACGAUCACACAAACGUAAAGUUCACGAAAAUCGGAAUUAAAACGUGAAAGAUAAGAAUUUUCUAAGAUUUCCUAUAGAGAAAUAAUUAAUUAAAUGCUACUGCAGAAUUAAAAGUUUCAAAACAGUAAACUAAUAAUUCUAACUUGUAGAGCUCGUUGAAACGAAUCUAACAAAAUUUGGAUGGACAAAAAUGAAAUUAAAAUGAAUAUUUUAUGGCCUAUAGAAACUCAGUGGCAAACUUGUAAAUUCACAAAACGUAUUUUCGAAGUCAAUCUGGUGCUUUUCCGUUUUCUAAAAGAGAAAGCGUAUUUUUGAACUCCGCUUUGGAUUGCGGGUUUAUUCUUAAAAAGAGCAGGGGCUCUUUAGCAAGAUUCACAGGCGAAGGGGUACGAGGCGAUCUGAUACGUUGGAUUAGGCGCGGACGGCUCAGAUCGCGUCUGGGUGAGUGGGGCGGCCGGCGGCCGGAAUUAGGCGCGCCCGCGGUGGAGCUCCAUUACCGCCGCUGUGCAGUUCACCGGCGAAGCCCAACCCAGUGAAUCCGUGCACCAAAAUCAAAUAUAAAAGCACAGGGAGGUGGAGCAGAACCUGGCGAACUCUCCAGAGGCAAUUUCGGAGGUAGAGAAACCCCCGAGGACGGCCGGCUUCGGGAUUUGGCGGACGCGAGGCUUCCGGGAACUUCGGCGACCUGAGGCAGGUGAAAUAGAGCAUGAAAUUGCGAGAGAGAACGCUCGGUGGCUUCGCAAACGCAGAGCGAAGCUCGGCGUAAGAUUACAACAGCCUGGAAGCAAUGCCAUCGGAGAAGGGUGGCGGCGGCUGGUUUCUGUACCUCGGCGAGAUCCCCAACUUGCGACUCGGCAGCUAGGGCGACCUCGGCACGACGUAGAUGAGAAAAGGAAUUGCGAGGGGGAAACGUUGGGUACUUAUAGGGGCUUGGCACGCUAGAUGGCAAGAAGAUCACGGGAUUGAUCUCCUCCCGGGAGUCCUGCUCGGCUUCGAACAGGGAAAGGAGAAGGGGCGCUGCGCAGUGGGGCCGUAUGGCAGAGAGAGAAGGGGAGGGGGCCCGGCUGCCAGAGAGGGAAGGGAGAAGGAGGGAGGCGCGCGCUGGGCUGGUCUGCUGGGCCGGUCUGCGCUCUGGGCCGCAGUGAGGAGGAGGGGAUGCUGGGCUGCGGUGUGGGGGCUGGUUUCCAGGGGCUCCUCCCCUUUUGUUUUUUUUUCAAUUCUUUUCCAAAACAUUUUUCUAAAGACUUUUUAAAUAGAAAUUUGAGAGCAAAUAAACCCCAACAAAAGCCAGCAGCACAAUUAAAUGAAGACGCUCCAGCAUGAAUGCACAAUCAAAGUUAUUAAACCUAUGAUGAAUUUUAUUCUCAACAAAAAGUAUUUAAGUGCUAAAUUUAAAUGCUCACAAAAAAAUACUCAAAUAAAUCGAAUUAAAUCCUUUUAUUUGAAAAUCAAAUUUUGGGUGUUACAUCAAGCUUGCUCAUGGGAUGACUCUGGUAAUCUACUUCUAAUUCAUUAUGCAAUUACUAAUUAUGUAUGUUCUGGUUCACAACUCUUUUGAGUACUUCUAAUCUAUAGGACGCUAUAGGUUAGAGUUGUAGUAUAGGUGUAAGCGUGGUGCUUAGACCUAGAUUACUUGUGGAUAUCCCCUGUCUAGCUGGAUCGUGUGGUAGGCCGCGUAGGUGACAGUUACGUUGGUCCUCUGUAGUCCACCUCUCGUUGGCAGGACGGGUAGGGUUUAUCGGCCUAUGGAUAAGCAUCCUUUGUGGUGUAAUCUUAUCACGUGGUUCAUCCCAGACAUAGACAUACCCCUUUGAAGUAGAGAAGCCAUAGUUAUUCUCUCUAUUCUGCUACCAUCGCCCAUAUACUAGAUUGCUCUACUCUCUAUUCCCAUAUUAUCACUCACUGUUAUCUUGCCUUUAAUAUUGUUCUUAUUCGAUUCUACCAUCUUUCCUAUUUACACCUAUCUAUUUACCUUGGUUAAGUUAGAGCGUAGUUGGUUCUCCCGUUUCCCUAUGGAUACGAUAAAACCUUUAACCGGGUAAAAGCUUCAACGGUAUCCGUGCGCUUGCGGAUUAUCUAUGUGCGUAUAAAUACCAUAGUACACUCUAGUGCCAUGCUGGGGAUGACAACCUAGUAUUCAAGUGGUGUUAGCAAGUGUCAACAGCCACGUGGCCCACCUGUCGGCCAGCGACGCGGUCAGCCGCGGACCGCUGGAGAUUUUGCACUUUAACCCCCCUGUUUCAAACAAAUCAACCCGCGGUCCAACCUAGUUCAAAAGUAUUUCUUUUUAAUCCUGUUUUCUUCUGUUUUAAACCCUGUACUUGUAUAUAAUAGUGCGCGCGGUCCAGACCCGUUAGAAAUUCAGUUUUAAUUCUUUUAAAUUCGUUUUUAAUUCAGUUUAUUCACAGAAAUGCCAUCCAUUUUGUUUUAUGCAUAACUUUCACGUUUUAAGUCCGAUUAGAGUGAUUCUUUCGCUCAUGUGUUCGUAGAAAUGCAUAGAGUAGAUUUAUAUACUUUUCAGUAACUGUUUUUACUGUUUGGUGUACUGUUCUAAUAGAACUCUAUUUGUAUGCAUGUGAUGAUUGGACUGGAUGCUUGAUUGGUGUUUGGAUCACGAAUAGAAGGUGAUCAGGUUGGGGUGGUUGAGGAUAAGUUUGUGGAGCUCUACCACGAAGAAACUUUUGAGGAAGGCAAGUGUAAUAUAGGCUUCCUUGUACCUAUGAACAUUAUUUAAUUCAUACAUAUGCAUGUGUCUAAAUUGAAAUACCUAUAAGGAUUUUACCUAGAUAAUUUUGUACCACAAAUCCUUGAUACCCAUGGGAAGGGGUGUGCAUUUAUUUAGGUAGUUGCUGCUACGCUUAAAACCCAAGAUUAUAAAUUAAUCUGAUUAAUUGGUAUAUGCAAUGUGAUAAAAUAUGUUCUAGUAACUUGGUCAGGGGGCUAGAGCUUGGAUUAUGAAAGCUCUAGAUUCCUUUCCAUAAGGACUUAAUCCUGAAGCGGCCACCCAGGAGGUCACGUACAAUCUCGAGAGUCACAUGGCUCUGACCUUAUCAUAUAACUAGUACGUCUCUAGCAAAUUAAUAGUUACCGAAAGGCGCUAGAGGGGGAUGCCUCGUGGUGUAUAGAUGUCACUCCUACCUUGGUGUGUACAGUGCCGCGACCACAUGUGCCUCUUGAAGGAGGUCGUCUAUGCACACUUGCCACUGAAACCUCGCGGCUACUAUUUUGUUAGGGUGACUAGUGAAAGGUUAAGUAGUGGAACCCGGUCACACUUCCUCGAUAGAAGUGGUGUGGGCCUUGCAAACCCCGACACUAGGGAACCACGGCUCGGGGGUAAAGUUGUACAAUUUCUGCAGAAAUCUAAAACCUGUUAUAACAGCCGAGCUCUCGGUCAUGAGCGGCCUGGAUCCUUCUUGGUUAGCGGUUACUUGGCUAUACUUGGGAAAUGUGAUAACUUUGAUUAAUACUUAUGUAACCAGGGUUGGUCUCUCAUUAAAAGUAGCAAGUCUUGGAUAAUAAAAUAUGACCAACUAAAAUGCUAAUCGCUGUUAAACCGAGUCAAGCCUUUGAGCCUUCAUAUACCCCUAUGUUAUACUUGCUAAGCAUGGUGCGCUUACACUUGUUUAUAUUUCAAUGAAAAUCCCGGAUGGGUAACAGAUGUGUGUACUGAGGAGUUCCUCGAAGAUGUCCAGGACUACUAGAGAGCUGGUGUUCACCAGUUGGUGUCCCUGUGGCAACAAGGGCUUAGCUUUCCGCUUUAUGUAAUAAUGUUGCCAAUGAGCAAGACUAUGUGAGAUGUUUAAGUUGAACAUGCGAUGUAAUAAAGUAUUUUACUUUGAUAUAUUUACAAUUUGUGAUAAUAUGUGUGUUUGGACAUCCUGGGCGCACAUAUUUGAGUACUUGGUUUUGUUCUCAAAACUGCGUGCGACAGUGUGGCCACUGUCCGUGUGUAUAGGCUGCGGGUUAUGUGCCAUGGAAGGGGGGCUCUAUAUCUGCCUGCCGAGUGAAUCUAAUGGCCCUAACUUGUUAGACGAAACCUUUGAAAGGCUUCAUAGUGAUCCCUGCCGACCUCUCUUGGAAGGGGGUUAAGAGAUUAGCUACCUCGGGCGAAAGGGUAAAUCAUGACUCAUGGGUAAAGAUGUACAACCUCUGCAGAGUGUUAAAAACUAGUAUACUAGCCGAGCUCACGGUCAGGAGCGGCCUUGGGGACAUCUACAUUAAGAUGAUGAGCUUGUUAUGUUAUUAUGUUCAUUUGAUUAUCGUUUAUGCUAAGAUUUAAUUAUGCUUACAUUUGAUCAUGUGAUUAUCGGAUUAUUUAUGCUACCUUGAUAUUUGCUAUAUAAUUAAGAACAUGCUAUCCACUAUUAAAAGCUAAAUGCAGUCAAACCAAUGUCAGCUUUUUGAGCCUCAUGAACCCCUGGUUAUACUUGUUGAGUUUGAUAUGUGCUCACUCUUGCAAUCUCCCAACACCCCAGGUUAUGCUAAUGAUGAUGAUUGGAAUGAGGACUAUCGCUAUGAGUAUUAGGUUUGAAGUCAACCAGUCAAUGUUUGUCCCUGUGUGGAGCUUCCGUCGAGAGCGUUGUUUACUUUAUGCUAUCAUUUUUGUAUGAGACUAUAUGGUUUGUUAUUGUUCCGCUAUGUAAUAAACACUGCAAUGGUACAUUUGAGAUUUAUCUACUUAUGUGUGCGACUGUUUCUGAGGCACAUAUGAGUCUUUUAUGCAUCCUAUUUUGUUCUUAAAAUAUGGGUGUGACAAAUUGGUAUCAAAGCUUUGUUGACUGUCGGAUGCAAGCCUAGUUAGAAAUUGGCCAUCUUAAGGUUUUGAAAUUGCUAUAAAAUCUUUGUUCUAUAAACCUUGAUAUUUUCUCCUAUACUAUAUCCUUUUCAUUGCUAUUCAUCUUCACCUUGUUGCUUAUCUUAAAAGUACUUGUUCUCAUCUUCACUCCUUGAUUUGUUAUGCUUUUGGAACCUUCUCUUACCACCUGCUUACAUAGUUGAAAGAGAAUCUUAGGAUCUUUGCCUUUAAUAGGAAGAGGACGAUAGUACCGCAAGUUGAGUCAAUGCUUGAAGUGUGAACCUUUGAUGCUUGGUUUGGUUUGUUGUUAUGCCUAUGCUUGAUUUGGAUCUUUGUAUUGAAUGUAAUGAUCUUGUGGAAUUUCUCUACAAUUUCAUUUAGUUAUAGGCUUAAGGCAUAAGGAUUAAUGAACUAAAUAGUUGGGGUUGGUUAAAAUCCUGUUUCUGUCAUCUGCUGUUUUCUAGAGUAGUCUGCAAUAAAUCUGGUACAUCUCAAAUUCUGUUCGUGCAAAGUCCAUCAAAUUUUUCUGGUGACAAGUAGACUUUCAUAUCUUUCCAAUGCCGCAAGAAUGACCUUAGAAUCUGUUAUGAGUUGUGAGAUAUGACUGUUCAAAGUUGAGGUUUCUACGCAGUCUGGGAUUCUGGAACAGUUUGGUUAUGCCCAGUUUCGACUAAUUUAACCACAGAAUCUGUUAAUAUGGUCUAAAUGAAAGUUGUAGAUAAUUUCUUUAGCUUUCCAACGGUAUACAGUAUGUCUCCUUUCGAGUUCUGGAACUCGAGAUAAGACUGGUUUUCCGAGCUGCUGCUGUUGGUCAUCGCCCAGAAAAAAAUUCAGAUUCAAUUAUCUCUUGUAUUUGUCAUGUUGGAUAUUACUGAGAUCUAUUUCUGUAUCUUAGAAUGCAGAUGGCAGCAAGAGGUAGAGGCAGAGGUAGAGGUCAUGGAAGGGGUGCUAAUGCCCCAAUCUCUGUGGAGGAACUAAUGCAUACACAGAACGAGAUGAUGCAUGCAUUCCUACAACAUCUUCAGCAACAGCCUAUAGCUCCACCACCACCACCACCUGCCUAUGUGAUGGAUAAGCGUGACGAGUUUAUGAAGGGACGACCUCCAGUGUUCAUUCAUUCUGCUGAUCCUAUGGAAGCAGAUGAUUGGUUGCGUGCUGUGGAAGGACAGUUAAACAUAGCUCAGUGCAAUGAUCUAGAGAAGGUGCUAUAUGCUUCUGGACAGCUACAGGGAGCAGCUCAAACUUGGUGGGAAUCAUACCAAGCUGCUCGUCCUGAUAAUGCUCCCGCCGUCACUUGGCAAGAAUUUUGUAGAGAUUUUAAGGCACGUCACAUCAAUGAAGGGAUGAUAGAGAUAAAGCAAGAAGAGUUUAGAUCACUCAGAAUGGGCUCUAUGACCGUUGCAGAGUAUCAUGAUUCCUUUGAGCAGCUGGCACGCUAUGCUCCGAAUGAGGUCAAGGAAGAUCUUGAUAAGCAGCGUCUAUUUAUGAAAGGCCUUUAUUAUGAUCUCAGAUUGUAGUUGGCUGGAAACACUUACCCUACUUUCCAAGCUCUGGUAAACCGUGCCAUUGUGCUGGAUGAUAUGCGCAAGAGUCAAGAUCGGAAAAGGAGAAUGCAAGGACAACGUCCGGGUAGUAAUAACCGCCAGCGUUUCGGCUCUCAACAAGUUUUCCAUCAGAGCUAUCAGGGACCAAUUAGUCAGUGGGACCAUGAUUAGUAUCCUCAGCAAUUCCAUAAUCAACAGCAGAGUGGGAAUCAACGCUUUCAUUUUCAGCAGCGUAACUCUUAUCAGUAGCAAGAUGGUCGACAGUCAUCUCAAUCAAGGAAUCUUAAUGUCACCCCUAGGAAGAACAGUGCUCCCAACACUCCUGACAGGUGUUUUCGCUGUGGAAAAGAGGGACAUAUGUCUUAUGAUUGUCCAGAGAACUUCAACCCACAGAACUCCCAAGGGCAAAAUAGCAACCAGGAGAACAACCAAGCACCCAACACUGGAAGAGUGAAUCAUGUGUCUGCAGGGACAACUAUGGAGGAACCUAAAGUUAUGAUUGGUAUAUUUGAUGUCCAUUCCACUCCUGGUACCGUUCUUUUUGAUUUUGGAGCUUCGCAUACAUUCAUUUCACAAGCUUUCAUUAGGACACAUAAUAUACCUGCUCGUGCCAUGAAAAACACUAUAACUAUAAAUUCACCAGAAGGAACUAUACUAGCUUCACAUUGUUGCUUUCCAAUUAAUUUGACUCUAAGGGGGUAGACUUUAAAGUGAGCCCCAUAGUGCUGAGGACAGCUGGAUUUGAUCUCAUACUGGGUAUAGAUUGGAUGAUGCAACAGGAUGCAAAGGUUAAGUGUGAAGGGAAGGUAAUGGAACUAACAUCACCAACCGGGGACCGACUCAAGGUUGAAGUGCAGGAACAAAGGACAGCCAUAGUGAACCAGUUGGAUGAUGAUGCUAAUCCUCAGGAUCGUGUUGUGAAUGAAUACCCAGAUGUAUUUCCAGAUGAGUUGCCGGGUAUGCCACCUGACCGUGACAUCGAGUUUGUAAUUGAAUUACUACCUGGUACUGCAUCUAUAGCUAAAAGACCAUAUAGAAUGGGGGUUAAUGAACUAGAAGAACUUAAGAAACAAAUAAAGGAAUUGCAAGAUAAAGGGUUCAUUCGUCCUAGUUCUUCACCAUGGGGUGCACCAGUUAUCUUCGUUGAUAAGAAGGAUGGUAGUCAGAGAAUGUGUGUUGAUUAUCGGUCACUUAAUGAUGUUACUAUCAAGAAUAAAUAUCCAUUGCCUAGGAUUGAUGACUUAUUUGAUCAGUUAAGAGGUGCAUGUGUGUUCUCUAAGAUUGAUCUGUGAUCUGGUUAUCAUCAGUUGAAGAUCCGCAAUUCAGAUAUACCAAAGACAGCUUUCACAACAAGGUAUGGUUUGUACGAGUAUACAGUUAUGUCUUUUGGUUUGACCAAUGCACCAGCUUACUUCAUGUACAUGAUGAAUAAAGUGUUUAUGGAGUAUCUUGAUAAGUUUGUGGUGGUAUUUAUUGGUGAUAUACUUGUAUUUUCUAAAACAAAGGAAGAACAUGCUGAACAUCUGAGAUUGGUCUUACAGAAACUCAGAGAGCAUAAGUUGUAUGCUAAGCGUAGUAAAUGUGAGUUUUGGUUGGAAGAAGUUUCUUUUCUUGGUCAUGUUGUCUCUAAUGGUGGUAUUGCAGUGGACCCUAGUAAGGUGAAAGAUGUGCUGAAGUGGAAACCACCUACAGAUGUAAGUGAAAUUCGCAGUUUCCUUGGUCUAGCUGGUUACUAUCGUAGAUUCAUUGAAGGAUUCUCAAAACUUGCAAAGCCUAUGACUGUUCUGUUAGAGAAGAAUGCUAAGUUUGUAUGGUCUGAGAAGUGUCAGGCUAGUUUUGAGGAAUUCAAGAAGAGAUUGACUACUGCACCUGUGUUGGUAUUGCCAGAUCUGAGUAAGAGUUUCUCUAUUUAUUAUGAUGCCUCUCGUCUGAGAUUGGGUUGUGUUCUUAUGCAAGAAGGAAGAGUUAUGACAUAUGCAUCUAGACAGUUGAGAAAACAUGAACGGAAUUAUCCCACUCAUGAUCUAGAAUUAGCAGCUGUGGUCCAUGCACUGAAGAUUUGGAGUCACUAUUUGAUUGGGCAUAGGAGUGACAUAUAUACUGAUCAUAAGAGUUUGAAGUAUAUCUUCACCCAGACAGAUCUGAACUUGAGGCAACGAAGAUGGUUGGAACUGAUAAAGGAUUAUGAUUUGGAGGUGCAUUAUCAUCCUGGAAAGGCGAGCGUCAUAGUUGAUGCACUUAGCAGAAAGAAAUAUGCUAAUGAGCUUCGGGCGACACCUGAAUCUGAGGAGUUGUGUGCUGAAUUUGCAUAUUUGAACUUGGGGAUUGUAGUAAAUGCUAUGGAAAUUGAGGUCACUCCUACUCUAGAGGAAGAGAUAUUGAAAGGACAGUUGAAAGAUGAGAAACUAAAGGAGAUAGCACAGAACGUGGUACUAGGCAAAGCACCAGGAUUUAGAAUAGAUGACAAUGGUGUACUAUGGUUUGGAAAAAGGAUAUGUGUUCCUGAAGUAAAGGCUAUUCGUGAUAUGAUUCUGAGAGAGGCUCAUGAGUCAGCAUAUUCCAUUCAUCCUGGUAGCACUAAGAUGUAUCUAGAUCUGAAACAGAAGUACUGGUGGUAUGGCUUAAAGAGAGAUAUGGCUGAAUAUGUUGCUAUAUGUUAUACUUGCCAGCGAGUGAAAGCUGAACAUCAGAGGCCAGCUAGACUGUUGCAACCAAUGAAGAUUCCGAACUGGAAGUGGGAAGAAGUCGGUAUGGAUUUUAUAGUGGGUUUACCACGUACACAGAGAGGGUAUGACUCAAUAUGGGUGAUAGUAGAUCGUUUGACUAAAGUCACUUCAUACCUGUUAAAACUAAGUACACCGGAGAACGUCUAGCUGAGCUGUAUAUGGAGAGAAUUGUUUGUUUGCAUGGGGUACCUAAGAAGAUUGUGUCAGAUAGGGGUACUCAGUUCACAUCUCACUUUUGGAAAGCAGUGCAUGAAUCCUUGGGAACAAAGUUGAAUUUUAGUACAACGUAUCAUCCACAGACAGAUGGACAGACUGAGAGGAUCAAUCAGAUACUGGAGGACAUGUUGAGAGCUUGUGCUUUGCAGUAUGGGACUAGUUGGGACAAGAGUUUGCCAUAUGCAGAAUUCUCCUACAACAACAGCUAUCAACAAAGUCUUAAGAUGGCACCGUUCGAGGCACUGUAUGGUCGUAAGUGCAGGACACCUUUGUUUUGGAAUCAGACAGGAGAAACUCAGGUGUUUGGUACAGAUGUGCUUAGACAUGUGGAACAACAAGUGCGGACUAUUCGGGAUAACCUGAGAGUUGCUCAGUCUCGUCAUAAAAGCUAUGCAGAUACACGUAGGAGAGAACUGGUUUUUGAAGUGGGUGAUUAUGUCUACUUGAAAGUAUCACCAAUGAGGAGUGUGAAGAGGUUUAUAUGAAGGGAAAGCUAGCUCCAAGGUAUGUGGGUCCGUUUAAUGUUUUGCAAAGGCAUGGAGAAGUAGCAUAUCAGUUAGAAUCGCCUGAAAGUUUAUCUGGGGUGCAUGAUGUGUUCCAUGUGUCACAACUUAAGAAGUGUUUGCGUGUACCUGAGGAGCAAAUACCAUUGGAAGAGCUUUCUGUUAAAGGUGAUCUCACUUAUGAAGAGUAUCCGGUUGGAGACAGCUGAGAGAGUCACCAGAAGUCGGGUCAUCAGAAUGUGCAAAGUGUAGUGGAAUCGGUAUUCAGAAGCUGAGGCAACUUGGGAAAGAGAGGAUGAUCUGAGGAAAUCAUACUCAUAUUUGUUUGAGUAAGCACUGCUCAAUCUCGAGGACGAGAUUCUUUUAAGGGGGGUAGAGUUUGUAACACCCAAAAUUUUGAUUUCAAUUAAUAGGAAUUAAUUUGAUUUAUUUAAGUAUUUUUGUGAGCAUUUGAAUCUAGCAAAUAAAUAAUUUGGUGAAAAUUAAAAUUCAUCAUAAGUUUAGAAACAUGAUUUUACAUUCAUGGUGGAGCAUAGUUAUUUUUGUACUCUUGCUCUGUUUUUAUUUUAAUUGUUUUUGUUUUAAAACUCCUUUGGAAAAAGAAUUGAAAAAGAAAAUAAAAAGAAAAGGGGGAAGAAGCCCAGCCAGCCCAGUCCCUUUUUCCCCCCGCAGCCAGUGCUUUCCCCUCCCCUGGCCAGUUUUUCUUUUCCCCCGCAUCGCGCAAAGGCCCACGGUGUGGCCCAGUGCUCCCCGCAGCCCAGCCUGCUUCCAGCCACCGGGCCAAGGCCCAAACCGUGCGCAGCUCCCUCCUCCCCCUUUUAGUCUCUGGCACCGGGGUCCCACGUGUCGGCGCCCUCCUCCGUCUUCCUCGCGUCGAUAUCAAACCGGACACCGUCGAAGGCAAGAACGCCCACCCCGAUUUCCAGGAUUUCUUUCACCUGAGCGUUAACCGAGUCCUUUUAAGCCCUGUGCUCACCCUUGUAAACCCCUUUUUCCCAUCUGCACGGUCUAGCCAAGCCCUAGCCGUCCCGACGCGGUUUCUCAGAUCUCGCCGAACUCCAAAAUCGAGCCGCCACCUCGCACGCCAUCUCCGCUGUCUCUCGGACCCAACCAAGCGCAUAAACGGGAUCGCGGUGAGCUCCUCCUCCGCCUGGUGCUUUCUCUUUGUCCCCUAGCGCUUGAAGUCGCAAGAUCCGCUAACUCCGGCGAGCUCCGGGGUGGCAUCCAAGGCGUCCGCCGUGGAGCUCGCCACCGGCCGGCCGCUUCCUCCCCUGAGCGAGUCUCAGCCGUAGAUCGUGAAAUCAAGCGCUUGGAUUAGAAGAUACCCCUUCGGGGUAACUUUUGCUAAAGAGCCCCUAGGCAAUUCCAUAUUAGAACCCGCCGUUCAAAGCGCUUUCCCGAUUUUACGCCUUUUAUUUUGGAAAACGUAUUCUUCAUCGGUUUGAAUUGGAAUACGCUUUCUACUAUUUACAAGUUUGCCACUGAUUUUAUAAUGCUCAUAAAAUAUUCAUUUUAAAUCCGAUUUGGUCCAUUCAAAUUGCGUUAGGUUCGUAUUUUCAAGCUCUAUAUGUUAGAGGAAUUAUUUUUCUGUUUUGAAACUUUUUAUUUUCGCAGUAGCAUUUAAUUAAUUAUUUAUCUAUAGGAAAUCUUAGAAAAUUCAUAACUUCCACGUUUUAAUUCCGAUUUUCGUGAACUUUACGUUUGUGUGAUCGUAGCGCUGCGUAGAAUAUUUUUAUAAACUUUUAUAUUUGAUUUACCACUGGUUGGUGUAAUGUUCUAAUUAUAGCUUGUUUGCUUUGUGUAUGAUUGUCUACAUUGGAUUGCGUGUUGUUGAUUGAUGUUUGGGAAUAGACGGUGAGCCGUACGUUGGUGACCAAGACCCAGGCUUUUGACGACCAGCAGCAGGCUCAGGAGAGCUUUGAUCAAGGCAAGUAUAACUUGGGACUAUCCUUGUUACCUAUACACAAUCAGUAUAACAUUUAUCAUAUGCAUGUGUCCACCUUGAUGACCUUAGCAAAAUCAUAGAUGAUUGUUAUCCUGAAUUUCUUGUUACCUACUUGAUAUGCAUUUGAAGUAGUUAUGCUAGUGCUUGAAGUAAUCCAUGAUCUUGUAAGAUGAUUAAUAGCUAUGCAAUGAACGUAAAAGGAUGACAAAUAACUAUAUGAUAUCUUGUCUGUACGUGAUCACCCGGGACAACAGUUCAACCAUGAGGGCUAUAUGGCUCUGGCUUUAGCUCAGUAUGAGAACCUUUUUCUAGCUUGUUAGCAGUUACCUUAAAUGGCGUAAGAAUGGCUAGACACGUUGGGUAUAGUGUGGCCUCUGUCCGUGUGUAUAGGCUGCGGGUUAUGUGCCAUGGAAGGGGGGCUCUAUAUGUGCCUGCCGAGUGAAUCUAAUGGCCCUAACUUGUUAGACGAAACCUUUGAAAGGCUUCAUAGUGAUCCCUGCCGACCUCUCUUGGAAGGGGGUUAAGAGAUUAGCUACCUCGGGCGAAAGGGUAAAUCAUGACUCAUGGGUAAAGAUGUACAACCUCUGCAGAGUGUUAAAAACUAGUAUACUAGCCGAGCUCACGGUCAGGAGCGGCCUUGGGGACAUCUACAUUAAGAUGAUGAGCUUGUUAUGUUAUUAUGUUCAUUUGAUUAUCGUUUAUGCUAAGAUUUAAUUAUGCUUACAUUUGAUCAUGUGAUUAUCGGAUUAUUUAUGCUACCUUGAUAUUUGCUAUAUAAUUAAGAACAUGCUAUCCACUAUUAAAAGCUAAAUGCAGUCAAACCAAUGUCAACUUUUUGAUCCUCAUGAACCCCUGGUUAUACUUGUUGAGUAUGAUAUGUGCUCACUCUUGCAAUCUCCCAACACCCCAGGUUAUGCUAAUGAUGAUGAUUGGAAUGAGGACUAUCGCUAUGAGUAUUAGGUUUGAAGUCAACCAGUCAAUGUUUGUCCCUGUGUGGAGCUUCCGUCGAGAGCGUUGUUUACUUUAUGCUAUCAUUUUUGUAUGAGACUAUGUGAUUUGUUAUUGUUCCGCUAUGUAAUAAACACUGCAAUGGUACAUUUGAGAUUUGUCUAUUUAUGUGUGCGACUGUUUAUGGGGCACAUAUGAGUCUUUUAUGCAUCCUAUUUUGUUCUUAAAAUAUGGGUGUGACAGUCCUUAGACCUGAGAUUGUCGUAUGUUCUCAAGAUGUGAAACGACCUACUUAGGAACUAUUAAACGCUAGUCCGUAACAUGGUAGUUAUAAAGGUGGUCUUUGAGUUUGUCAAGAAACAUGCUGUGAGACAUAGAUAAUCAAGAUGAAACCUACCCCUCUCUAUGUGAGAGAGAUAUCACCAGAUCACUCAAGUGAUUGGAUCAACAAAUGUAUGGUCGUGCUUGGGUUAAGUGUUAAUCCACGAGUUGAACAAAAUAUCGUGUGGCAAGGGAAUAACAUGCAUGUGUUUGUAGGGGUUCGUCUGAUAUGAUCUUUGCGCGUGUAUAAGAGUUAUCACGCCUUGCUAGAGGCCACUGUCAACUAUUGGACGAGAAGGAGUACUCAGCCCAUGUCUAUAUGUACGUGAGCCCAUAGGGUCGCAGGCUUAAGGGGCCAGAAGCCUAAUUCAGGUUGGACCCGAAUUAGACAAGGCUUAGGGUUUUCUAAUUGGGCCUCCAGCUCAGGACUGAUUAGGGGACGCCUAUAUAAGAGAGGGAGGGGGCCCGAUCAGGGUUAACUCAUGCCAUUAGGCAGCUGCCGCCGCUCACCCACGCUCACGCCUAUUGCUCCUCGCGGACCUAGCAGUCUGGAGGUGCGAUGCUUCUUCCCCGCAUGUGGGAGAUACCUCGGAGGUGUUGCAUCUAGAGCACAAGGACGAACUGCACGAGAGGGAUUGAUGUGGUGGACGACCAGACAACUGCACGACACUGCUACUAUGCGCACGACUACAUCAAGUCGCUUCCGCUGCACUUACGCGUCUAGUGGUAUUCCCGUGAUCUAUAACUAGCAGUUGAUCCUAUUUUAUAAGGUCAAAAUUUUUGUUUCCUGGCAAGCAUAGCGUCUUCAUAAUCCUUCAUUCAAUUGCUUAUGCAUUCCAUUUUGGUCCAAUAUAUGUUCACUCUACAUUCCUAUUUCCUUUUCAUGAAUCCACAAUGUCAUUGCCCACUUGUGGUUCACUCUCUUUAUGAACUGUAAGAGAAAAAUCAUUAGUUUUUGGUGGCUAUUUUAGUUUGAUUGUAUCUUCUAAGGAAUGAUCAUGAGCAACCAUCAUAGGUUCUGUUUUUAUCUCUUUUUAGUCUCUUGAAGGAUAUUCCCCAUACUAGAAUAAUGCUGUGAAAUGUUCCCAGUGUUGUGAGGAAACAAUUUACUAUGCCGAGCCCACGCCUUUCUAAGUUCUUUAAUACCACCAUAGAGGUCAACAAACUGUGAGCAGGAAAACAAAUGAGGCAUGCAUAUAUAGUAUAUAGGAGACAAUGUAUUUUAGGGUGCAUUUGAUAUAGGGUAAAAUGGGUGGCCUAAGCUCCCCAACUGCAACUGGGCCUGUUUGAUUUUUUGGCCCAGUUUGCGGCCUAGCUUCGUAGCUGCAAAACACACUCCCUCUCCUAUCUCCUAGGGAAUGCUCCUAGGGUUCAUUUUUUGGGAGCCAGGCUUUCUCCAUCCUCAUGCCAGACCCUAAAACUUCCUCCUGCGCUCCACCUCAGCAAAACCCAUUGCCUAUAUAUGGCGCCCUCCUCCCUUGCUGCCUUCUUCUACUUCCUUGUUCCCCGUCUUUUCCACUGUGCACGUUGAGUGACCGGAGGAGUUGGUGCGGUGGUGGUGUGACGUGGUGGGCUUCAUCUCUGAGCUUCUUCUCAAUUAGCGAGGACCAGAUCCGGUUGGCGACGAAGCUGGUGGUACUCUUGCCGGGCUCCAUACAAGCGGUCAUCUUCCCCCUUCAUCUUCUUCCUCCUUCGUUGGUGUGAAUGCUAUCGGUGUGGUGGAUCUGUGUCGCAUGGACUUGACCUACUACUGCUUGUUUGUGACUUCGUCGACUCCCUCGAGGUGAAAUCCCCCCAAAUCCCCUCUGAUUUGAUUAUAGGGUUUACUGUUUGGUCGUUCUGCUUUAGGAUUUGAUGUGUCAGGUUACUUGUUAGGGUACAUGAUGCUUGUAGUGAUCAUAAUAUUAUUUUGUUAUUAUGUUGCCUGAUGAUUUUUUCUAUCUUUUUGCUGAAUUGUUCACUAUUUGAUGGUCAAUGAUGAAAAUGUCCACUUUAUGAUGCAAUAUUGUUGCUUAAAUGGUCGAUGCUGAUUCUGUCCAUUGCACUGGAUGCAUUUUGUUUAUGCAACCAUGCUCCUUUUUAACUGAAUGUCUGCACUAUAUGUAGAGGCCAGCUAGGGUCUACUUAGUCUGAGUGUUGUCUUUGAAUGUGGAAUGCAUGUAGAUGGAACCUUCUAGGAACUGAGAAAUGAUAGCCAGGCAAGCAACUUCCUUGGUUGUGGUUAUGCUUUCCUUUGUGAUGAUUGGACUUGAGCAUGUCCCUUAUGGUCCUAGGUCUUUAGCACAAUAACAUAUGCAAUCUACCCUCCAAAUGAUCUAUAACAACAAUGAUGCUGAGUGUUCAGCUAUGUUGCGUAUGACCAAAGCUCCUUUUCUUGCACUGUGCAAGCACUUUAGAGAUAGAGCCCUAAUUAAAAAAACAAGUGGCUGCCCUAUUGAGGAACAAGUUGCAAUGUUUCUGCAUGUUGUUGGUCACAAUCAGAGGUUCAGGGUGGUCCACUAGUCAUUUAGAAGGUCCAUUGAGACAGUGAGUAGAGUCUUCCACCAAGUGAUCUAUGCUAUGGGUGAGCUUAGGAAUGAAAUGAUAAAACCUCCAAGCACUGCCACUGUUGGUAUUUGUAAUACACAUAGAAUAAUCAUAGAGAAUGAUCCACAAGCAUAUGGAUACCAUUAUAGCUUUCACUCAGAGGUUUUAAAUAUCAUAUCCACAGGGAACCAUGUAAAACUAACUAUGAUCUAACUCAACAAAAGGAGUGAUAACUAGAUGGAGGUGGAUGAUAACUAAGAAUAGCAACAAGAUUAGGAUAAAUAGGAGCAUAGAGAGGAUAACUAUGGGUCCUCUACUUCCAACUUGGGUAAACUAUGCUUUCUAUUGUCCAACUUCAGCGGAUGUCUUAUAAAGAACAAAUGGAAUUUCUCCUCUACAUGCACUAAUAAACCUAUCAAAUUGUAUUAAUUAGAUGGUGGGCUAUAGAGGACUCAAUAGGUCUGUCGCACCCACGAUCUACCACCAAAAUUCAAAAAAUAGGGUAAUUUUAUGAUUAACCUAAGCCCAAGCACCAUGCCUACACUUAAGAUUAAUUCUCUACUCCCUCCAGUGCAAGAAUAAAGCACUCAAAAGAGUCACAAAUAAUUGAACAAUAUAAGCAAAGUAACUUUUAUCAAAACUUGAUUACCAGAGAAAUCUCGAAGACAAGCUCAAGUAGAACUUGGAUCCGCUAAAGUACAAGCCGUAGAGGGAGUACCGAUAGGCCGACACCUCCUUCAAACUCUUCCCUCACUCUCUAUCUCUCUAUUUCUAUUCGUAAGACUUGAUCUUAUGGAGAUCUAAUCUUCUCUUGAUGGCUAGCUCUAGUAGGUAGAUCCAUUCAUGGGACCCCUCUCUUGAUCCUAGCAGAAGUUAGGGUUUUGGGACAACUAUAGAGUGGAGGGGGGCAGGGGUCUCCUUAUAUAGCUUGGUGGGAUGAACGUGAGCCCUUGGCUCAAACCAACUUGAAGGACGGCGUAGAUGCAAUCUAAGAAGGUGAUGAAGGAAGCUUCUAGAAGUAGGAGGUGAGGCGGCUUAGUGGUAGGCCAGCCAGCUAUAGGCCUAGGUUGGCUAGCCCACUUUCGUGGCCAAAUGGGCCCAUCUUUGCUAGUUUGCCUUCUAGUGCCUUCUAGAGCCUUCCCACAUAAUUUUCCUACUGGAAUUUUGUCAUUUCUUUGACAAUUAGAUCCCUCUUGGUGGUUUCCUGGAUAAAUCUUGUAGAUAUCAUAGAUUUACCAAAACUCUUGCAAUUUAUUAGUUUAAACCCUAAAUAUUUAUUGGUGAUCUCAAAUAUGUCCCUAUGCAUGUUUAUUUAACUAUAAAAUGUUGACGUUAACUACCACCAGCAAGCUCCUCCAAGCUUAACCUUUGCUAGUCUUUUAGCAAAACUUAACUUUAGCAAUGGAUCAGGAGUUUUAAGACCUUUGAAAACAUUGUAGCAACUCCUCAAAAUUACACAUGCUUCCAAACAAAAUUCUCCUCUAGAUUAGAAUAAAUUGAUCUAACCUUCAAACUUACCCAUAUUACGUUUAACUAUGGGGCUUCUUAGCCUUCACUUGGGUCUUGAGCAAGUGAAAGAUAGAAUAAUCAAGUUAGCACUAUGUCUCAAGCUCUUUGUUUCACCAUUGUUCCAGAGUUUUUGUAAGUUUUUAAAAAUAAAACUUGGAGGUUCUAUUGUAUGACACUCUCAAGGCUCUUAAUAUUUGUGGUAUUUAUGGAUCCUCGCCAAGCCAAUAAAGAUGUUAUGCCUUUUCUCUUCCUACUAAUGUAUUUAUGGAUCCUCACCAAGUCAAUAAAGAUUUUGAAACACAUGUUGUUUGUCCAGAGCUUUAUUGUAUUCCUUCUAUGCUAAUGAAAAGAUGGUGUUGAGAUUAUUUUAGAAUAGAUUUUAUUUAUCAUGUUCUAUACAUGCAUGGCUCAAGGUAAAUAGUAACUUGCAGCAAAAGUAAAGUGAAUGAACAUUGAUCCCCCAAGGCUAUAUAAUCAAACUCUUUGCCUCCUUCAUGGAGCAAUCCCAAAACCUAAUUCAUAUUCCUUUGUUAGGAUCAAGAGAGGGGGUCCUAUGAAUGGAUCUACCUCCUAGAGCUAGGCAUCAAGAGAAGAUUAGAUAUCCAUAGGAUCUAGUCUUAUGAAUAGAAAUAGAGAGAUAGAGAGUGAGUGAAGAGUUUGGAGGAGGUGUCUGCAUGUCACUACUAUCUCUACAGCUUGUACUUCGGCGGAUCCAAGUUCUACAUGAGCUUGUCUUUGAGAUUUCUCUAGUAAUCAACUUUUGAUCUAAGUUUACUUUGUUUAUAUUGUUCAAUUGUUUGUGACCCUUUUGAGUGAUUUAUUCUAGCAACUAGAGGGAGUGGAGUAUUAAUCUUAAGUGUAGGUUUGGUGCUUGGGCUUAGGUUUAUCGUAAAAGUCCCCUAUUGUUGAUGGUAGAUAAGUACUCUUUUUAACCAUCAACAUAGCAUGAGAAAGGACUAAAAUUAGAAUACCAUCUAGCUAUAGGGGUUAUUACUAAUGGAAUUCCAUAAGUUUUGGUGAUUAUCUAUUUCUGCAGGGGUUAUCGGAAUAAUAACAAAAGCAGGUCCACCUGUCAGAUUUACAUAGAGAGAAGACCUGAACGUCAACUCUAGAACAAUCUAGAAGACUCAGGAAGACAUGCCCUGAAAGCUAGGGCCCACCUGCCAUAGGGCAAGGGCGGGCGCCUAGGGGGACAGGGGUGACCGCCUAGGGGUAGAAGCCAAUCAGCUUCCACCUUGUGGAUCCUGCCUCCACCGACUUUGAGGAUUAACCUUAAGCACACGUUUAAGUCGGUUUGAUCCAAGGGCUAUGGUUCCUCCUAGGGGGUGGAAAGAUUAGUACCACAUCACUAGUUCAAGGAAGAGGAGGGGUCAGAUGCCCCUAUAAAUACAAGCCUAACCCCCUGGAGGAGAAUCAUUAUGAGUUGUAGAGGCGCCCCUCGAAUGGAUGACCUCUCUUCUCUAGAGAAUUAGGGCUAGACAUUCCAAUAUAGUAGAGUAGUUCUAGUCGGGAGUUAGGGAGAGCGGAGUUAUGCUUCGGUUCUGCAGAAGUCUUUAGCGUUUUGGUAUGUUUUCAUAUCUCUUCUUUGUAAGACUUAUGCUUUAAUAUAUUAUCUUCUCUAUUUACUUUAUGCCUAUUUAUGAUUAGUGUAGUUGUUAUAUCUUGGUAUGGGAUCUCCGCUCAUAUUGAGUGCUCUUGUUAUUCAAUGUAACUAGAGUAGUAAAUGCUAGUGUAGACGUGGUGUCUAGGCUAUAGUUUACCUGAGUUUGCACCCAAUCCCACAGAUAGUUGUGGUAGCCCCAGGGGUGACAACCCUGUCUUUGUAAUCCACCACAUUCGGGUUGGUGUUUCGUAGAGCUUUUGGCAGCCUGUUGACGGUUCUUAAGUAUCAAUUUUAAUUAUCAAAUAAACAUAAGAAAGGACCAAUAUGCAACCAACACCUAGAAUUAGGGUUUGAUCUCACAGAAUUCCACGAGUUUUGUUGUUUAUCUGUUUCUACAGGGGGUUAUCAGGAAAUAAGGAAGAAAGGCCCACAUGUCGGGAUUACAUAGAGAUAUCAACGCACCGUGCGAUUUUACACCAUCUAGAAGACUCCAGAAGCCACGGGAAGAAGACGGAGGCCGAAAGGGGCCAGGCCCAGGGCGCCCACCCUGGUGAUCUGGGCGCCCGCCUCCUGCUGGAUUCGAUUCAGGACUCUCUUCGCUCGGGAUGUUCCACCGACCUAUUGGAUCAAGGAAAACAUAGUACCACCUCGCCUAUCGACCCAAAAACGCAUAGAAGGGGGGGACUAUAUAAGGAGACCCUCCUGGCCCCUGGAGAGGACAUGAAGAAAUUAUCAUAGAGACUGAGGGGUGCCCUCGAAGGAAAACCUCUUCUCUAAUUAAUAUUUCUUUUUAGGCUUAGCAACCAAUGUAAGGUAGAAAUAGAUCUUCUAGUUUCUACUAGAUUGAGAGAGAUAGAGUGGAGGUGUAGAUUGGAGGAAGCCCGGCCUGUCGGUGUCUACUCCAAGCUUGUACCUGCGGGAUCAAGUUCUCCUAACCCGAAGCUUGCUCCUAGGAUUCUUCAGUAUUUCGACUUCUAAAUUCUAGUAAGUUCUUGUUUUAUUGUUCUUAUGGUUUAUGAGUUUACUUUAAUCUCAGUAAUCAUUGCUGGCGUAAACGUGGUGUUUAGGCUGGGGUACUCAUAGAUAUUCCCUGACUAGCUGGACCGUGGUAGUAGUGAGGAACGUGACAAUUCCGAGUUACCUUUGUAGAUCACAUCUCGUUAGCAGGAAGGAUAGGGUUUAUAGGUGCGGGUUGAACAUCCUUUGUGGUGUCUAGAUUCCGUUAGCCUCCCCAUUAGAACAGUAGAUCAUCCUUACCAAGGUUAGAAGGAGACUACGGUUGCAGUGUUCUCUAUUUAUCACUCACAUCGAAAGACAUUCUUUGUGCCUAAAGGUUAUUAGUAAUAGACCGGUUAGUCAGAUGCACUCUUUCUCCUAGUGGUAAAAAAAUAAAUACGAUACUCUGGAUAAUUUCCCGGGUGAAGUGCUCACCGAUAUCCGUGCGCUUGCGGAUCAAUUCAUUAUUGCGUUUCCAAAUAUCAACAAGCAUUUCUGGCGCCGUUGCCGGGGAGAAAGACGGUUGCUGAGAUAAUAUAACACCCUAAAAUUUCUAUUUCGGGUUGUUAAUAGAAAACAAUAAAUAAAAUGAAGGUUUUAAAUAUAUUGAUAAAAAUUUUCCAAUAAUAGUUUAGAUAUAUGGUUAUCAAAGAAAAAUGAUGCUUUUCAAAUAUUGUGGAAUUAAUUAGACGAGCUUUAGUUGAUGUGAAGCUUGCUUGUUGCUUGAGUUAGUUGUUUUUGUAUGUGCUAAGUUUCAAAAAUGCGUUUAGACGUUGAGAGAUCCUUCCGAGAAAUUUUCUAGACUUUUUCGGGCUUUUUCUCAUUUUUCCUAGAGCAAAAUCUAAUUUUUAGACGCUCUAAAAUACUUUUUCAUGGGCUCCAAAAACUUUAUUUGGAUUCAAAAUCUCCCAAUCUAUCGCUACAAAUUUUUCUUGGAUUUUUUGGAAUUUUAAAAAUAUUUUUCAGAGAUUUAAAAUGAUUUCAACUUUUUCUGGAAUUAUUUUUUUAAACUGAAAAUGACUUUAUAAAAUCCCGAAAUUAAGAAAUUUCGAAAAGUCUCCAAACCCUAGACCUAUAUAUAUGCCGGUGUUCCUCUCGUCACGCUGAUCGCAGAUCUAAAAACGUCAUCCCGAGCCGCCACCUGUAGCUCCCUCCAUCCCUCGCCGAAGUUCGCAAAAGCUAGGUUUCCGGCGAACUCUUCGAUGAGCUUUUCUGGCAAAACCAUCGCGUUCCGGUAUCAACUAGUACCACCAAGAGGUAGCCCCUCGUCGUUCUCUUUGCCGAGGUAUACUUGUUUAUACAAAUCCAUUACCGUUUGACGUGUUUCCCAUCUCAUCUUCUUUAUCUCCGGCGAGGUUCCACCAUGGCUGAACUUUCUUUUUUCUUCUUCCGGCCAACCUCGCUGUCCUUUCUCCUCCAGGCCCGCGGUGCCCACCCACACGAUCUCACCUCGCCCAGCGCCCUUCCUCGGCCUCCCCUUAGUGUGCGCCUGCAGCAUGGGCAGUAGCGCCGCCGGCAUUUUUGCCAUGGCCGACGACCACUUUUGGGGAGCUGAGCACCUCACCCCGGCCCCACGCGUGGGACCGCGCCGCGCCCUUGCUAUCCGGCCGAGCCGCUCAGGCUCCUGUCCGAGGCCCCUCCCCUGCGUGCGAGCUGCAGCUGCAACAAAUUUUUCUCCAUGGCCAGAACACGUUCGAGAGGAUGCAGAUGACCCAAGGUACAAGAUGCACUUAUUUACAGUUUUGCCAUCCAACGAGUUUAGUUAUAUUUUGCACGUUUUAAGUCUGUUUCACCCUCAUUCAGUUGCGUUAGUUUUGUAACAUGGUAUUCUAUGGAGUAGUGCUAACCCUUAUCAUGUCACUCAAUUAUAGAUUUAUUAAUUUAAAUACAAUUUGUUUAAUAUUUAUUUAAUAACAUUCUAAUUAAAAGCCACCUAGAGUUGCAAUUUGGUUCUUGUUGUAUUGCGAUCAUGUCGGUGUAAACUACAUAUUAGAGACGCUGUUUUCUAUGUCUUUUUGAAUAUGCUUAAUUUGUUUAAUUUUUAUUAAGAGCCCUUUUUAAUUAAUUAAAAACAUUUAGGGUUUACACUCCAAUCUUUUUAUAAUCAAAUAUUAACUUGAUUAAUAUUAACUUAAAUGUUUCUUAAUUAUAGUUUAUUUAGUUAAAAAUGAACCAUGUAAUUAAUUUGUUUAAUAUUUAACUAUUGUUCUUUGAAAUUAAAAGCAAUAAAGGUUUAUAUACCGGUCUUUCAUAAAUUAAUUAUAAUAUGAUUAAUGUCAACAUUAAUAUCUUUUCAAUAAUGACCUCGUUAGAUCAACUUCAAUGCAUAUAAUGAUUCGAUUAGUCGCUCUCACAUGUUCUAUAUUUUUUGAAAACUAUAAAUAUUUAUAUGGCUUAAAUGGUAUAUAAUUGUUUAUAAUUAGAAUAUGACUAAAGUUUAACCUCAACUCUUAUAAUUCUUUAUAAUUUGGUCAAUUCAACUUUGAGUUAUUUCUUUGAAAAGUCUAUCACCUUCUUUUAUUAAAUAAAAUACGACCAGCGUAUAGUCGUCUUCUCCGUUACUCUUCGAACCUCGAAAGUCGUGUCCGUUUAACGAUAGCCCCGUUCUCAAUCGUUCUUGCGUUGUCUCGAUCGUAGCAACAAGUCGUGUCGUUUAGUGCGCUCUUUCUAAGCUUUUCUUUGAUUGUCGUUUAUUCUUAGUCGUGAUUGCUGUUUGUCUGUUUGUGUUGCUUGGUUGCUACGAGUAGAAGAAGCGUGGUUCGUCAACAGUGAAGAUCAGGAGCUGAGGACCGACAGUCGAAGCAGAAGAUAGAUAUCAGAGGAUAGAAGCCAAAGAAUUCUGAGCAGUUAUACACUGGGAAUAAAGGCAAGUGCACCCUUUGAUCAUAUUGUACCUAUGAACUUUAAAUACAUUUACUUUCCAUUGCAUGUGUCUUAAUACUGCAAACCAUAAGGACCUGACUAGUCUUCUACUAUAUUCCUUGUACUCCUGGGUUUUAUACAUGGGUAGUAUAGUGAACAAUAGAUAUGCUUAGCUGCUUUGCUCAUCUAUUCCAUAUAAUAAAUGAAAGUAAAUAAUCUUGCCUACUGAAUUCUUCAAUGAUGAUUAAUGAUUAAAUGGUGAACAAUGGUCACUUCGGUGAUGGAGAUGUUGCGGUGCUUGCGAGCAUCGUGUUUUGGUUGAGGACAGGGGGAGCGGGUACUGUUGGUGGUCCGGUUUGCCGGGCGUACCCGUCUCUGCUCUCCGUAAGGACUUAGUCAGGGAGCGGCCCCCUGGGACUUACAGUGCAGCUCCAAGCUAUAUGGCUCUGGCUUGACUAAUUAGCAGGACCUCCACUAGUAGGGUGUUACUUUCCGGGUAGGCAUGAGGAAGUAACUUGGGUAAUGAAUAUUAAGUUGUCGGUUGAUCGGUACGCCAUGGCUAUGGGUAUCGACUGCCGAGCGCCCCGGCAAAAACUCGCGAGUGGCAUCCUAUUAGUUGGACCCUGUGAAAGGUCUCGUAGUGAGACCCUGCCUGCUCACCUUGGUAGUGUUUUGGGGAGUCGCGACCCCGGGCAAACGGGAAUCACGACUUGGAGUGAACGUGCACACCUCUGCAGAGUGUAAAACUGAUAUAUCAGCCGUGCUCACGGUCACGAGCGGCCCAGACCCUCACUUGAUGAGCAAAUUGGAUUCAUUGGAUACUUGGAGAUGGAACUUGGCGAGGUUGCUACCUCGUGUUUUGGCGGAAUGGCUAUUCCGUAUUGGUAGGAUUGCUAUCCUGUGUUAAUAAUUGGGGUUAAUCCCUGGACUACUACAAUUAUUAGAAUAGUCUCUUAAAAGAUGCUAAUUAUUACUUACACUAAUUAAGGGUUGGGUUUAUGCUACUCAUACUUAGUAAUAGGUUGUUCUAAUAAUAGUCUUAAUUAAAAGUGAUCAACUAAAAUGCUACCGCAGUCAAACCAAGUCAGCUUUACCUUGUUUUAAGUCUUGCAUGUCAUUAUUUUUCCGUCUGUGCUUGCUGAGUUCGACAUGAACUCACCCUUGCUACUUUCCCCCACACCCCAGUGUGUAGUAAAGUGCUGCUCAGAAGAAGGAUAAAGAUGUCAUGAAGUUUUCUAGAAGUAUAUGAAAAGUGCUUGGCGUACGGAGCCCCCAGUCAACCGUCCCUGAGAAGAAUGGAGCCUAAGAAGUUUUAGCUACUGUUUCCGCGUACUUUGAUGUUUGUAAGUGUUGUUAUAAAUAUGUUUUCCGCUAUAUAUAACAUUGUUUCUGAUAUUUCUAUUCUUUUGUUAUAUGUGUGGACUUCCUAGGCACACAUAUGACGACUCUGGUUUUCUUUUAAAAGCCAGGGUGUGACAGAUAACCUGAGUCUUACUAUUAGCUUGUAUCUAUACUUUUAUCUUUUCUUAUCUUUUACAUUCUUUAUUUAUUUUCUUUAUUCUUACCUUAUGGAAAACCAAAAUUCUAAAUCGAUCCAUGAGUCUGCAAUCCCUUUAGCAACUGACCUUUUACCAUGGGAAUCAUCACAGCCUAUCCAAACAUCCCAGUAUAAGUUAAGUUCUAGGUUGAUUGCCAUGAUUCAAAACCUAUCUUUUUUGGGAAAGGAAGACGAAAACUCUUACCUUCACAUUAGAGAUUUUGAGCAAACAUGUGAUUGUCUUCGCAUUGAAGGCAUUUCUGAUAAGACUUUACGUUGGAAGCUUUUUCCUUUUUCUCUAAGAGGAGAAGCUAGACAAUGGUACAGUUAGAAGGUAAGUCAACAACAAGGUGAAUGGGGAGUUUUACAAGCCAACUUUUGUCUAGAUUUCUAUUCCCUUGACCGUAUAGCCGACCUUAGACUCGAAGUCCUAUCUUUUAAACAAAAAGAUAAUGAAACUUUGGGAAAAUCCUGGAAACGUUUUUCUGAUCUUUUAGAAUCUGACCCAAACCUUAAUCUUGAAGACCCUGUUCUCUUAUUUCACUUUUUUCGAGGUCUUUAGAAAAAUCACAAACAAAUGCUUCACACAAUGUCUAGAGGUUCUUUCUUUCGCAUCCCUGCUGAUGAAGCUAGAGUGAUCCUAGAUAGAAUCCUAGAAGCUGAGAUGGAUAAUACCCUUCAUGAUGAAACCUACGAAGCCGAAGUAGACACUCUGCCAAAUUCUUCAUCUACUUUAGCUAUCCCAAGUUCUGAGCCACAAGAGGAAGAAAUUCCACUACCGGACUUCAUGCUGGAUAUAGAAUCCGAUCUUUUUGCCGAUUUUGGAAAUAUUUCAAACUACCAUUCUAUUGACAAACCCCAAAACGACCAGUUUAGCAUUUAUUUACCAAGUGAAUAUCAAUUGAGAGAGCUUAUCUCAGUAAUGAGUAGCGAAUGGUUGGAGGAAUCAGAGCUUUCCUCUGAUGUGAUCCGUUUGGACACACCCUCUAUAACUAUACGCUGUGCUUAUAAUUCUGAUCGAUUUAAUGCUCUUUAUAAUCUUGUUGUGGGGAUCAACAUCAUGUCUGAAUCUUUUGCACUUAAACUAUUUAAAAAUCUUGUCUUAACCCCCACAACAAAGGUCAUGAAGGAAUCUUCGGGACGAUUAGUCCCCAGUCUUGGAAUUAUUAAUGUCCUACCUCUUACGGUAGAAGGCUCCAUGGUUCAUUUGAACUUCUAUAUCUUUGAUACAUGGGACUUCGACCUGUUGAUAGGACAACCUUUUAGAAGACUCCUUUAUGAAGGUCAUACUGGAAAGCUACACAUUUCUUUUGGAAAAACUUUUAAAUUCCCAAUAAUAAUUUCACACUCCUUAAACAAUAAGACCGAGUCAUAUCUUUUGCCUGAUCCUCUGGAGGAAGUAAAGGCUGCAUCUCUUCAGCUUUUAGAUGAACCAGACUUAGAAGAUGAAACUCCUUUCUUCACAGAAGAAGAAGACGAACCUUCCGAGCCUGAACCCUUAGAUGAGUUUGCAGAAACACCUAGACCCCCCAUAGAGCUUAAAACUUUACGACCCGGUGUCGACGAAAGCUGGUCGGCAGUCUACCUUGGGGUAUACCCACGGUAGUAGUUUAUCGGUAGACGGUGCGCAAACUACAAACUCGAUGGUGACGCAAGACUCGGACAAGCUUUUUAUCCAGGUUCGGCCGCCGAGUUGGCGUAAUACCUACGUCCUGCGUCUGGUUGUAUUGAUUUGUGUUGAGAGAAUCGUAUGUGAUAUGUCCCCUAGGGGACCCCUGCCCCUCCUUAUAUAUCGUGAAGGGACAGAGUUACAAGCAAAGUAUCCUAUUUGGUACAAUAUCUUGUAGCCUUGCGGUGCACGCCGACCAGCCGCGCGCCGUCUUCAUCCUGUGGGCCGAGCCACCUCUGAUGGUGCGGCCCAUAUAGGCCCAUGAGGGUAUAGGGGUUUAUACCCCCACAGCUAGUCCCCGAGCACCAUGUAUUGUGAUGUAACACGCCGUCUUGAGCUUCUUCGAUCAGUGAGGCUUGACGUCUUCAAUAAGCAGGAAAGUCGCCCAAACAGUUGCAACGGUAUUUUGACCAACUCAAAAGACAGUUGAUCAACAUUGACAUCGAAGAAGCAGGUUGUUCGAAGAAUGCAUGGUGCUCUUAAUUAAAAAAGAUUUCUUUCCUGGUGAAGUGUGCCCACUUUACUUUUCUGAAAAGUAUAGUCUUUCAAAAAGCAAGCAUAUUCACCACAAGGUGAAGUGUGCCAACUUAGUCCCCGAGCCUGGUAGUAGGUGACGUAGACACGUGGUGCCAGAGUCAAAAGAAAAGUUCUUAAAGAAAUUCUGAAACUGAGAUGCAUCGCCAGAUGCAUCGUACCGAUGUAGUCCCCGAGCUUGCUGGAAGGCGAAGUAUGAGCCUUGUAGCAAGGUCUAAAAAGUUGAAUUUACCAGUCCGUCUGCAAUUGAAUAGACUAAUCGACCAGUCCCCGAGCAUAUAACGCUCGGUGGUCGGUACAGUCCCCGAAUUCUCAAAUUGGUGGGCUGGUCGACCAGUCCCCGAGCGUAUAGUGCUCGGUGGUCGGUACAGUCCCUGAAUUCUCAAAUUGGUAAGCUGGUCGAACAGUCCCCGAGCGUAUAGUGCUCGGUGGUCGGCACAGUCCCCGAGCACGGCGUAGGGACCAGUGGACAAGUCCCCGAGCGUGGUUGGGAACGUAAACGUGCUCGGUGGUCGGCACAGUCUUCGAGCACAGCAUAGAGAGUAGUCGACAAGUCCCCGAGUGUGGUUGGGAACGUUAACGUGCUCGGUGGUCGGAGCAGUCCCCGGGCACAGCGUAGGGAAUAGUCGACGAGUCUCCAAGCGUAGCUUGUCGACUGGGCCAAACUCCUGAAAAAUAAAUAUAAAGAAUUGGUAGUACAUGAUGUAUAAAUAACCUUUAGAUAAAAAAUCAGUACUAAGAUAAGUUUUAGAUUUUUUGUUAUAAAAUUAGCACGAGUAGUUAAUUCAUCCUAGAGCUUGUACCAGCUCUGGUCUAGCCAACAAUCAGCAUGAGGUGCGGAACCUAGGCACGCGUAGGAUUGUCAGCCACGUCAGAGAGCUACUGCCGACCACCCGGAACGCAGAGGGCGGAUCUCGUGCACGUGUAGGGAGGAGUCGGAGACAGUACCGGCUCUGGAAAGCUCGUGUAGGAGAAAAAACUAGUCGGCUAAGAAUUUGUUUUAAAGAAUAAUAAUAUUAAAAAUAUUAUGCCAAAAAUAAAUAAAAUAUUAGAAGUGUACUUAUCUUUGGACGAAAAUCUGGUCGGUGGUGACAAAAUUGUCUGGCCCUCGAGCUUUUUGACUUGUUGUCAUGACGGUGGUCGCGGUUGUCGUAGCGCCGUUCUCCGCGGCGAUCACCAUUGCGACGUGGCAGUAGUCUGAUUAAGUAGGCCGAGCAGCUUGUUGACAGCUUGGAUGAAUAUGUAUCAAAGUCGUAGACGAUUGCCAUUGUCAACAGGCCGACGAUCGUAUUUGCGCUUGUGAUCUCCGUGCAGGCAUGCUGAUAUGUAUAUAUGUAUAUAUUCGUGACCGUGACAACGGUCCGCUGCUCAUCGUGACGGAAUCCUUGCCGACCACUUGUUUGGCGUAUAUGCCUAUGUUGUAGAUCGUUGGCUUGCAGAGCCGAACAUGCCUCUUGUGAUCUAUUUGAUGUCGGAGUCAAACUCAGAGUCUGCAUCAGCUCAGGUUGGAGUCAAACUCGGCUAUACAGGCCCAAUCUCACACGUGUGGUGCGCCUCGUUGUCGUGCAUGCUGGAUGCUGCUUAGUCUUGCAUAUAGAUUGGAUCUUGUGGCUCGAUGCUGCGUCGAUGCGAGGUUCCUUAGUUGGUUGGAUGUCGUCGAUCAUGAACCAGAUUGGAUCGUGUUAUAGACAAGCUAGCUAGGCAUGAAGGGAUCGGAUCCGGUCAGCAAGGGUCGAGUUGCUUCUUGGUACGCUGCCGCCAGGCUCAAUGACACGUCAAUCAAGAUCUUCACGCUAUAACGUGCUGUCCAAAGAUGCUUGCCUCCGGAAGCGAGUCACCGUGGUUGACGUUGAUGAAUAAAAUUCCCAUCUAGUUCGCCUGGAAGCUGUACGCACACCCCCUACCUGGCGCGCCACUGUCGACGAAAGCUGGUCGGCAGUCUACCUUGGGGUAUACCCACGGUAGUAGUUUAUCGGUAGACGGUGCGCAAACUACGAACUCGAUGGUGACGCAAGACUCGGACAAGCUUUUUAUCCAGGUUCGGCCGCCGAGUUGGCGUAAUACCUACGUCCUGCGUCUGGUUGUAUUGAUUUGUGUUGAGAGAAUCGUAUGUGAUAUGUCCCCUAGGGGACCCCUGCCCCUCCUUAUAUAUCGUGAAGGGACAGAGUUACAAGCAAAGUAUCCUAUUUGGUACAAUAUCUUGUAGCCUUGCGGUGCACGCCGACCAGCCGCGCGCCGUCUUCAUCCUGUGGGCCGAGCCACCUCUGAUGGUGCGGCCCAGAUAGGCCCAUGAGGGUAUAGGGGUUUAUACCCCCACACCCGGUCUUACAUAUGCUUUCCUAAACAAUAAUCUAGAGUUUCCUAUGAUCAUUAGCGAUAAACUCACUCAGGAUCAAACUCUGCGAUUAAUGACCAUUCUUGAGAAACAUCACUCAGUAUUCGGCUACUCACUUCAAGAUCUUACAGGAAUCAGUCCUAUGAUUUGUACCCAUCGUAUUCCAACAGAUCCUUCUGUUUCACCCUCUCGAGAACCCCAACGUAGACUUAAUAACACUAUGAGAGAGGUAGUUAAAAAGGAAGUUAUAAAGUUGCUGCAUGCAGGGAUUAUAUAUCCCGUGCCGCACAGUGAGUGGGUAAGCCCAGUACAAGUUGUGCCCAAAAAGGGAGGCAUGACUGUUAUUAUGAAUGAAAAGAACGAGCUAAUUCCGCAACGCACCGUCACAGGAUGGCGGAUGUGCAUAGACUAUAGAAAACUAAACAAAGCCACGAGAAAGGAUCACUUUCCUUUACCUUUUAUAGAUGAGAUGCUAGAGCGGUUAGCAAACCAUUCAUUCUUUUGUUUCUUAGAUGGAUAUUCAGGGUAUCAUCAAAUCCCGAUCCAUCCUGAUGAUCAAAGCAAAACCACUUUUACAUGCCCAUAUGGAACUUAUGCUUAUCGUAGAAUGUCUUUUGGGUUAUGUAAUGCACCAGCUUCUUUUCAAAGAUGCAUGAUGUCUAUAUUUUCUGAUAUGAUUGAAGAGAUUAUGGAAGUUUUCAUGGAUGAUUUCUCUGUUUAUGGAAAAACUUUUGAUAGUUAUCUUGAAAACUUAGAUAAGGAUUUGCAAAGAUGUGAAGAAAAGCACUUAAUCCUUAAUUGGGAAAAAUGUCAUUUUAUGGUUAGGGAAGGAAUAGUGCUAGGACACUUAGUGUCUGAAAGAGGGAUUGAGGUAGACAAAGCUAAAAUUGAAGUAAUUGAACAACUACCUCCAGCUGUGAACAUAAAAGGAAUUCGAAGCUUUCUUGGCCACGCUGGUUUUUAUCGUAGAUUCAUAAAAGAUAUUUCAUUUAUUGCUAGACCACUUACUCUUUUGCUAGCCAAGGAUGCUCCUUUCGAAUUUGAUGAUGCAUGUCUAACAUCUUUCAAUUUAUUAAAGAAAGCACUCAUCUCUGCACCAAUCAUUCAACCCCCUGAUUGGUCGUUGCCUUUUGAAAUUAUGUGUGAUGCUAGUGAUUAUGCUGUUGGGGCAGUAUUGGGACAAACUAAAGAUAAGAAGCAUCAUGCAAUUGCUUAUGCCAGUAAAACUUUGACAGGAGCUCAACUUAAUUAUGCAACCACUCAAAAAGAGCUUCUGGUUGUUGUCUUUGCCAUAGAUAAAUUUAGAUCUUAUUUAGUUGGAACUAAAAUAAUUGUUUACACUGAUCAUGCUGCACUAAAAUAUUUGCUCACUAAAAAAGAUGCUAAACCUCGCCUGAUUAGAUGGAUUUUAUUACUCCAAGAAUUUGACUUAGAAAUAAAAGAUAAAAAAGGAGUAGAAAAUUCUGUUGCUGAUCACUUGUCUAGAAUGUAUUUUAAGAGUCCACAGGAAACCCCCAUCAAUGAUUCACUCCGGGACGACAUGCUCUACGGGAUUAACAGGUCUGACCCCUGGUAUGCAGAUAUUGUUAAUUUUAUGGUUUCAGGGUAUGUACCACCAGGAGCAAACAAGAAGAAGCUUACUCAAGAAAGUCGUUCACAUAUAUGGGAUGAGCCAUACCUCUUCCGAGUAUGCUCCGAUGGCUUACUCAGGAGAUGUGUGACCACUGAGGAAGGAUGGAAGAUCAUCGACAGAUGUCAUUCGUCACCAUAUGGAGGUCACUAUGGAGCAUUCCGUACACAUUCAAAGAUCUGGCAGUGUGGAUUCUAUUGGCCUACAAUGUAUGAAGACACAAGGUAAUAUAUCAGAAGAUGUGGGCCAUGUCAAAGGCACGGAAACAUAAAUACAAGGGAUGCAAUGCCACUCACCAACAACCUUCAGAUUGAGCUCUUUGAUGUCUGGGGAAUAGACUACAUGGGUCCAUUUCCUCCAUCAAAGAAGUGCGAGUACAUCUUGGUGGCGGUUGACUAUGUCUCCAAGUGGGUAGAGGCAUUACCUUGCAAGCAUGCCGACAACGUCAGUUCAAAGAGGAUGUUUGAAGAAAUUAUAUUUCCAAGAUUUGGAGUCCCCAGAGUAGUGAUAAGUGAUGGAGGAGCACACUUCAUCGACAAACGCUUCAAGCAAUAUCUAUCAAGACAUGGAAUCCGUCACAACGUCGCUACCCCCUAUCAUCCUCAGAUAAGUGGCCAAGCAGAGACUUCCAACAAACAAAUCAAGAAUAUUCUUCAGAAGACAGUAAAUGAAAUGGGAACGGCGUGGAAAGACAAGUUACCCGAUGCACUCUGGGCAUACCGGACAGCAUACAAGACCCCAAUUGGGAUGUCUCCAUACCAAUUGGUGUACGGGAAGACUUGCCAUCUGCCUGUUGAACUAGAGUUCAAAGCACACUGGGCCAUAAAGAGAUGGAAUAUGGACCUAGAUGUUGCUGGAGAUUAUAGAAGAAUGCAACUAUCAGAAUUGGAAGAAUGGCGAGAGAAGGCAUAUCACAAUUCAAAGAUCUACAAAGAAAGAGUCAAAAGGUGGCAUGACAAGAGAAUCAAGAAGGAGUUCACACCCGGAGAUAAAGUAUUACUUUUUAAUUCCAGGGUGAAGCUUUUCGGGCAUGGAAAACUUCGGAGCAAAUGGGAAGGACCAUUCAAGGUAAUCAAUUCAUCAUCCCACGGAGCUAUCACACUUCAAAAUAGCGAAGGUACGUUAUUCAAGGUAAAUGGUCAACGUCUUAAAUUAUUUUUAGAGCCCAAUGAGGAAUUUGAAGAAAUAGACGUAGUCCAUUUUUACCUUCCCAUGGAGAAUUAGAGCCCGACACUUUUGGUCUGAUGGUUUUGGGUCAUAUAUAUAUUUUUCUAAAUAAUUCCGCAUCUAGAAACGCGCUCGGAGAAGUGGGCCCACAGAGGGGCCAGAGAGAGGGCGGGCGCCCAGAUCAAGUGGGCGGGCGCCCAGCCCCUAUUCCCCCUCGGUCCCGACUUUCUCUGUUAUGGAAAAUGCACUUAGGGUGAUCCGAAUAAUCCCUCGGAUGGAAAGUUUCGCACGCACGUCGACGGGAGCAACCCAAACAACCCAUAGAGGCACCCUUUUGACCCCUAUAUAAACAGACCCCUGACCUCAGUUUUCAAACACCAAGCCACCAAGCCCUCUCUCCUUCAAUUAGAGCUUGAUUAGCUCUCCUUCAAUUAGAGCUUGAUUAGCUCUCCUUCAAUUAAAGUUUGAUUAGUUCCUUGCUGCUCCAAUGGCCGAGAAGUACCACGAUGAUUGGGAAGUCCUCCCCUUCAACCUCAACAUGGAGCCUGUGGAAGACCCCGAUGCCCGUGCUCUCGUCCCGGCCAACACAGAGCGAUAGCUAGAAGCCAUGCCAUUACGCCAACGCAGCUCCGCCCAAUCUUACCAUGCUCAACCAGUUCUCACCGCACCGCCACAAUCCCUACUCCUCAAAGGAUCAUCAUCCAAGACAAAGACCACUAUCAAGGUGCCAAUCGGCACAAGGAUCCUUCCACCUAGACCCAAUGAGAGGGUCGUUGGAGUCAAGACCAACCGAAGCGGCGAGAUCAGCAGUAUUCGCUACACUACGGAGGAGGAAAGGCCUUACUUUGAAGGGAUUAGAGCAUCCAAAGUCCGUUUCAUCCCUCCAAAGGUAGCCCCGAAGCACUCUCUCAAUGCUUUUGAGACACCUCCCAAGCGUCGCAAGACUAUAAUGGAUAUUGAUGAGGAAGUUCGUAGGCUAGACAGAAUUAUCAUAGACCUCCAGUCCUCGAUUAACUCCCUCACUAGGCAGCUCUCUAACCACAACACCAUCAUACUAGGCCUUAGGCAAGAUCUUGCCAGUGCCAACAAGAAGAUCAAGAAAUUAGAGCGCCGCUAAGUUAUCUAGAUUAGACCUUGAGGCAAUGCAUCUUAGUCAUUUAUCUUUAAAAUUCGGUUUAGGUUUGCUAUUAUCAUCAGCUUAUUAUUAUCAUCAGUUUGCUAUCAGUCUUUUGUAAUAAAUGCCUCAAGAUCAAUAAAGAGUAUUAUUAUUAUUAUUAUUAUUAUUAUUAUUAUUAUUACUAUUACUAUUAUUAUUAUUAUUAUUAUUAUUAUUAUUAUUAUUAUUAUUAUUAUUAUUAUUAUUAUUAUUAUUAUUAUUAUUAUUAUUAUUAUUAUUAUUAUUAUGUCUUGUGUGUCUCUACUUUAUUUUUGUGCAAGAAAGCAGAAAACAAGUAUGGGGGAGAUCCCCCAACAUGCCAAACACACUCCAACUACACCACUCCACGAUUCAGGUACACACUCUGCACACUUUACACAUACAUAUAUAUUUUUUGGAUUAUGCAGAAUAUUGUUUCCGACAUGAUAAAAUAAAAAGAUUAAAAUAUUUCUAAUCAUGAUUAAUCUCAAUCUAUGAUAUUUCCUGAAAAUUUGCAAUUAUUAUAAAAUCAUUUUAAAACCCUGUGUUACUUAAGUCAAUAUGGAAUAUGUGAUGGUAGAGUAUGAGUUUCUUAUUCUUGAUAUCAUUGUUGCUUGGAGAAUUUAUUUCAAAAUAUUCAAAAUUCUAGCUACCAUCCUCAGUGUUUAUUAUGCCUGAUAAAACUGAAAAUAUUAAUUAUGAUUAUAAAAGCUAUCUACUCUGUAUUGAGUUUGUUCAAAAUGAGUUAGACCCUUGUUGAGAGAUUUAUCAUGCUCCCAAGAUCAAGACAUUAUUUCAGAAAAAUUCACUCUUCCGAAGUAUUAUUGCAUUAGAGGCAUGGGCUAUGCAAAAAUAGAGAUAUUUCGAGGAAAUAAAAAGGAGCAAGUGCUCGACAACCUCGCAGAAAAAUGGACAAGUGUCCAGCAGUAGAAUUAGGGGUACCUCGGUAUCCACUUAAAAAAAGGAGAAAAGAGGAAAAAAUGAUAGCCCAUGGUCCCUCUAAUAAGCAAUAUGCCAGCAAGAGUUGACAAAGAUUUUAAUUUCCAAAGUCUUUGAUCUAAGAGUAUGACAUUCCCCUCCUCGGAUCCCGUUUUGAUCAGGCAAUAAAUGCAAAGUAAGCAUGUUUGAGAAUUUUUGCAAAAUAAAACAACCUCAGUGAGAUAUAUAUAAAAGAUAAUGAGUGAUCUGAGAAGAACCUAUGAGGAUAAAAAGGUAUGCUAAUUUUCUUUCAAAAAUAUACAAAAACUCCAAGUGAUAGGAUUGAGAAGAAAGGAUCUUUACUCUUGAUCAUAAACUUCCCUGGAUUUUUAACACCCUGCAAUUAUAAAGAGAAUGUUUUAAAUGUUUACCCCAGAUAUUGUUCUUAACCAUCCUUUUCUCGAGGACGAGUAAAAGCCUAAGUAUGGGGGUAUUUGUUGACGGUUCUUAAGUAUCAAUUUUAAUUAUCAAAUAAACAUAAGAAAGGACCAAUAUGCAACCAACACCUAGAAUUAGGGUUUGAUCUGACAGAAUUCUACGAGUUUUGUUGUUUAUCUGUUUCUGCAGGGGGUUAUCAGGAAAUAAGGAAGAAAGGCCCACAUGUCGGGAUUACAUAGAGAUAUCAACGCACCGCGCGAUUUUACACCAUCUAGAAGACUCCAGAAGCCACGGGAAGAAGACGGAGGCCGAAAGGGGCCAGGCCCAGGGCGCCCGCCCUGGUGACCUGGGCGCCCGCCCCCUGCUGGAUUCGAUUCAGGACUCUCUUCGCUCGGGAGACAAUCCAGGACGCCCCGUCACCCGGUCUCUAUCAGCAUGGUGGACUUCCUAGAAGCACUCUGCGACCUUGGCUUCAGCGUCAACAUUAUGCCCAGGGUACUCUAUGAAAAAUUCUUUACACAUUCUUUAUUAGAAACAGCCAUGUGUCUGCAGCUUGCAGAUCGUACGCUAAGUUUCCCAAAGGGAAUAUUGAAGAACCUCUACGUCCGAGUUGGUACCUUGUAUGCCUCAGCAGACUUCGUGGUGAUAGAGACUGGUACUAAUGAGAGGGCACCCAUCAUCCUAGGGAGGCCAUUCCUAAACACCUCAGGAGCUGUCAUCUACUCUAGUGCUGCCAAGAUCAGUUUCUACAUCAAGGGGAAGAAGGAGACGUUUUCCUUCAAGAACAAGACUACACAAAUCCCAGAGCAAUCCCGACAUGAACCAAGGAAGAGGACCAACAGGAGGAACAGGAACAAGCAAAUGUGUACCGAGUCAGCUAAGAUGGUCACUACAGCUCAAGGAGGUCAAGAUCGUCAACUCAAGUCACCUUUCUUGAUCAAGAAGGACGACCCUGGUGUUCCAAGAAUCGAGUGCACAAUCAACAGAUAUUCUUUUCAGAAGACACUCUAUGACACCGGAUCUGACGUCAACAUAAUGGCCGCAAUCACUUAUCAGCUCCUGCAUGGAACCAUGCCCCUACAACCAACAUACAUUCAGCUCCAGAUGAUUUUAAGGUUAUUGACAUGGGAGAAGACAAGUAUGAUCCACCCAUCAUCCUUGGAAGACCGUUCCUCAGCACUGUUAAAGCAAUCAUCUACAUUGGAACCGGAGAAGUCCACAUGCACUUCCCCUCUGAGAAGGUACGCUACUAUUUUACUGACCCUAACUAUAUAGUUGAAGACUCUAAGCAAGUCAGGACAAGAAGAAGACGACGCAACCGUAACCAGAGGAGGAAAAUCAUAAAGGACGGAUGGGCAGACUACGAAGAAGAAGUGGUAUUGUCUAAAGACAUACAACUUGAACAGAACGUAGCAUCAAGUCAGAGAGAGAAGAUAGUUAUACACGAAGAGGAGGCGUUGCCGGGACCACCGACUACGCCAUCCAGCGAAUCCCACGACGAAAAACGGAGAGUCCCGUUCGGAGGACUUAAAAACACCGAACGCCUUGCCAAGAGGUAAACUUGGUAGUUAUCUUUUUCCUUUCAAUUAUUUAAAAUAGUUUGCUUAGUUAAUCAGGUUUAUAUCAUCUUAAAAAGUAAAUAAAAAUGUUAAAAAUAGUAAGCCCCAUGUGAGUAUGCUCAUGGCAUAAAACCCAUAAGUACAUUCACUGUGGUGGCAUAAAAAUAAAAUAAAUAUAUUCAUGUCCUAUAAAAAUGAAAAUAUAAAAAUAAAUUUAUGAUCCUACUACAGAGAGUAACAUUUAUUGAGGAGGCUCAACAUGAUAAAGGCUAGGUAUUUACGCUAACCCUUAACCAGUUCCACAAAGCUUUGUUGUCUAUUUGAACUCCACAGAAUUCAAGGAUCAAAGAAGACUAGCAGACGGAGAACAUCCUAAUCGCUGACAGAGUGCUACUGACAUUCAAAUACACCUCCGCCAGCUGCUAGCUACAUCAGAAGAAAUUACGUCAAAAUCCAGCUUGGGGGAGAGCACCCCCAUUUAUCCAGCUAAGUGUUCUACUCACGUUUAUAUUUUACUCAAAUAAUAAAAAGAUGCAUGAUCAUAAAAACCCAAAUAAAGAUUUUGUGCUUAUAUAUAUCUUUGCGUAGUUUGCUAAAUAAAUAAAUAAAUAAAGUUUGCUAUGAACCCUCAUGAUAAGCUCUCAAAUAGAAAUGAUGAAUAGUUGCUCUACCAUGACUAGUUCUUAAAAUUGAAAUCUCUCUUAAGUUUAGGCAUGACUGUUAUUAAUUAAGAUUUGCUCUAAACCUGAACUUGUGGGAAGAGUACUUGAUCUGAAGUCUAAGUCGUUAAUGGAUAUUGUAUGGGAAGGUUGAGCUGCUGUUUAUCCGUUCCUAGAGAUGCUAGAAUUCUGGAGAAUUUUAUCUUUGAAAAUCUUUAAAUUGUUGCAUGAUGAGUUCCUGUAUGAUGAGAGUUUAAAUUCCUACCACAGCCAUAUAUACAUGCUUGCUAGACUUUGAGCCACACAUUUACUUUUUACUGCUUAUGAGCAUUGAGUGUGGUCAAGCUGUGUAUACCCUUAGGAGCUUGUCAUGUGGUUAAAUCAAGAUUCACUUGCACGUUCACUCAUACAUGCUGCUUCUACUCCGGAAGUAUGCAUCCACAUAUAUCCACCCAUUUCCAUCUCCAGAAUCACCUAAAAAUAUUCUACUCCUAAUCCGGGAGAGAAUAGCCAAAAACAUUUCUGUUUUUCCCUGUGAAAUAAAUGCUCAAGUUAUCUCGGUUACUACCACUUUGCUACAUUAUUUCAAGAGAUGAGUGCUCUAAAAAAAAGAGAGAAAAAAAAGAGAAAGAAUACGAGGAAAUAAAAAGGGGCAAGUGCCCGGAACCUCGAAAGAAAAGAAAAAGUGAGACGAGAGGUAAAAAUGGACAAGUGUCCGGUAGUAGAAUUAGGGGUACAAGAUACCCACCUGAGAGAAAAGAAAAAAAAAGAAAAUAUAGAGCAUCUCAUUCUCCCUGAAAGUUUCAAAAGAGCAAGAAAGGUAUGUAUCCCCUCAAAAGAGCACAAGUAGAAUUAGACUUUCACCAUUGUUAUCACCAUCAUCACCAUACACCAUUCAUUCGCCACACAUGCACAUCUUGAUUUGACUUAUUGAUUUGUUUCUUUGGAUCCAUGGUUUGACUAUACAAUACAUGUCUUGUAAGUAUGUAUACUUUAUCUCCCACCUAUGAACUCCAGAUAUUAAAGCCUUAUUAGAGUAGGGUGAGAGAGAAGGCAAUGCCACUAUGCUUUAUACCAUAAAUACUACAGAUUUUGAGAGAAGGCGUAUACCAUCACUGCCUUGGUAAGGCUCCAGAAAUACCACAAAAGAGAGAUUUGAGAGAGUCGUACAAGGAAUCUCUGAGUUUUAUUUGAAAAUCUGCAAAAACCCCAGAGCUAUAGCUGAUCAAGAAUAAGAGACAUGGCACUUGACUAGAUUGUUCUAUCUUUUAACUACUCAAGACAGAAGUGACGGUUACAAGUCCCAUGGUGAAAGGUAAAGUAAGUAAGUUUUAAGUCUUGAUAGUUUACCCUAACCCAGAGAUGAGAUCUUGUUUGAACGAAUGUGUAUUUUUAAGGCAUAAAACCACUGCAGAAACUCUUGAGUCCAUCUUUGCUCAGGGACGAGCAAAGGUUAAGCUUGGGGGAGCUUGUUGACGGUCCUUAAUGCUCACAUUUAACCAUCAACUAAUCAUGGAAAAGGAUCUAACUGGAACCAACACCUAGACUUAGGGUUUUAUCUGACAGAAUUCCACGAGUUUUGGUGUUUGUCUAUUUCUGCAGGGGGUUAUCAGGAAAUAAGGAAGAAAGGCCCACACAUCGGGUUUACAUAGAGAUAUUAACGUGUCGCGCAAUUUUCUACCAUCUAGAAGACUCCAGAAGCCACGGGAACGAACGGGAGGCCGAUCGGGCCCGGGGGCAGGGCGCCCGCCCAAGUCCCUUGGGUGCCCGCCCAGCUACAGUAACCAAUCAGCUUCAACUUCGCGGACCGUGCUCCACCGACCUAAAGGACCAAGGAAAACCGUGCGAUUAAUGUCGGUUUGAUCCGACGGCCCAGAUUCAUCUGAAAAGACUAUAUAAGCAAGCCCCCUGGCCCCUGGAGAUCAUACCUCUUCUACAGAAUCAAAGUUAGGGUUUCAAUUCUUCAUCCAAGUAGAGAGGAUCCCUCUAGUUCUUCUAGUUCUACCUCUAGUUCAUCUAGUCUAGUUCUAGUUCAUCUAGUUCUAGUUCUAGUUCCUCUAGUUCUAGUUCUAGUUAGUUCUAGUUGUAAUCUAGAAAAUAGGGAGAGAGAAGAGGAGAGCGAAGGAGGAGGAGCCGGAUCUGUCGGAUCUUCCUGAACAUUAUACUUUUGCAGCAACUGGUUCAUUCUUCAUCGUUCUCCAGGUUCUUCAAUUCAUAAUUCCUGAGUUCUUUAAUUACUUUUAUUUACAUUCAAGUUAUUUAUUGGAUUCCCACUUGCAUCAAGUGCUCUAGUCUUUAUAACGCUAGAGUAGUAAUUAAUAGAUUAGACGUGGUGUUUAGUCUUGCGAUUACCUGGAGUUGCACCCAAUCCUGCGGAUUGUUGUGGUAGCCUUAGGGUAGUGACAGCCCUAACGGUCGACGUAUUCCACCACAUUCGGAUCGGUGUUUGUAGGACCGUAGUCAGACCUUCCUAGCCCCCUUCUCAUCUCUUUCUGUGGUUAGUGCUCUGAUGUCCCGAUAUAGAUAAUCUUGAAGUAAUUCUUGAUUCUUAGAUCAACUAGAGAACUCUCAGGAAACUUCCUCUCUUCCCACCAAAAAAUAAUUAUAUAGUUAUCCUUGGGCGAUCUUGGAUCUUAAUUAGUACACUCACGUUCUCUGUGGAAAAUCGAUACUCUGGAAAACUCCCGGGUGAAAGCUACAUCGGUAUCCGUGCGCUUGUGGAUUUUUUCUGUUUGCGUUUAAAAUACCCAACACCCCCUUGUCCUGUACCCAGUAGUCGUGUACUAGUAUCCAGCCUUCGUCUUCCUCAGCACCUUCAAUCCCUCAACUUCGAGUUCAAAGCUUUCCGCAGGAAGAAAAUGGCAAAGAGCGACGCAAAGAAGAGGGCCGAGAUGAUGACCAAGGAGUGGAAAAAGUCUCGGAGCAACACGAGGUCCCUCAACGACCUCGUCGAGAUGGGACUCCUCCACAAUCAGGAGCUCGGCGGCUGGAGAGCAUCGGAAGGGGAGAGUUACCCAGACCCUCGCGCUGGUGAGAUUGUAGUUUUUGAAGAUUAUUUCAAGAGGGGAUUUGGGAUUCCAGUUCAUCCUUUUGCUUCAAGGCCUUCUUCUUUACUAUGAGAUCGGGAUCUGCAACUUGCACCCGAACUCCAUUCUUCUUGUUUCCACUUUCAUUCAUUUGUGCGAGGCCUAUGUCAGGAUAGAGCCGCACUUUGAUCUUUUCCGCUACUUGUUCUGUUUGAGGAAGAAGGGGGCGGUUGCAGGCUCCAAGAUUGCAGGUGGAGUAUACCUCAAUCUUCGUGAUGGGAUGAAAAACCGUUACCUUAGUUGCCCAUGGAACACCUCCCUCACCGAGUGGUACAAGAGGUGGUUUUACAUUAGGGAGGAGCCGGGCAGUGCCACUUUUUGUGAUGUCGGCUACAUUCCCGAGAAGAGGGUCAGCUGGACAGAUCAGCCCGAGUACAUUGGUCACGUGUCGGAGUUGAUGGGUCUGAUCGACUGGUCUCGCCUGGAUGGACCAGGGGUGGUCAGGAACUUCCUUGCUCGCCGAGUGAUGCCUUGCCAGAGGAGAGUGCACUCGGUGUAUGAGUACGCAGGAAGCCAAGACCCGACCAGGAUGCACCGGGAUAACUUGGAAAAAUCAGAGAUCUAGCGGAGGAUGAACGAGCUAUUCAACCUAGCUGACAAUAGCUUCGUUCGAAGUGAUGACUGGAUGCACGCCUUCAAGCUAGGGCAACCAGCCCCUAAGGUAAAUGAAUACCUUUGUUUAUUUGUAAUGCUAUUGAAUACUGUAACCUUUGGCUGAUGACUUGUCGCCUUUGUAUCGUAGAUAGGAAAUAUUGACCGGUGUGUUGACGGUCCUUAAGUAUCAAAUUUAAUUAUCAAAUAAACAAAGAAAAGGAUCCAAAUGAAAUCAACAUCUAGACUUAGGGUUUUAUCUGACAGAAUUCCACGAGUUUUGGUGUUUGUCUAUUUCUGCAGGGGGUUAUCAGGAAAUACGGAAGAAAGGCCCACACGUCGGGAUUACAUAGAGAUAUUAACGUGCCGCGCAAUUAUCUUACAUCUAGAAGACUCCAGAAGCCACGGGAAGGAAGCGGAGGCCGAGAGGGGCCAGAGGCAGGGCGCCCGCCCUGUUUCCCUAGGCGCCCACCCUCUGUUGGAGUCCAAACAGGACUCUAUUUCUCGGGAGAUCUCCACCGACCUAAAGGAUCAAGGAUAACCGUUCAAUCUAUGUCGGUUUGAUCCAACGGCCCAUAUUCACUUGAGGGGACUAUAAAACCAGACCCCCUGGCCCCUGGAGGAGGCACCCCUUGAUCAUUAUUCAUUAUUCAUAGACAGAGCAAAAGCUAGGGUUUGGAGAUGAGAGCUCUCCUCUCUUCUCUAAACUAGAGUAGAUCUAGAUAGUAGCAAGAUGGAGAGCGAAGGAGGAUUAGAGGAGAGGCCGGCCUGUCAGUUCUUCCUCUGGUUGUACUUCGUCAUGAUCAAGCUCUAAUCAAGCUUGCUCAUGGGAUGACUCUGGUAAUCUACUUCUAAUUCAUUAUGCAAUUACUAAUCAUGUAUGUUCUGGUUCACAACUCUUUUGAGUACUUCUAAUCUAUAGGACGGUAUAGGUUAGAGUUGUAGUAUAGGUGUAAGCGUGGUGCUUAGACCUAGAUUACUUGUGGAUAUCCCCUGUCUAGCUGGAUCGUGUGGUAGGCCGCGUAGGUGACAGUUACGUUGGUCCUCUGUAGUCCACCUCUCGUUAGCAGGACGGGUAGGGUUUAUCGGCCUAAGGAUAAGCAUCCUUUGUGGUGUAAUCUUAUCACGUGGUUCGUCCCAGACAUAGACAUACCCCUUUGAAGUAGAGAAACCAUAGUUAUCCUCUCUAUUCUGCUACCAUCGCUCAUAUACUAGAUUGCUCUACUCUCUACUCUAUAUUUACCCAUUGUUAUCUUACCUUUAAUAUUGUUCUUAUUCAAUUCUACCAUCUUUCCUAUUUACACUUAUCUAUCUAUCUUGGUUAAGUUAGAGCGUAGUUAGUUCUCCCGUUUCUCUGUGGAUACGAUAAAACCUUUAACCGGGUAAAAGCUUCAAUGGUAUCCGUGCGCUUGCGGAUUGUCUGUGUGCGUAUAAAUACCAUAGUACACUCUAGUGCCAUGCUGGGGAUGACAACCUAGUAUUCAAGUGGUAUUAGCAAGUGUCAACAAGCAUUUUUGGCGCCGUUGCCGGGGAGACGGUUGCUGACUUGACUACGAACUAGCUUAAUCAUUUUCUAAAAAAAUAAUAAAAAAAUAAGAACCACCAAAAUCUUCAAAGCCUAUCAUAGCAUCUAGUUUUGAGAUAGACCCCGAAUACAUAGAAUUUGUUCAAAAACAACCUUUCUCAGGAGAAGGUGAGGAAAACCCAUACACACACCUAAGAGAGUUCUAUCGAGUCUGUGACCUCCUUCGCAUAGAAGGCAUGUCCGAUGAGACCCUUCAAUGGAAGCUCUUUCCGUUCUCUUUAAUGGGAAAAGCUAGACAUUGGUACAAACUCAAAGUAGGGAGUGUUCAUGGAGAUUGGAAGGAGUUAUAUAAUAGUUUUCUUUUUAAAUAUUUUCCAAUCUCCAAAGUGGCGGAACUUCGGCGUGAGAUUAUUUCUUUUAGACAACUGGAAGAAGAAUCUCUUGGCAAAUCAUGGGACCGCUUUAUUAACCUUACUCUCAGUGGCCCAAAGCUUUCUAUUCCAGAAGAAGUUCUUCUAAUUCAUUUUUUUGAGGGCCUUAGUGGGGAAAAUAAGCAAACCUUGAAUACAGCCUC
rnacentral:lncRNA from 1 species